AAACUGCCGGUACUGUCCGAACAACAACUAAUCGAUUGCGAUACCAAAAACAAUGGCUGCGAGGGCGGUCUUCCUGACGAUGCUUUCCAGUACAUCAUCCAAAACCAAGGAAUCACCUCUGAGGAUACAUACACGUACCAAGAGAUGGACGGGACUUGUGACUCAACGAAAGCGGCCCAACAGGUGGCGGAGAUCACGGAUUUUGCAGACGUGCAGCCUGGUGAGGACGAGCUCCUGAAGGCAGUUGCACAGCAGCCGGUCUCGGUCGGAAUCGCCGGAGGUGGGCAGGAGUUCCGACACUACAUCGGCGGAGUGUUCAAUGGGGAUUGUGGCGAGCAGCUGGACCAUGCAGUCGUUGUGGUCGGGUAUGGGACGAGUGAGGAAGGAAAGUUCUGGAAGAUCCGAAACUCCUGGGGCGAGAGUUGGGGUGAAGAUGGUUACAUGAGGAUUCAAAGAGGUGGUGAAAGUUCUUACGGAUUAUGCGGGCUCGCAUCGCAGCUUCUUAUCCUAUUGCAUGAGAAUAAUUAAAAGAUAGAUACACAAAGUACGACCAUCGUGAGCCUACGAGUUGCUCCUUUUCUCCUAAUUAUAUAUUCGUCUGUCUGUCUUCAUUUUUUAGCUAUAUAGUGUAGUACUUGUAAGGAGGCAAUUAUGUAGCCACUAAGUUAUGUGGAGGAUCACAUAUUAAUUCCCCGUUUUGGAAAGAUCUUGAUGCCAUCAGUACAAUUACCCAAUAUUAAAUUAUUAACGUCACCUUAUCAUGAGUUCUAACCCCUUAUAUAAAUUUCUCAUACCUAUAAUAAUCUCAUAUUAAUUAGAUUUUGAUAUUUCAUUUUAAUCCUUGGAAUUAGUUAGAUUAGAUUCGAAAAACAAAUAAUAAUACUAUUAUGUGAAAUACUCCUCAUAUAUGGCCAAAAUCUUUAAUAUAAUAAUGAUGAUGAUGAAGAUAUUGAGAAGAUAAUUUAAUGGUAAGUGUUGUGACCUAAAUUUUCUGUGACAUGCGUUGAGGCAAAAAAAAAAAAAAGUCUAUAGGUAUUGCUUAAAAGGCGAGCCCAUAGGCCAUCGGUUUAAUUACGGGAUUUCCUAAGCUCAUACUUCGCGAGACAUUUGAAUUUCUCAUUUUAACAUUCUUUAACAACCCAAGUAUGUGUAGGAGUCAUUAUUAGCCUGUUGGGGUUAGUUAGAACCCAAUUAAGAUUCGAGAGCGUUGUCUCAAUUCUUAUGCAACUAGAGAUUCUCAAUUCCUAUGCAACUAGAUCUUCUAAGCAUAGGGAAUUGAUUACAUUAAUGUUACUAUUAAUAUCUUUUCGGUACCAAACUAGCUGGUUGUUUAGUCUAAGUGAUCAUACACUGUUGGUUAUGUUGAUUUAAAUCCAAAAAGGUCUUUCAAAGCCGCUAUAUGAGCAUGCAAACAUCUUUGUUUUCAUUAGGAUUCUAAACUAACCCUAACCUAUUCAAGAAAAGGAAAUAACACUCAAUUUAUUAUAAAGUGGCGCGAUAAGUAAACAUCUAGAUAUUGAAAGCAGCUAGAUUGGUAAACACUCAAGCAAAUUGACAACUUCUGAGUAAAGUAUGAGAAAAUAAAGCCGAUGCAACAUUGGACAAAGAAUACCACACGACCUUGUUAUGAGCCACGGGACAGUAACCCCGUGAGCUUAACAUUAAAAACUAAUUUCAAGAGUUGGGCUAGACUAAGGCGAGCCUAACUCUACUAAUUUUAAUCCAUGAUUAGACUAACCUAAGCUAAAUAACCAUUAUUCUAAAAGAGUGAUUCUUAGUCUUGUUUAAAGUCUAAUCUAAUUAGGGCCUAAAGUUGUGAGUCUAACCAUACUGAACUAAGCUAAACUAGGCUACAUCUGCCUUGGACCGCCAUGGGUUGGCCUUCAAUCAUCGAGCUAUCGGCCAUCUCUCGAGAUGUCGCUUCUCGUCCAUUCAUUCAUCAUCAAUAGAAUAUGUCAUAAAUCAAAGUAAGCAAUCACCAAAGUUCAUUCAAUCCCCAAUUGCCUCAGGAUUGGCUUUGAAGGCAAACAUGCGUUUCGAUUUUCCCCAAUACCACAACUAUGAAUCCAAUAAACAUUCAUCGCCAUUUGCGUUAGCAAAACAUUAGGAUAAGAUAAUCAACCCUAACUAAACUCUAAUUAACUUCUAAAUUGCCCACCGAAAGACACGCAUCGAGCUUCUAACGUGUAUCUAAUCAUUCACAUGCAAAAUUGAAUUUAAACAUGCAAUUUAGACGAACCAACCAAUCAACAUGCAACCAAGCUUGGGGACUAAUUACAAUAAAAGACAAGAAAUUGUAUUUUCCUAAUAUAAUUUCUAAUUUCUAUUUUUUUAAUAAAAGAAGUCGAAGAAGCCUUCAUUUAAUUUUUUAUUUUAUUUAAUAACCCUCUCGCCUGUAUUUUUGUUUUUUUUUUAAAUAACUUUUAUCUUUUCAUAUUUUUAAUCUAAUAUAAUUUAAAUUUAAAUUUAAAAUGUGUUUGGAUGAAAAUAUCUAUGCUUGGUCGGAAUAUUUUGCUAGCCGAGGAGCUAGUGAGAUUAAACUCUUAUUUGAAAUAGUUAAAAUUCAUUCAAAUUCUUAUUUGAGAAAAUGAGGACAGUUCAUGUCUUUAUCUGGAAUUUACUCUAUGGUAGAGUGUCUUCAUCAUGUUUGAGUUUUAUAAGUUUAUUUUGGAGUCAAUAUGUAGCAGUAGCGAUGUGUACAUCCAUUAACUAGUUCGAUCCUAUUUUUUGGAGUAUGCGGGCAUCUGUAAAAAUAAUAUUGAAACCACUUGAAGAUACAUGAUUGCUUCAUGUCGACAUUUUAAUUGAAAUUUCGAACUUUCUCUUUCCUUGAAAUUGAAUUAUUGAUUUCACCAACCUACGUUUUGUCUUUUGUGGCGCUACUUGUCCUUGCCAAGCAUGCACUUCCUUUAAAAUGUCUUUAUCUCAGCAACUCCUUCGACGACUGGGCUAUGGAAAGACCGAUGUUCAGAUUCACUUAUUUUAUGAAAUUUAGAUUUUUUUUUGUUUUAUCUUUCUUUCUGUCCUAAAUCAUGGACUUCAACUGCUUACAUUUUGUCUUUUGUGAGGUCUUUAGGUUUUCGAUCCGGUCGCAGUUCCUUUAAAAAUGUGCACCUCAGCACCUCCUAAAACUUUGGAAUGUUGCUCUACAAGUGCAAUUCGUGACUUUUCCGUCUCAUCUCUCAUUUUUCCAUGGUCCAACCGAUGCACUUUUACGACUCCUUUUGCUCAAUGGGCAUUCGAGAAUUUGAGGGAAAUAAAGAUUUGACAUCACCAAAUUGAUACAUGUACUAAUUUUAAAAAAAUUAUUAUAAAAAAGUUAAUUUUGAAUAAAUUUAUCAUAAAUAUAUUAAUUUAGGAUUUUUCAGAUAUUAAUUCUUUAAAAUCUCUACAUGUGUAAUUUUUUAUCUAGUUAAUGAUGGGGCCCACAAGAAGAAAAAUAAAAAGAAAAGGAAGAUCAUCGUGAGAUAAAAGGAAAGAAAGGGAGAAAGAGCACUUCGCCUGGUGAAUAGGGAGGAGAAGGAGGAGGAGAAGAAGAAUAUUUUGAUCUAGUCAAAGGACGGGGCCCACAAGAAGAAAAAGAAAGAGAAGACCAUCGCGAGAUAAAAGGGGAGAAAGGGAGAAAGAGCAUUUCGCCCAGUGAAUAGAGGGAAGGAGGAGGAGAAGAAUGAGAAGUGGAAGGAGAAGAAGAAAAAGAUUCCACAUACUCACAUUAGAUGCCUCACCAAGCCAAAUUUACUUUAAUUUGCAAUGCCCGGGUAAGUGCUUAUGCCCUUGAUUCUUCCAAUCAGAAAAGUUUUUGGAAUUAGGAGUUAAAUUUGGGAUUAAGCAAAAUUUGAACUACAAGCACUGGAUAGAUACAAGCAAUGCUCGGGACAUGGUUAUCGACAUUUUAUGACACUCGAUCUUAACGAUAUGUAUCUGUUGGGUUAAAUCGAUGAAAUACCGAAUUGUAAGCAAAUAAUGGGUAGUCAUUUUGGAAACCAUCAAUUCGAUACAUCUCUAUUCAUUUUGUCAAUUCACGGUUCAUUAUAUUUCACACAUUAAAUGAUUAUUUUUUUAUCUUAGUUCAUUUUUAUCAUAAUUUCACAACAAAUAGUUGAGAAUCUGUAAACUACAUACCUGCCAAACAUAAUGCAUAGACACUCUUUCUUUUCUCUCUGUUUUUCUUUUAACAUUCGAAUCAUUUACUUAUCAUUGAGAUAUAUUUACCUUUGAUCAUGGGCACUUGAAAUCGAGAUACAUUUACCCCAGAGCUUUUUGUUUUGCAGUUAUUCAUGAAAUUACGGGGCUACGAGUAGAUUAAUGCUGUUGCACACCAUCAAAUUCACUUUGAAUAUCAUCCUCAUCAUUUCAUGUAUGUCUCAAUCGGUAACGUCAUAUACCUUUUUGCUAAAUCGAGUUCAGAAAAAAAAAUUCGUACACGAUAUUUCAAUAUAGGAUGCAAGUUUAAAGCAGGAGAUUAUUUCUACUUGAUAAAUCUUUCAACUAAUAGCCUUCGGUAAUUGUCAUAUUCCUCAAAAUUUGCAAAUUAUGCAAGCAUAUAAGCACAUGUCAUGACUUUUUAUUGAUUUCAAGCCUUCUCGGAAUGCAUAAAAUGCAGCAACGCACAAACUUAGGUCUUCACUUUAUCGAUGUAAAUUCAAAUUGUGUUGUUAUAAUUACCGUAUAUCAACAUUGUCAAGUCAUAUACUAUAAAAUACCAUUGCUGGCCCAUUUUCUAACGAUUCGAACUUUUAAGAUGAUUUGUCUAACACGGUAUAAGACAAACCUCUAAUAUCAAAGCACGGGUCAAGGAUUUAAAUCCCUACACUCUUCAAUUUUCUCGUACUCGUUGUUCUCAUUAUUCUGUCUAUUUUCCUUUUCCGCAAUUAUCCUCUUAAAUCGCAUGCUAUAAAUACAUUGACUGCCCACGUUCUAAUAAUUUAAACUUUUAGGAAAAUAUGGUUUGUCUCACAAAGGUUAUUUUUACAUACAAUGACUACUGGAAUAUGUGAAAAACGGACUUUAACUGAAGCAGAAAUCAGGAAAAAAAAUAAAUGAGAAAGAAAAAAAAAGAAUUUUACUCUAUCAUAAAAUGAAGAAAAGAUGACCGGCAUAGUUGACGAUUCCUUCUCCGAUAAUAAUGGAAAUGGAUAAUUUGGUGGCUCAUCCCAGAUACGAAGAAAGCCCAUAUUGAGCUGAUUUGACUUAUUCCUUCUCAGGGUAAAUUUUUUUUGCCUCCCCACCAAAAAUAUCACUUAGACCGAUCGAAUUUCACAUGAGUCGAGUUCCAAAUUUCACCACAGUUGUCAUCAUUUUGUCUAAAUCUGAUUUUGGCUGGCAGACGACAUUCCACGAUGAGAAAAUGAUACGCUGGCAAGAAAAUCCAGUCGGGGAGAGCAAGGGUACAUCAGAAUGGCACGUAAUGUGGGUGGUACCCCCACCCACUGGCAAAUAAGGUAUAGCGAUGGAGUCCUCGUACCCCGGUCGAGAGGAACCAAAAUCCAUUACUUCAUUAUCCGCAUGUAAUUUUACAUUUCUUUCACUCAAAACAGUGUGGCUUUGGCGAAGGCUUUUCAUAUUGAGGAUGCAUCUGACUUGACCAUGAACAUAUGAAAGUUAAUUCUAACAAGUCCUGUGUCGUUCUUUCUAAUUUUUGUUUGUGCAACAGAGCAAAGACAAUCCACUAGGAGUCGUCAAGGUAGAAAAGGAGUGUGCCCAAGCUCCGCCGAACCAGGCGAACCUGAACUCUUCGCUGGCCUGUGGUGAGGCGGGCAAGGCUCAACCUCACACGAGGCCAAAUUUGGCAAUGGCAAGGCUCGAGCUCGCCCAGUUCGGUGGAGCUCUGGCUCACUAGCCUUGGCAGAGCUCGGGCUCGCAUGGAUCAACCGAGCCUCAAGCUCGUUGAUCUGAGUCUUGGUCAGUCACUAGGCAAUCAGCCGUCGCCGAGGCACGUGGCGGUGGAGGAAGGAGUAAGGAAAAGAAAAAGGAAAAACAAAAACAAAAGAAAAAAGAAAAAAUUUAAAAUAAUAAAAAUUAGACUUUUAAAUAUGAAAAAAUUAAAAUUCAAUUUUUAAAAAAUAUAUAAGAAUUAAGAUUAAAAAAAUUUAGUCGAUUAAAAAAAUUAAAAUUCGAUUUUUUAGUAGUUUUUCCCAAAAAAUAAAAUCAAAUACCGAACAGUGGAAAAUAUUUUCUACUCCAUUUUCAGAUUUUAGCAUAAUACUGAAAAAUAUAAUCAUUUUUUGGAAACGUUAAAUUUUUUGUGAAACGAACAGACCACAAACGGAGCCUAAGGAUCCGUUCAUUUUGCGGAAAAUGAGCUAUUUCCAAAAAAAUAUUUUCGCAGAGGUCAUUUUCUAGGAAAAUGACAAUCUAGUGUUCAACUAAAACCUGAAAAUGUUUCGGAAAAUAGUUUCCGGUAUUCGGUAUGGAAAAUAUUUUCUAAGACUUCACCACUUAAGCACACAUCACUUACCGACCUAUAAAUCCAUCAAAUAUGAAUUGUCCUUUAAAUCCAGGCAAACUUACUUCAUGUCUUUGUUCCCUCAUUGUCGCCAAACGUUCAUUUUUAAAAAGAAGCAAAAGAGAAAAGAAGCAAAGCAUGUACAGCCCUAAUGAGAGUCCUCCAGUUGAGUGGCAUAUUCUUCCCAUGCGUCUUUUGUCUUCUAAUAAACAAAAGAAAAAAGAAGCAAAGUAUGUAGAACCUUUGCUUGAGCAAUGUACAAUUGCAAGGUAGAGUAAAUAAAGAAAAUGAUAAGCAAGAAUGCAAAGCACAAGCUUGAGAUCGAUGAGCUCGAGAGCAACGGCCAACAACUAGCCAAGAAAGAAGAAGAUGAGAAACAAAGAAAAGAAACAAAAAAGAAAAAGAAAAAGAAAAAAAGAAAAGAAAAAGAAAAGAAAAGAAAAAGGAAAUUAAAAAUAAUUCGAAUUAAAAAGAAAAAGAAUUAAAAAAUAAUUCAAAUAAAAAAAGAAAGAAGAGGAAGAAAUGGGAGGAGGAAAUGAGGAUUUGUAGAGGUGUAAGAUAAGAGAGAUAAGUGAGGAAAAUGUUUUUCACUUUUCAAAAGUGGAAAACAUUUUCCCAUAAGAAGAUUUUUUUCCUUUUAUGAAAAAUAUUUUCCUUAAGGAAUUCAUUUUCCGUUAAACGAAUGCUGGAAAAUCCAGAAAAUGUUUACCUGGAAAUUAUUUUUCGCGAAACGAAUAGAGCCUGAGACUUCACUCAACCAUGCUAUUUUUGGGGUCAAAACGUCUAUUAUGUGUCGACGAAAAAUUAUACGAAUAGCAAAUUUACUGUAGUAAUCUGUGAAGCAAUCUCAUCCCGUGCGAAAAACUUUGUCAUGUCAUAUCUUCGCCAAAGUUUGAUUUGAGGGAGCUUAUAGUCAAAAGAAAGCUCCUCUAAAAUUGUACCAUGGACACAAAGCUAAAGUGUCGCAACUCGCAAGCUUGGGAAAGAGGUAAUUGCUUGGGGGUCUGACUGAUUCAAUGUAAGCUCCUCGGACUAGUUGAAUUCUAGUUAGUUCACGCCAAAACGAGGGGAUUCUCGAGAAAUUCCUUAAUUAUUGUCCAACUGAAACAAUUUCCAUUAAAAAUGUCAUCUCAUCCUCAAAUCUUGUUUCCGCAUUCUAUUAUGAGAGAUACAUAUACUUUCUUUCUCAAUUUUGAUAUUAUUUUGGAUCUUUUCCGUUUCAGAUAAAGUCAUUCACAUAAUUACCUGGCGGAAGAAAUUGUAUAUGUCAAGAAAAUCAGCCUGAAGCAUUUUUGCAUAGUGAAAUUCAUUAGAUAAAGUAAGAUUGGGUUAUCGAUUACUCAUCGAUUGGGUUAUCGAUUACUCAUCGAUUUCUUAUGUUUGAAUAAGAUGGUCAAAUUGAAGAUUAAUUAACUUUGUCUAUUGCUUGCUUUUCUUCAUCUUCGUGCAAGGAAUACGAACUUCAUUUUCCAGCAAAAGGAGCAAGGCAAGAAUAAAGAAAAAAAAGGAAGAAACCAAAGGGAAAUGCGCUCGGGAGGGCAUUGGCUACGAUAAAACUUCUCGGGAUUGUUUAUUUCUGGCAUCGAUAUUAAAAUAAUGCGGGGGAGAGAAUCCGGAUUUCAUUUUCCAACAAAAGGAGCAAGGCAAGAAUAAAGAGAGAAAAGGACAAAGGAAAAUGCACUCAGAAGUGGGGUCGACCCCGUUGGAUCUGACUUGGGUGAGGUCGACCCACGUAUUCGCAGGCAACCUUGGUGAGAGCUCCCCUGCCAAAUCCGAUGAGGCUGGCCCUUGCCCAAGCUAGGGUAGCCUCAUUGGAUCUGGCUUGGGCGAGGUAGACAUGUGCCUAGGUAAGGGCAGCCUCGGCGAGGGCUCACCUGGUUGGGCGGAGCCCUCUCCUGGGCGGUGCCUGAUGAGGCCACCCUAGCCUAGGCGAGGGGAGCCUCGCUAGAGCUGCCCUUGCCCAAGUGUUGGUUGGCCUUGCCUAGGAUCUGAGGCCGGCCCUUCCCAAGGCUCCACCUCGCCUUGGCCAAUGGCCGAUUGUUGCCUAUCACCCGGCCGCCACCAAGAGGAACAAGAAAGGGAGGAGAGAGAAAAAAGAAAUGAAAAAAAAAGGAAAAAUAAAGGAAGGAAAAAAAAAUUAGAAAAAAAAUUAAAAAAUCAGAAAAAUGAUAAAAAAAAUAGAAAAAUAAUUAAAAUAUUAUUAAAAAUAUCUAUGUUAGCAGACUGGUGUCCACGUCAACAAAAUCUGGCUAAAAUAAGCCGAAAGGACUAAAUUGGCACCAAACUAAAAGGUUUAGGACUAAAUUAGCACUAGUUCAAAAGGCUUAGAACUAAAUUUGCAACAUUAAAAAAAGUUUAGGACUGAAUUGGCAUAAAUCAAAAAGUUUAGGAUUAAAUUAAUAUUAUUAGGUUUAACAUUAAAUUGACACAAAUGCAAAAGGUUUAUUACUUUUUUUUGACACUUUUCCCCUAAGAUUUGCAUUGGGUAUGGUAAAACUUCUCAAGAUUGUCUAUUUCCGACACCAAGAUAAAAAUAAUGCUGAAGAGUGAAUUGUGUAAAUUUCAUAUAAUACUAUAUUAUGAUGUAGAGUGCGUGGCCCUAUUUAUAAGCAUUAUGAAAUGACUAUGUUAGAUAAUAAGAUCUCAAUUACAAUCAAUCAGAAAUAUGGGCCGAUAUUUGCAUAAUUCCAAGAGAUAUGAAGAAUUGAGAGAAUUACGGAAAAUAUCCAAUAUAUAUAUAUAACAUCCCUCAAACUCCAAGUGACGCAAAAUCAGUCAUUUGUGGAUUAAAGAAAAGAUUGAAAAAAGUGCUUAGGUGGAUGUGCCUUUAUGAAGACUGAUCAAUGUUAGAGAACAAGUUCUGCAGGCUAUGUUGUUAUUGGUUUGCUAAAGAGAGAACUGGCAAACUUGUGUAGGCUAAGCAUGGUUGUGGUUGAGGCUAUGCAACUAUAGAAUAGGCUAAAGUGGCUAGUGUCUUUGCAAGAGGCUGACAUGGUUGCGUGGUAUACUACAAAGAGAAUUGUGUAAUUUAUAUGUAUUAUAAUAUGUAGUGAUGAAUAGUGUAUAAGCCUAUUUAUGAAAAAGUGUUAGAAAAAUCUUAAACCUAUUGCAUUGGUGCCAUUAUAUUCUUAAAUUUUUUAAUUAUGUCAAUUUAAUUAUAAACUUUUUGAUCUAAAGCCAAUUAAGUUUUUUUUUGUUGUUGCUAAUUUUAGUCUGAUAUUGCUGAUGUGGACGUUGUUGUCUUACGUGGCAUGAUUGGCGUUGAUAUGAAUUUUUUAAUUGUUUUCUUCUUCUUUUUUCCUUUCUUUUCUUUCUCUCUCUUUUUUUCCUCCUCUUUCCUUUGAUGGCUGGUGAUGCUGCCAAGGCUGACCAAGCAUGUGCAAGGGCUGGCCUCCCCAAAUCUGGCGAGGCUACCCUCAUCCUGGAUUUUUUUUUUUUUUUUAAAAAAAUUAAAAAAUUAUUUUAAAAUGUUUAUGUCAAUGCCAAUCGUGCCAUAUAUUACAUCAACGCCAGUCGUGUCAUAUAAGAUGACCAUUGUCCAUGUUAGUAAUAUCCGACAAAAAUUAACAGAAAAGACUGAAUUGACACUAGGUUAAAAAAAUUUAGACUAAAUUGAUGCAAUUAAAAGAAUUAUGACUAAAUUAGCCCUAAACCUUAGGACUUUUCUGACAUUUUUUCUGUCUAUUUAUAGGUUUUAUGAGAUGACUAUAUAAAAUAAUAAAAUAUUGCAACAAUCAUAAUCAAUCAUGAAAUGUGCAACCAAGAGAUUUAGGUAUGAUUAAGAGAGAUAUGGAGAAUUGAGGGACAUAUGCAAAAUUUCCUAGAUAUACAUCCCUGACAAAGAGAACUCUAGGAAUCAGAACGUUUUCCUAUGCCAUUACCUAACGAAAUUGUAUUGGAUAUGUCUCCUUAUUGGGGUCUGUUCGUUACUCUUGGAAUUUCGAGAAUUCCAAAGAUAAAUAUGCCCACAAUAACAAAUUUAUAUAUACUCUAAUUUAGUUUAUCAUUCGUUAGUAUAUAACUUAAUAUAUCACAUAAGAUAUAUCCAACCAUUAAAAAAAAUGUGUUGUGUGAAUUCAACUUACAUUUUGUCUUUCGCAUGGCUUCUUGUCCUCGCUCUUCCUUAAUAUACAAACUUUUCAAACCAGUCUUAUAUACAACUAACACUAGUUAAUUAAUUUAUUUUAAAAAAAAAUUCUAUGAGAAUGGGUUUUCCAAUUGUCGUAGCGACUAAAAUUUAUUUAAGAGAAAAAGAAGACCAAAAGAGAGCCGCCUGCCAAUAGUCCAUAUUUGAUCUCACGAUUGAUGAUGAUAGAUCGAUAAAUAGGCGACAGUCGAUAGUCAUCGUCGGCGAUCCAAAGGCUCAUAAAGCCGUCCGCGACUUUGCCGCAUGUGAGACGAGCCCUCUUUAGUUUUCAAUUAUUAAACUCAGAAAUAGACUAGACCAUGUAACACACGACCGUCACCAGAACUUGCCGCUACAGCUUGUUCAAGACCUUUUAAAAAUCUCUAUAUUUCCCUCACAUUUUUCAUGGAUACACUACACAUCUAAUAUCCUUUCAAUUCUCUCUCUAGCUAUUGAAAUUCCAGCAAGAAAGUCACACAGAUUUUACAAUAUAACUCGUCAUGGACAACAAUCAAGGAGGUCAACAAGCAACCGCCGACGAACGUAGGAUCGAGAUCGUGGAGGGGGCAUUGGCUUCCAUAUCAGAAGAUAUGAAGGCAGAGAUGAAAUGGCUGAAUGAAUCAGCAGGCCAAGAUAUCUCUAGCAUCUUCAGAGUUCCAAAUCAUGAGGCAUGCCGGCCUCGAAUGGUCUCUAUUGGCCCGUACCACCAUGGGGAAAAACAGUUGAAGAGGCUUCAGGAGUACAAGGGAAGAUACCUCCAAACCAUGCUGGACCGAACUCAACCGGCGGGUGUCAACCUUCUUGAGGAACUCAUUGCCACGGUGGCGCCCAAAGUAAAAAUGAUUCGGCAGUGCUACUUGGAGAGCACCAACAAUUUCACAGAAUCUGAUCUUGUGAAAAUGAUGGUUCUUGACGGAUGCUUCAUCAUUGAGUUCUUCCGUCAAAUCAAAGGAGACAUACAGUCCGACGAUAUCCUACCAAACGAUUCAUACACGCUCGUUUCUCUUAGGCAGGACCUUGUACGGCUUGAGAACCAGGUCCCGUACUUUGUGCUUGAGGAUUUGUUUGAAACAACGAAUGUUGGGAAACAAGAGACCAGCUUUACCACUCUUGCCCUCAAAUUCUUUGACGGCAUUAUGGAAAGACCUGAAUGUUUCUUGGACAGAGACAGCCGUCCCAAAAAAGAGCAUUUGCUUGAUUUACUUCGUCAGAGAUUACUUCCUGCGAAGGAACAAAACUAUAGCCCACCAGAGGACAGCUCGUCCUUUGAAUUGCUCGGUUCUGCUUCCAAGCUUAAUCAAGCUGGAAUUGCAUUUGUGCAGAGCAAAGCCAGCACCUUCCUGGAGAUAAAAUUUGACUCCAAAAGUGGAAUCCUGCAUAUUCCAAAACUAACGAUCAGUGAUACUCUCCAAUGCAUCCUCCACAAUAUAGUUGCUUUUUGUUGGGAAUAACGGAUCCCCGAGAACCGGAUUUGACACUAAAUCGAACCCCUAAAUCAAUGCGGAAGACGAAGCCCGGGAAAAACACGUAUCACCGAUCGUAAAGCACACCACGGAUUCGAGCGUACCUUAUUAGCCACAUAUUAGACACCAACGCCAAUGGAGGAAGAGAAAUUAGGCCCUGUUCAAUCCGAGGAAGCAAAAUCCUUCGAACGCUUCACUGUUUUUGCUUUUAAGAAAACGAGAGAGAGAGAGAGAGAGAGAUGCGUGGAGAGAAAAACAUACGUCUUUUUCUUUAAACAAAACGGUGCAUUUUUUUUUCUCUCUCUCUCCUCCCUUUUAUACCUCUCUCCUUCCACGGGCCCUAUUCCCGUGGGCCGGGCUUUCUGGGCCCAACUUGGGCGGACGGGCCUUAAGCCCAAUACUAAUAAAGCCUUCAUCUCCCACUCGCACAUGGUGGGCCGAACAAGAUUCUCUUUAUCUCUCUUCAACAUUCAUACCGGUGAAUAAUCCAUGUGACCAGCAUACUUUGAGAGCUCGUUGCUAUACAUCUGUUAGGAAUCUAUAGCAGCUCAUAAUGGGCGUCACACUUCGAGUAGAUUUAGUAUGCAGUACCCUAGAUCGAUCGAUCACAUUUUAUAUCUCUCUUGAUCUCUUUUAAACAUGAUAUAUAUAUAUAUAUAUAUAUAUAUAUAUAUAUUGUAUUCACAAUUAUAAUUAUCACAAAGACAGUCAUAAUUGGUCGACCAGUGAAUACAAAACUAUAAUGUGAUUCCCCAAAAACGAUCUUCCUCUUUCCUUCAAACUCUCAAUUUCAGUUCAGCUUGCUUUUCUAGAAAUGCCCCAUUAGAUCGAAUCAACUCAUGACCAUUGGCAACAUCCUAAGAUAGCAAACACUAAAUAGAAACCUUGAGAAUAAGUAAAAGUCAUGAGGGCACUAAAAUUGAGGAACUCUUUUCCUCAAGAGUUUCAUACGUCAUAAAAGUUGAGAUCAAAUCUUUUUGCCACUCUUAUUGGUCGGCUCAUGCAUACGUAGUAUGAAAUACGUAUUACAGUAUUAACUCCUUUCCCAUGGAGUGUAUGUCUACACCUUUCAAUACCGUACAGAUGAUAGUUCAGACAUACCCAAUGUCUAACUUGAGUUCACAUAUCUACUCAUUUACAAAAUUCAUCAGAACUCACAUAUGACAUCUUAGACAGAUAAAGUAAAAUAUGUGGGGUAUUUUACUUUUGGACAUAGUAAGUAUUAUGUCUUCAUCUUAACACUCAGUUAAGGCGACAUACGUAUUUUAAGCUUGAGCUCUCGAUUAUCACCUAGAUAAUAAGCUUAAAAACAGUCUCAUCUCUAUUUAUCACACAGUAAAUAGAGGCGAUUACCCGUGUGAGUGGGCUAAUAUUUUAUCUGUCCAACGUACUUUCUCAACAUAAAGUAAUGCACUGAGCAUUAAGAUGCAUAAAGAUCAAACAAAGAUUCAUAAGCAUUAAUAAUGAAACAACACUAGUUCAUAAAUGUGAACAACUCAGGGAAAUUACAAUCCAGUACAUCAGACUCUACGCAAUCCUAGAGAUUUUACAUGACCACAAAACACAUCUCUAGGUAUUGGCUUUGUCAUAGGAUCUGCUACCAUUCUAUGCGUAGAUAUGUACUGUAAGUUCACAUCCUUUCGUGCAACCAUAUCCUUGACAAAGUUAUACUUGGUAUCUAUAUGUUUGGUCUUGCCAUGAUAUUAUGGAUUUUUGGUGUACGCUAUAGCUGCUUGGCUAUCACAGUUAACCAACAAUGGAUUUGCAGCUUUCUCAAUAACACCUAAAUGAUCCAAGAAUCUCUUAAGCCAAACUCCUUCUUGUACUGUUGCUGAUAACGCCACGAACUCAGCUUCCAUCAUGGAUAAGGCUAUGCACGUUUGCUUCUUACUACUCCAUGAUAUGGCGCCAUUGCUCAGUAAGAAAGCAAAUCCUGAGGUAGAUUUCCUUUUAUCUAAAUUUCCUCUCCAAUUAGCAUCUGAAUAGCCUUCAAGUCGCAGAUCCUUUCCUUGGUAAUUCAACUUGUAAUCAGCAGUUCCCUUCAGAUACCUCAGUAUUCUCUUAACGGCUUUCCAAUGUGCUGGACCUGGAUUGGAUUGGUAUCUACUCACCAUUCCAACUGCAAAACAUAUGUCGGGUCAUGUACACAUCAUAGCGUACAUCAAGCUCCCAACAACACUUGCAUAAGGAACAUGUUUCAUUUGUUCCUUCUCUUGUGGAGUCCUUGGACACACAGUCUAUGGCUCAAUCCUUCACCUUUUGUAAUAGGAGUGUCUAUGGGUUUACAAUCUUGCAUAUGAAAUCAUUCAAGAACCUUAUUUAUAUAGGUUUCUUGCGAAAGAGACAACGAUCUCUUCGAACGAUCUCUUGAAAUCUUAACUCCAAGAAUGUAUGCAGCCUCACCCAUGUCCUUCAUCUCAAAGUUGGAAGACAACCAACUCUUGACAGUUUUAACAAACUCCAUAUUGCUUCCGGCAAUUAGUAUAUCAUCAACAUAUAAUGAUAUGAUCACAAAUUGAUCCUUGGAUCUUUUGAUAUAUACACAAUGAUCCUCAUCAAUCAUCGUAAAAUCAUAUGCCAUUAUGGUAUUAUGAAAACGUAUAUACCAUUGUCUUGAUGACUGCUUAAGAUCAUAUAUCGACCUCAAAAGUCGACAUAUUUUUUCUUCUUGGCCUUUCACUAUGAAACCAACAGGUUGUUCCAUAUAUAUUUCUUCCUCUAAUUCUCCAUUGAGGAAAGCAAUCUUUACAUCCAUUUGAUGUAACUCAAGAUCCAGACUAGCCACUAUUGCCAGAAUAAUGCGAAUCGAGGUAAAUCUCACUACAGGAGAAAACGUAUCUUCAUAAUCAAUUCCUUCCUGUUGAUUAUACCCAUUCGCCACAAGGCGAGCCUUAUGCCUUUCAAUCGAACCAUCAGACUUUCGUUUUAUUUUGAGAACCCACUUGUUCCCAAUAACUCUACGUCCUUUUGGAAGAUCAACCAGUUCCCAGACUUGGUUUGAUUUCAUUGACUCCAUUUCCUCUUCAUUUGCAUUAAUCCAUUUUUCCUUACUAGGGCAAUUCAGAGCCUCAUUAAUAUUUCUUGGCUCAUCCUCAUCUUGUGGAGCAACCAUAAAAGUUUCCCCUUCAAUGUCAAAACGUCGACGGGGAAUACUUUGGCGACUUGUUCGCCGUAUGGGAAAUUGUACACUUAGCAUAUCAUCCCCCAUCAUGCUCCCACUUGGAUUAGGUAAUGAUGAUGUCAUCUCAUCAUGUGGUUGCAAUUGAGAAUGAGUUGAAUUUAAUUCAUCACUUCUCAUAUUACUCCCACUUGGACGAACUCCACUAACAUCAUUAUCCUGAUCCAAGGUCUCAAAUAGGGAAUAAUCUUCCCCUAUUUCUCCUUUCUUAGGGAAUUCAUCCUCUAAUAAUUUGACAUCUCGUGAUUCAAACUCAGUUAUACUCCCACUUUCCUGCUCACCUAUGAACACAUAUCCUUUCGAGUGUUCAGAGUACCUUAUGAAAAUACUCUUCUUUCCUCUGGGACCCAAUUUCCCAAAUUUGUGUGAGGACUCAUGUGUAUAGGCGGCACAACCCCAUGGCUUAAGAAAACUUAAGUCCGGUUUUCUACCUGUCCAUAACUCAUAUGGAGUGGAAGUAACUGAUUUGGAAGGCACACGGUUAAGUAUAUAGGCAGCAGUUAACAACGCAUCACUCCAAAAGGUAAUAGGUAAGUUAGCAUGCGCCAUCAUGGACCUAAUUAUUUCAAGUAGGGUUCUUUUUCUUCUCUCCGCAACACCAUUUUGUUGAGGAGUAUAUGGAAUAGACAACUGUCUUUCUAUUCCUUUUUUCAUCACAUAAUUUUCUGAACUCAUCAGAUAAAUAUUCUCAACCUUGAUCGGAUCUCAAUGCUUUUAUUUUCUUGUAUAAUUGAUUCUCUACCAGGUUCAUAAAUCUUUUAAAACAACUUAUUGCUUCAGAUUUAUGAGAAAUCAAAUAGACAUAUCCGAAUCGAGUAUAAUCAUCAAUAAAAGUGAUGAAAUAAACAGCCCCAUGCCUUCCUUUCACAUUCAUUGGACCACAGACAUCAGAAUGGAUUAAAUGCAGAGGAAAUUCAACUCUUUUUCCUUUUCCAAAUGGUUUCCUUGUUGUUUUCCCAUCUAGGCAAUGCUUACAUAUGGACAAAUCGACUUUUUCAAUAUUGCCCAACAAGCCCUCUUUGGCUAGUCUAUUCAUACGCUGUUGGCCAAUGUGACCAAGUCUAGUAUGCCACACAUUCACAUCAUUAUCAUAUUUAUUAUGAGACGUGAGAAUGGAAUAAAAAACAUUAGCAUUAACAUAAUCAAUAUCUAAUACAAUAAAACCAUCUAGAAAAUAACCACAACCAUAGUAAUUUGUAUCCAAAAACAAAUUCACACAUCUACUAUAGAAGUUCAUAUUAAAACCUAAUUUAACCAACACUAAUACAGACACUAAAUUCCGACGAAUCUCCGGAGCAUACAACACAUCAUGAAGGAACAAAGUGCGUCCACCACACAUAUUCAGUUGACAUGUGCCAAUUCCUUUCACUUCAUCUCUGGAGUUGUUUCCCACAUAGAUCCAUUUAGUUCCAGUUGGUACUCGUCGGAAUUCCACGAAGGAUCCUCUAUCCUUCGCUACAUGGUCUGUCGCUCAUGAAUCUACAGUCCACAAAGGAUUAGACUCAGUUAAGAACACAGAACUCGACACAAAAGCAAAGUUCUUAAAAGUACAAGGGGUGCAUACCUUCUUUGGCUCACGACAGUCACGAGCAUAGUGACCCUUCUUGUCACAGUUGUAGCAUUUCACCCUUGCAAGCUUCUUCAUGCGAGGACGCUUUCCUCUUCCAUGUUGGUUAAACUUGGGUUUCUUCCCUGAAUGACCUUCUUCCUUGCCUUUUCCUUUAUCAAACCAGUUAGGGCGCUUGCGCUUGGAGCUCGAAGUUCCAUUUGAGCUAGAACUAACAUGAUAGAGUUCAGCAUCCAGCUUAGCCCCCAAGAGGCGGUCCUCUUCCAGCUCAAGAUGACGCAUUGCAUCCUCGAAGGUUUUGAUAUUUUCAUUAUGAGUCAGGUGCACCUUCAUAUGCUCCCAACUCUGAGGCAAGGAACGAAUCACUGCUUGCACUUGCUGCUCAUCUGUGAGGACAUGGCCAGCAUCUUUCAGCUCAUUUAUCAUGUUUGACAUCUUUCUAAGAUGUUGCUUCAUGGUCUGACCAUGAGGCUUCUUAUAGGAGUCAAACCUAAUAGUGAGCUGUCUCAGUCUGGUCACCGAAGUAUGACCAAAUCUAGCUGCCAAUGCCUCCCACAUUUCCUUGGCAUUGUCAAAACGCCUAAACUCUCGCAUGACGUCAUUUUCCAUGCUGCUCAGCAACGUGCUGCGAGCAAGAGAGUUCUUUCGUUUCCAUGCAGCAAAAGCUUCCUGAUCUCUUUUGUGCUGUGCAGUAUUUCCUUCUUCAGGUUCUACCAUGGUCAGGUUAAGAGCCUCAAGUGCCUCUUGCUCUUCCAGCACAUAUUGGAUUUUCAUGUGCCAUAUCUCAUAGUUGUCACCAUUGAGCUUUUCACCUUUGUUCAGCUCGGCAACUAUGCUCUUCGUGGCUGAAGCCAUUAAUCUGAACACAUCAGACAUAUAUGCACGAAUUAUUAAUGCCUAUCAUUUAUGCAUCCCUAUUUGCAUAGACCCAUCAUAUUAAUGAAUAAUUUCAAGUAGGGCUUCAGAAUCAAAAGGUCACUAUGUUUCCAAUCAUCCUCCAAAAUCCUAACUUAAAACUAUCAUCAAUAUAAUUGUCUUAUGCAAAAUCAAUUCUAUGAAGCUACAAAAACUUCUAAAACUACCCACAGCUUACCCACAGCAACCAGCAAUAACAAAAAGCAACAUAUAAUAGACAUCUAAUAAAACAAUAAUGCUUUCAAUUAACACAAUUAGGUAGUAAACAAUAUAUAAGAUGUCCACAAAAGCACACUUAACUAUAAAAAUAGCCAAUACAUCUAACACUAAGGCAGCACACGAACUGGGGAAAGAUCCUCUUUUGUUCAAUUUCUUGAUCUUUUCCCUUGUAACAAUACAAUAAUAUUCAUUUAUAAAAUCCAUUACAGUUUUCUUAUAGGAAGUAGCUCCGUUGACAUCCCAUAUGCGAUUCAACACAUCUUGCCAUUCAGGUGGGAGAGUGUUUAUGAAAAAUCGCACCAUCUCUGACUGUGGCAUAGGACGACCAUUCCAUAUGACCUGUUGAAUCUUCCCGUUGACUUCAAGGACGUGAUCAAUUAAGUCACCACUCUCCCAUCGAUGAUCAGUCAGCUCAGCUAUCAACUUAGACAGCCUAUCAUUUUGUUCAUCGGUAAUUGCGCGAAUAGGUGUGCGCAAUCUCAGAGGAAGCAUUGCUCCUGCAACAAAUGCAGAACAAAUAAGGGAUCACAUUAUAAUCCACAUAGAUUUAAUUGAAAAAGAAACACAUUCUUUUCCCUUUUUCUUUUGGGUCAACGGUCAACGGUCAACGGUGGUCAACGGUCAACGGUCGUCGGACCGGACGGACCGGUUCGGGCGAACCGACGGCACGUGCCGCACUCCUGCGCGGGCUGACGUCACGCAGACGUCAGCCGGCAUGUGCCGCGCGUGUGCUGGCGUCCGCGGUUCAGGUCGGGUCGGGUCGCCGGUCGGGUCGUCGGCCGGUGACCGCCCGGCGAAACGUCGUCGUGCUGACGUCAUUGAUGACGUCACCCUAGCGGUUACUGACUGUUGGGUGACGUCAUGCUGAUGUUAGCACGCGUCAGUCUGCGGACCGGCGCGUGCCGGUUCGCCAACCGGCGGCGAGCAUGUGCCGGUUCGCCGACCGGCGCGUGUGUCGCACGCGCUGGGCGAGCCAGCGCUUCCUGGCGCGUGUGUCGCACGCGCUGGGCGAGCCAGCGCUUCCUGGCGCGUGCGACGUCUCCCGGCGGCGCUUGACGUAUCGCCAGACUCGUCUUGACGUCGCCUUUCUUCCUAUGCCAUUGGAAUUCGAUUUCGACUUACGAAAACACGGAAAAAUGGCCGACCAGCGCUUGGGUGUCGGGAUUUCUCGCCCCGAUCCGUACGGCCGAAUUGCUUUUGCAAAAAAUCAAUCAAAAAACGUCAAACAGGUUGGGAAAACGUGAACUAGGGCUCUGAUACCAAUGUUGGGAAUAACGGAUCCCCGAAAACCGGAUUCGACACUAAAUCGAACGCCUAAAUCAAUGCGGAAGACGAAGCCCGGGAAAAACACGUAUCACCGAUCGUAAAGCACACCACGAAUUCAAGCGUACCUUAUUAGCCACAGAUUAGACACCAACGCCAAUGGAGGAAGUUAAAUUAGGCCUUGUUCAAUCCGAGGAAGCAAAAUCCUUCGAACGCUUCACUGUUUUUGCUUUUAAGAAAACAAGAGAGAGAGAGAGAGUGCGUGGAGAGAAAAACGUACGUCUUUUUCUUUAAACAAAACGGUGCAUUUUUCUCUCUCUCUCUCUCCUCCCUUUUAUACCUCUCUCCUUCCACGGGCCCUAUUCCUGUGGGCCGGGCUUUCUGGGCCCAACUUGGGCGGACGGGCCUUAAGCCCAAUACUAAUUAAGCCUUCACUUUUGAACGGUGUUUUGUCUCUUGCGACAAACACUUCACUGCCUAUGCCAUGUUCAUGGGAUUACUCAUUGACACAGCUGAUGAUGUACGACUUUUGUGCGACCGUAGAGUCAUGUCGAUUAACGGCGUGAGCAAGGAGGGUGUUGCAAGCUUCUUCUGCCAUGUCAGCAAGGACACUAGUUGGGAUGUCGCGAGGAGCUACCUAGAGUCGGAGAUUGCGGAAGUGAACAAAUAUGUUAGGAAUCAACAGAUCCGUGUUUUCUUCACCCAACUCGUAUAUACUCCUUGUCGCUACACAUGGUCGACUAUAGCUGCCAUAGUGAUGCUUACAGGUGCGAUCCAAACUGUGUACAUAUGUUGCAAUACUAUCAACGCAUAUAGCGGGAAGGGUCUAGAAGCUGCAUCUUCCAUAUUUUUCAUUACAAGUAUUGACUCUGUUUUCAGUGAAUCUUUUGAGUUAAUAUUUUCCUUGUAGCCAAAUCAAUCUUUGAAAUGGUGGACAAAUAGUUAUCAUCGUCAAAGUGCUCAUCACUAGGGGAGAGCAUGCACAGGCGAUCUGGUUAUCCGAAACUUACCCAGCCUUAGCCCUAGCGACUAAGCCAAUUUCCAUGGAAUUUAUGACGGGAUCGGCCAGUUAGAGACAAUGCAAUUUUCUCCCAAAAUUUUCGAUUUAUGAAGUUUAAUUGACUAAACCGCAUUCUAGUACUGAGAAAGCCAAGGUUGCAUGACAGAAACAAGUGAACUGGUGCAACACCAUCUUUAUUUUACUAGCCAGAGUCUAAAUACUUGUGUGACAAUUACAUGAACCUUUCCACCCAAAAAAAGCACAAGGUAUCAAAAUAUUAACAUUUCAAGACUAACGUGAAGCAGCUAGUUUGUGCAAGUCUGUCUUUGUCAACUUAUUCCGAGUUGUCUGCUCCAAAUACCAGAGUUGUCGCCCAAUUCACCAUAGAACCUACUCCUCCAGGUAACUACCAUCAUGAGAUAAGUCGAAUGCCAAACUAGCCAACUCACGAAUGCCGUGUGCAAUAUUCCCCAACGUCCUACGUAGAAGAAUGUUUGCAUAAGUGCCAAUUUUUAAUUAGGAAUAUUUAAAAAGCACGUGAGCAUCAAUAUGUGGGUAUUAGGAAAGAAAACCAUGAGCGUGCAUGUAGUACGUCAUGUAACUUAUACUGGUGUAAAUUGAGGAGCGCCUUGUAACGCCCAACAGGGGAUUUGGGAAGAUUUAAGUGACUUGAGAAACUCCGAGCGUCCAACACCUGUGGACCAGACUAGGAGACCGUAUGGAACAUCCAUACCGUCAUUCAGUGCGAUUUUCUUUGCGUGCGCCUCUUUCACUGGGCCUCUUUUAAGACGAACUCCAGACUAGCAUUGCAAGCAUUAGAUCAGCAGCGAAAUGAGCAGCUAGAAAUGAUGACGGUAACUUGAAAAAGAAAAUCAACACCCUUGUUAGAUCAUUAAUCUUUGAGAAACUGGAGGUGAAAGCAAUGAGCAUCUUCUUCUAUUUUUGAAAUUUUGAAGGUUGCUCUGUAAGUGCAAUUCACAAGUUUGAAGAAAUAAGGUAACUGGAUUUUCAGAGAGCACGAAGUUCAACAAAAGCUUCUUCCCGAUUUCUUGGGCAUGAUUCACCUCACGAAGCAAGUAGGCCUGUUCCUUGAGACCCCUUAAACUGAUAGUCAAGGGCUCGGCUCUGGCUGCGAUGACCAGCUUGUUCGUAUGUGAAUUUAAACUGGUAAAGGCUCUCGAGGCAGUCCAUCGUCGGCAACCACUUUACAGUACACCUGAUCAUUAAGGGACGGGAUUUAGAAAAAGAGAAAAUCCUAAAGGAAAAAAUUACUGGAUUUGCAACAACUAGUGUCAAUUGACAUUUCUUACUGGUGCAUCUUCGGUUCCAUCAUGUUGAGGAAAUGAAAUUUUCCGUUAUUUCACGUACCUAAAACACUCUUCAACUUGUCUGACACUUGGACAAUGCAUGUCGAUAUUUGUUAGUAUAUUUGAUUUGCCAAGUAUCCGCAAAUGGGACUUUUAUAGCUGGGGAUCUCGACGCAAAUGCAAAAGUAUGGACAUUGCAUGUCGGUGAUUGUUUACACAGUAUAUCAGAAAUUUCUGAUAUUUGUCGAUUGCUAAUUGAAGAACAUGGAGGGAAAUUCCAGCUGCACAUCCCGAAUAAUCAAUCAAUACAUGCAAGAUAAAACUGAACUCAUCCUUGCAGGAAAAAGUAUAAUCAAUAUACAGUAGCCGGCGUCGGGCAAGCUUGAGCUCGCCAGAUUCGUGGCCGGCUGCUGGCCAAGAAGAAGAAGAACAAAAAAGAAAAAAGAAAAAUCAUAUUUUAAAAUAAAAAAUAAUUAAAAUAAUUAAAAUUUUAAUUUUUUAAAAAUAAAAAAUAAUAAAAAAAUCUAAUUUUUAAAAAAUAAUUAAAAUUCAAUUUAAAAAAAUAAAAAUAAUUCAAAUUCAAAUUUUUAAAAUCAUUAUUAUAAAAAUUAUAAAAAUUAUCCAUUGAAUCUGUGUUGUAUAAAACUAUUUUAGCAAUACCAUUUUAAAUAUAUAUAAGAAAUAAGCUUAGAAGUAUUUUAGUAAUAUAAUCUUAAAAAAAAAACAUAGGAAUAAGUUUUUCUAAAUUUGGUUAAAUAUGAAAAUAUUUUAUUAAUAUGAGUUGGGUCGGGGUAUAGGUUGGGUAUGGAUCGAGUCGGGUAUGGGUUGGAAAAUUUACAUUAGACAUAAAUGGGUCAUAAAUGGAUUAAUGGGUUAAUUUGAGUCAGACCAUUAAUGACCCAACCCAAAUCUGACCCGACCCACCCGUUUAACAGCUCUACUCUCCACCAUCUGCCGUUGGGUUGUGCCUUCAUCGACAGUACGCUUUUGAAACUUGGACAUAUUCAAUUGAAGUGCACAAACUUGUUAGCAUUGAUAUCUGAAUAUCCAGUUAACCCUUUCAUUCUCUCAUAAGUUCAUCACUGGUCAACUGCUGAUUAUAUGAGUAUGGCUUCUUGUUGCUCUUUGGUUAGGAGUCUUUUUGGCUUAAGAAAAAAAAUGAUCCGAAAAAAGAAAACAAAAGCUUUCUUUAACCCACUCGAUUUCAAAUAUCUGCCAGGUGCCCUUUACAUAGGUUCAGCUUCGCUUUGUUUCAUGACGCAACUCAUCAUGGAUCUGAGCUCGAUCUUUUGCUUCCUCACUUUGUGAAGUUGACAAAGAUUUGCAGGGCUCAUAUGUUUCAAUUAAGGAAAAAAAUUAUCCAAAAAAAAAAACAGAAGCUUUCUUUAAGCCACAUGAUUUCAAAUAUCUACUUAUCUACUAAGUGCUGGGUUCAUCCUCUCUUUGGUUCAUUGCGCAACUAAUCAUGAAUGUGAACUCGAUCUUUUUGCUAAGCAAAUCCUCACUUUGUGAGGUUGACAAAGAUUGUAGGGUUUGUUUGUUUGUUGAGGGGGAAAAAACAGCUUUCUUCAAUCCACUCUAUUUCAGAUGUAACCUAAGUGUCCUUUACAUCGGUUCAUCUUCUCUUUGGUUUACCGCACAACUCGUGAAGUCAAUCUUUUGCUAAGCAAAUCCUCGCUUUUUGAAGUUGACAAAGAUUGUAGGGUUCGUUUGUUCGCUUAGGGGGAAACAAGCAGCUUUCUUUAAUUCACUUAUGUCAGAUGUCUGCCAAGUGUCCUGUAUAUGGGUUCAUCUUCUNNNNNNNNNNNNNNNNNNNNNNNNNNNNNNNNNNNNNNNNNNNNNNNNNNNNNNNNNNNNNNNNNNNNNNNNNNNNNNNNNNNNNNNNNNNNNNNNNNNNUCGUUGCGUCAGUCCGCGUUCCGGCUCCGCCCUCGUCUACCUCCUAGGAACCUCCGCCUGUCCACCCGCCCGAGUCGCCACCCCUCUCACCAGCAUUCGCCGCCGUAACGCCGCCUCUCUUCGCUCCGUCGAUCGAUUCCCAAUCCCCGAUCCCCCGCCCCCUCCUCCCUUGAAAUCUGGGAGGUUCAUUUUCUUAUACAAUUUCUGAUUUUUCUUGUUUGUGCCGCUUGUAGUUGGCAAAGGCUACUGGUUGAAGCAGUAGGCGAUCUCCCUACGCAAGUUCGGCUCCGUUCGAUCUCUGGUGUGUCACUGUUUGAUGCUUUGAUCCCUUCCACAGGUUCCAUGUAUCACGGUUCUCCUUUGCUAUUGCUCGUUCUCGGACCUCUCGCUGUCAAAAGAUAACUAUCGGAGUAUAAUCGCCGAUGCAUUUUGAAUGCUAGGUUGAUUGUGAGCUUUGCUGGUUAUUUGCUAGAGCUGAACUAGAUUUAUCCGGCAUUAUCAAAGUGGAGGCUGUGGCUUGUGCAAAAAGUUGUUUUCGAUUCCAGAAAUUGAAUUUCUGGUAAUUGGUAUAUGCUGUCAUAGUUGAAACUUGGAUCCACUUUUAGUCGAAUCCAACCAUAUUUUUUCUGUACAUGUGUCAAUUCUAUCUCCUUUGCAUGUGCUUGUGUAUAUGCAUCGUCUUUUGACCCAUUAUAAAAGGCCUCAGGUAGGGCAAGGUGCUACCUAAGUGCGUGAAUCAGUUGGCCAUUUGUGGAAGUCUUCAUCUGGGCAGGGCAUGGCCUUCAAUUGGUUGUGCAUUUGGAUCUCUAUUUCCUGAUGGCCUGCAUCCUUUUCUCCUUCUUCUUUAAAUUUGGUUGCUUUAGAUUGUAGUGUAAUGAUAGCAUGCUUAUAUUGGACUUUUUUCCACUUAGCUNNNNNNNNNNNNNNNNNNNNNNNNNNNNNNNNNNNNNNNNNNNNNNNNNNNNNNNNNNNNNNNNNNNNNNNNNNNNNNNNNNNNNNNNNNNNNNNNNNNNGUGAUUUAUCCAUUGAUCACAAUUUAAAUCUGAGAUAUUUGCCCUGCAUGGCAUACCGUUCUGCAUACAGAGAACUUGGCAGUUGUAGUGCUUUAAUGUAGUUUUAUGCUGUUUACAUAUAUGUUCCCUGGGUAAUAUCUUUGCCUAUGCCAUGCAGAUUUUGCCACUAUUUAGCAAGCAUAAGGUGGUACAUUUCAAUAAGACAGAUGCUCGUUUGGCAAACAAUGGAAUUUCACUAGAUCUUCAGAGGCUCAGAUGUCGAGUCAAUAUAAGCAUGCUAUCAUUACACUACAAUCUAAAGCAACCAAAUUUAAAGGAGGAGGAGAAAAGGAUGCAGGCCAUCAGGAAACAGAGAUGCAAAUGCACAACCAAUUGAAGGCCAUGCCCUGCCCAAAUGAAGACUUACACAAAUGGCCAACUGAUUCACGCACUUAGGUAGCACCUUGCCCUACCUGAGGCCUUUUAUAAUGGGUCAAAAGACAAUGCAUAUGCACAAGCACAAGCAAAGGAGAUAGAGUUGAGACAUGUACAGAAAAAACAUGGUUGGAUUCGACUGAAAGUGGAUCCAAGUUUCAACUAUGACAGAAUAUACCAAUUACCAGAAAUUCAAUUUCUGGAAUCGAAAACAACUUUUCGCACAAGCCAGCUUUGAUAAUGCCAAAUAAAUCUAGUUCAGUUCUAGCAAAUAACCAGCAAAGCUCACAAUCAACCUAGCCUUCAAAAUGCAUCGACGAUUAUACUCCGGUAGUUACCUUUUGACAGCGAGAGGUCCGAGAACGUGCAAUAGCAAAGGAGUACCGUGAUACAUGGAACCUGUGGAAGGGAUCAAAGCAUCAAACAGUGACACACCAGCGAUUGAACGGAGCCGAAUCUACGUAGGGAGACAUCGCCUACUGCUUCAACCAGUAGCCUUUGCCAACUGCAGGCGGCACAAACAAGAAAAACCAAAAAUCGUAUCAGAAAAUGAACCUCCAAGAUUUCAAGGGAGGAGGGGGCGGGGGAUCGGGGAUCGGGAAUCGAUCGACGGAGCGAAGAGAGGCGGUGUUAUGGCGGCGAAUGCUGGUGAGAGGGGUGGUGACCUCAAGGCGGGUGGAUAGGUGGAGGUUCCUAGGGAAAUAGACGAGGGCGAGCCGGAACGCGACCGACACGACGAGCCAUAUCCAUAACCCUGAGUGCGCGCUUCUACUUCUUCGUUUCCGUCUUAUGCUUCGUCGCCGUCGCCGGUGCCGUUGAGCUUGUCGUUUCGCUGGAAGAGAGACACGACUUCUCGGAGGGGGAGAGAGAGAGCAAAGCGGACAUUGCGAAAGGGAGGUGUCAGCGUCGGUGUCGGCGUCAGGGUGGGGGCCGAUGGAAGCAACCAACGGAGGCGGGGGGAGAGAGAUAGAGAGGAGAGAGAGGAGAACGGGGAGAGAGACGGACCAGGUCCUCCCGCGCAAGGCGUGAAGAAAGAGACUUGGAAGAAAGAAGAAACGCUCAGUCAGUCAGUCCGAAAUUUUUUCAAAAUGGCGCCUGACACGAGGACACGUGUCGUCCUCCGAGCACCUUCUUGUUUGCCAGGCUGGAACGUCUCACCUACCCAAUAUUUUCUCCCUUUUCAUGCCUGCGCAACACUCCUGAUAUCCUCUCAAUUCUCUCUCACACCAAUUGAAAUUCCAGCAAGAAACUCACGUAGAUUUGACAAUUUAACUCGCCCAUGGAUAACAAUCAAGGAGGCCGUCAAGCAACCGCCAACAAACCUGGGAUCGAGGUCAUGAAACAGAUGUUAUUGCCUUCCAUGUCGGAAGAUAUGAAGGGAGUGCCGAAAUUGUUGAAAGAAUCAGCAGGCGAAAGCAGCUGCUGCAUCUUCAGAGUCCCUGAGGCAGUUGCCGGAGUAAAUGCCGCAGCGUGCUGGCCUUGCACCGUCUCUUUUGGUCCGUACCACCAUGGGAAACCGGCGUUGCAGAUGCUUGAGGAGCACAAGUGGAGAUACCUCCCUGCUAUGCUGGACCGAAUCCAUCCGCAUGGCAUCGGGCUCGAGGAUCUCAUCGGUGUGGUGGGGCCCAAAGAGGAAAUGAUCCGGCAUUGCUACUCAGAGAGCACCGACAUGUUCAGCGGACCUGAUUUCGUGAAAAUGAUGGUUCUCGAUGGAUGCUUCAUCAUCGAGCUCCUCCUUUGAUGGGUAAGAUCUGAACUGUCUGAACCCGACUACCGCCUACGCAAAGAUCCAUUUUAUGCUCCUGUGCACGAACUUCUAGGAUCCGAACAGGAUGAUCCCCUAUUAAGAAAUUCGUACUUGUUCACUUCUCUUGUGCGGGACCUUCUACGGCUUGAGAACCAGGUCCCGUACUUUGUUCUGGAGGAUUUGUUUGCAAUCACGAAUGUUUCGAAAGUAAAAUUUACCUUGGUCGAUCUUGCCUUCCGUGUCUUCAGUUGCUAUCUGAAAGAACCUUACAGUGGCUGGAAAAGACAGGGCGAUGUAAAAGGAAUGCAUUUGCUCGAUUCAUUUCGACUGAGCUUAAUUCCUCAGGGUCGACAAAAUAAGAGAAAGUCUCCUAAUUCGAUCCGAUCCUUUUACAACUCUUUUACAUCUAUCAAGUCAACUUCCAAUUACUGUCGACGGGGAUUUAGAUUUAGGCGGAAUCGUGGAGCCUGCACUUAAUGGAGGUCAAAUUUGACGUCCAAAGCCAAGUCUUUUCAAUUCCGGAACUUAGAAUUGAUGACACUGUCAAUUGCAUCCUCCUCAAUAUGGUUGCUUUUGAACAAUGUCAUAGCUAUUGUGACAAGCAUGUAACUGCCUAUGCCAUGUUCAUGGGACGCCUCAUUCAAACAAAGAUGAUGUAAAAAUUUUGUGUGACGAAGUCAUUCUUCAGAAUCACAGUGUGAGCGAUGUUGCCCAACUCUUCCGUGAUGUCUGCAAGGAUGCUUCUUGUGAUAGCCAGGCGGACUAUCUAGAAGAGAUUGGAAUCAAAAAAUGGUAUACCCCAUAUCGUAUGUGGAAAGCACUCGUGAAAGAAGUAUAUUUUUCCAAUCCAGAGGUGUCUAUUUCGGUGGUAACUCUUCUAGUGACGCUUACAGGCGUGAUUCAAACGGUGUAUGCUCUGUUGCAAUACUAUCAGCCCAAGUAGCAGGCAACAUCUAGAAGCUACAUCUUCUGUAUUAAUUCCAUUACAUGUAUUGACUCUGCUUUCAGUGAAUCUUUUGAGUUGCUGAUACUUUCCUCGUGGCCACAUCAAUCUUGAAUAAGCGAUCAAACGGAUAUUCAUCACUAAAGUGGUGAUCACUAGGGGAGAGCAAGAUUGCUGAUCUACUAGCCCCGGCCAGUUCAAAACUGUGCAAUUUUUUCCUGAAAUUUUCAAAUUUAGGAAGUUUAAUUGAUUAAAUCACGCUCUGAAACUAUCAAAACCAAAGUAACAUAACCAAAAAAGCAAAAAAAGUGAACUGGUGCAACAUUGUCUUCAUUUUACUAGCCAUGCCAGAUACUUUGUCUAACAAAUACCUGCACUUUUCCGCCCAUAAAAAGCACAAUUGGUGCGUUUGUUUGUGUUUCUGUUCAAAAAGUGAUCUAGGGAAUAGAAAUAGAAAAAACUAUUUAUGUUCUAGGGAAUAAUUUUUUACCAUAAAGGUAAACUUGUUCCGGGAAUAAAGAAAUAAUAGAAACAUGUUUGGUAAAUUUGUGUACUUUUUUUUUUAAUUUCUUUUAAUUUUUAAUUUUUUAAUUUUUUUUCCUUUUUUUUUUCUUCUUUUGGCCGGCGACCUCACCCAACCACGGCAAGGCUAACCAGCCCCCGGUGAGGCCGAGCUCAUCCAGCCACCGGUUGCCUGGCGGUGGUCUGGCGACGCCGAGCCUGGCUUGGGGCCGGCGAUGCUCGGCCUCGCUAGGGGCCGACAACGCUCUGGCGAGGUCGCUGGCCCUCGAUGGCCGGUCACCGGCCAUGGCCGAGGCUGGCGACCGGCCAAAUAAAAAAGAAGAAGAAAAGAAGAAGGAAAAAAAAAAGAGAAGAAAAGAAAGAAGAGAGAAAAUUUGUUCUUAAAAAUUGUUUUAGAAACAUUAAACAAGUUUUUUUGUUUUUUUUUUGUUUCUGUUCCAAUUUUGUUCCCUGGAACAAAAAAACAAAUUUGGAAUAAAAACGCAAACAAACGCGUUUCUCUUCUUUUUUUUGUUCUCGGGAACAAAAAAAAGAAAAAAGAAAAUCUGUUCUUAAAAAGAAAAAAAAGAACACAACCAUAUAGGCCCUAUGUAUCAAAGAAUUGAGAAUACUCCAGGACCAAUGAAGCAGCUAAUGUAUUUAUCUCUAUCAUGGUCAACCUAUUCUCGAGUUGUCUUUUCCAAAUAUAAGAGUUAUCACAACGUAGAACUUGUUCUCCAGUUGACUACCCUCGUAACAUAGGCCGAACUCCAAAGUGAACUCACGAAAUUCCCUUUGCGGCCUGCAUAAGCGGAAUGUUUGCAUAAGUGACCACUGAAAAUUUGGCGAAAUAUCAAGGUACGCGUGCAUCAAAAUCUGGGUAUUAGGAAAGAAAACCAUAAUUGGAGCAUGGUGGCACGUUAUGUACCUUAGACUGGCGUAAAUAGACGGGCGCCUUGUAACGCCCAAUAGAAGCCAUGCUUCCCAAAUGCCUGUACACAAAUGGGUCUCCUAGAGGUAUGUCUUUCAAGCAAAAUGCUUUCCCUCCAUUUUGCUUCUCCAUCCUAUGAAACAGCUCCUCCAAGAAUUUUCCUUCCCUUUCCGCGACCUGUUUCAGAAAAUUAGCAUUCAUAUUUUUUCCAAUUAAAGAAGAAAACUGAGCCUUUAUGCAAUGGGCAAAAUUGAUAGUGAAUGGCCACUUCCAAGUUCAAAUGGAAGUAUGCGUGCUACAUCUUGUACAGAGUAGGACAAGAAAAUAAAGUUCGAGAUUUUUGCCUGAGAAGUAAAGAGUGGAGAUCAAACCAAAAACAACAGCGAGAAAUCUUCAAAGGAAUCAGACUAGUUGACUGGAGCUAAGCUAAAGCACCGGCCUCUCCAUCUGUUCGAGAAAACUUGAUCACACAUCGUUUGACUAUGAGAUCUAUAUGCUCUUUAUAUAAGCUUUUGGAUUGGAUUAGCUAACACACUCCAAUAUGAAAUAGUUGAGAGGACAAAUCAUCCACAUGGAAGAUGGUCAAAUGCUAAAAUGAGCUUAUCAUGAAGUUGUUGAUUUAAGGGACAAAGGGGAGUAAAGAGAUCUUCUCUCCUCACGUUUCACCAGCGGAUUAGGAAGAUUAAGCGACUUGACAAACUCUGAAGGUUUAACACCGGCGGACCAGAUUAGGAGACCGUUUGGAACAUCUGUCCCAUCAUUCAGCACGGUUUUCUCCAUAUGCACCUCUUUCACCGGGCCUUUUUAAAGACGAAUUCCAGACUAGCAUUGCGAGCAUUAAAUCAUCACCACAAUGAACUGCUAGAAAAGAUGAUGGUAACUUGAGAAAGAAAACCAACUUAUCCUUCUUAAGAUCAUUAAUCAUUGAGAAAUUGUAAGUGAAAAUAGUGAGCAUCUACUUCUAUUUCUGAAACUUUGUAAGGUUGCUCUGUUAAGUGCAAUUCAUAAGGUUGAAGAGUUAAGAUAGCUGGAUUUUCAGAGAACAUGAGGUUCAACAGAAGCUUCUUCCCGAUUUCUUUGUCAUGAUUCACCUCACGAAGCAAGUAGGUGUGUUCCUUGAGACCCUUUAGACUGAAAGUCAAGGGCUCGGUUCUGGCUGCGAUGACCAGCUUGUUUGUAUGCAACUUUAAACAGGUAAGGAUCUUAAGGCAGUCCGCCAUUGGCAACUACUUUACACCUGGUCGAUGAGGAACAGGAUCUAGCAAAAUAGAAAAUCAUGAAGGAAAAACAUGGCGGAUCUGCAACAACUAGUGCUAUUUGACAUUUCUUACCGGUGCAUCUCCAGUUUCAUCUUGUUUAAGAAAUUAAAUUUUACCCUAUCUCAUUAUAUAGUAUGCACCUAAAACACUUUUCAGCAUGUCUGACACCUGGGAUAAUGCGUGUCGAUAUUUGUUAGUAUAUUUGAUUUGCCAGGUAACUGCCGAUGGAACUUUUAUAGCUGGCAACAUCGACGGAAAUGCAAAAGUAUGGACGGUGCAUGUCAAUGAUCUUUUAUACAGCAUAUAAUAAAUUUCUGAUGUUUGUCAAUUGCUAAUCAAAGAACAUGGAGGAAAAUUCCAUCUACACAUCCCGAAUAAUCAAGCAAUACAUGCUAAAUGAAACUGACUACAUCCUUCCAGGGAAAAAGUAUAAUGAACAUACAAUAGCCAGAUAUUCGACUUACUUCAUGCUUGCCAGCGUCAAUUCCAGUGCAGGAAGCCAAGUAGAAGAACGAAUUGGGAGUUGCCACGAGCAGGCUGUAUCCGGCUAAUGGCUCAGCAGCUGAUUGGAACUCCAUGGCUCGAUGGAAGAAGGGGAGUGAAAACCAUGUGAUUUCAGGGAGAAAUCCACACGAUAUCAAUACACAUUCACAUCAAACCCUUUCAUAAACCAGCAAGCCGCCUAACCCGUCCCAAGAACGACCUUCCUCGGUUUUCCUCCAGGCUUAGUUGGUUGGAGACCUGGAUAGCUGAAGUUCUCAUACGAUGAGAAAAUUUCUUCUGAUUUUCCAUAAGCAAAUAAAAUAUGGAAAAAAGCCCAUAUUUCUUGGAGGAAAGGCGUCGAUUGUAAUUGACUAAUUCAAAUUGAUGAUUUCAUCAAUCUCAUUUGACUGCCAAUCUCACAAGCGUGAGCAUAAUAAGCAUGGAGUUUUUCUUGGUAUGCCAUGACCGAGAACAAUGAAAAGAGAAUGUCAACAUAGGCAAAUGGUUUCCUCUAAACAAUAAAAUCUGUAAAUAUACAUGGCGAAAUUCCUCUCUUCACGAGUCAAUCGUAGAAAUGAAGUUCAUUUCAACUUCUCUGUCACGGGAUGAACACCCGAAGAUAAGCAGAACAAAAGGAAGAACAGAGUUUUUUUCCCCCAGAAAUUCUAUUAAUUCCUCCAGGUAGAUCACAUCAAGGGUCAUUAGGUGAAUACAGUUCAAGAGCAUGCCAAUCACACGAGGAAUAUGUAAUAGACAAACUACAAAGAGGUAAAAUAAACCAACUGCAGAUCUAACCAAGAAGCUCUGUUAAGAAAAACCAAAAAUCAUUUAAUACCAGUGCCUUAACAAUACGAAUACGGCAACCAAUCAAAGAAUAAGAACAAGAACAUGUUUACAUGUAGACCUACUGAAAAAAUGAAGCAAGAAGAAAGGACGUGGAAGCAAGCCUCCAGGAUGUAACGAAGCGAACCACCGGUGAGAAACAUGUUGAUAUGUCUUUUUGCCACUGUUGGAAUCCGAUGCGUCUCCAAAUGUUGUAGAAAGGAGGAGAUGGUCCAUCAACUCAAUCAAAUGGAGGGCAUUUCUUAAAAAAGAUCGUUAAUGACCUCUUUAAAUUGGAAAAAAAAAAGAUGCAGAUAUUUACAAAAGAGAACAAAGACUAAAUGAGUAAGUUUGAAUAGGUGUGAUCUAUUUCAAGAUGGGCAGUUCUCGCUCUGGAACUGAAAUGGCCCACUAAAAACCAGUUCCAAUUAAAACUAGGAAUUGGCUGUUAGUUCCAUAGACCCAGCUAGGAAUCAGAACGUUGGUUCAAUCCAGUUUUCGGGUGGGUCCAUGGCUAGAGGCGACUGAAAGUGAGAGCAACAAAGGGAGCAACAACACUAGAGGCAAUCUAGAGCAAGAGUGAGAGACAGAGAGAGGGAUUGAUGAGGCUAGAGGCCACCGAGAGAGAGAUAGGGAGGCGAGGCCGUGAGAUAAGUGAGAUGAGAAAUGGGGAGAAAGCUGGGACUCUGAUUUGAAAGGUUAGAACUUAAAAAAUUAUUAUAUAUGUAUAUAUCAAUUCAAGUGAGUGGGAGGGUGGUUCCACAGCUAAAAUCGAGAAACGGAUUAGUACUCACUGAUUUCAGUAAAUUAGAACUAGAACCGGAUCGAUUCCUGUAGGAAUUGCCGAUUCUAGACAGUCCCCUAGUUUUUUUAACACAUCCCUAAGUAAAAAUGUAUAUAUAAUGGUUAUUUGAUUUUCAACAAUUUUUUUAUCAUUCUUUUUGAAUGACUAAUUUUCUAAUAUGUUAACUGGGAUUAUAUUUCCAGUUUGUCCCACUCUACUCUGAGAUGCCCCCUUACAAAUACAGAGGUGCUCUCAACAUUGGGUUCCAGUUAUCCAACACGGUUAGAAUCCUGGUUGCUAAUGUCCUCAACUACUUCGCGAAGAUCAAGGGCGGUUGGGGGUGGUGCCUGAGCCUCGGCCACUCGUGGCCCCCGCCCUCAUUGUCACCAUCAGGUCCUUCGUCCUCCCAGAUACCCCAAACUUGAUGAUUGAGCAGGGCAAGCGCGAAGCAGCCAAGGCGGAGCUGAAGCGUAUCGGCGGCGUUGAGAACGUCAAUGGGGAGUUCGACGACCCGAUAACGGCGAGUGAGGAGUGGAAGCGAGUGGAGCACCCUUGGAUGAACCUCUUGCAGAGGUAGUACAGGCCUCACCUCAGCGUGGCGAUACUGAUUCCCUUCUUCCAGCAGCUCACCGGCCGAUCAACGUGAUCAUGUUCUAUGCCCGUCUUGUUCAACACCCUGGGGUUCACGAACAACACCUCACUCAUGUCCGCCGUGAUCACGGGGCUCAUCAAUGGCGGCGCCACGUGGGUCUCAAUCUACGCGGUUGAUAAAGCGGGUAGGAAAAACCGUUUCUAGAGGGUGGAGCUCAAAGGCUGAUCUGCCAGGUACUUGAUCUUAUGACUUUUGCUACGACCAGAUUAUUUUGCAAUCACUUUGUUUAGUGCAUCAGACAUAUGGUUAAAUGUCAUAACAAGCAAUUUUUUAGUAGUCACUCAAUUCCUAGACAUUAUUAAGUAAUCCUAUCACAUAUACUUAAAUGAAUUUUAAUUAUUAGAUACGAUGAGAACAUCGUUUCCAAUGGUUCAUUCAUAUUCAAAAUUAUUUAUAUAUUCUAUUCAUGUUUAUAAUUUCUUUUGUAUAUUUGACACUAUAUUCGGUCCUUAUCAUCAUGAUACAUCCCUGAAAAUUGAGCAUAUAGAUGCGCAAUUAUACUAUUCAUGUUCAGAUUGUUGUAGCAUCGGCGAUUGGUGCGAAAUUCGGAGUGGACGGGAAUCCAGGCGAGUUGCUCAAGUGGUACGCGGGCAUCGUGGUGGCCUUCAUCUGCACCUACGUGGCCGCGUUCGCCUGAUCAUGGGAGCCGCUCGGGUGGCUCGUGCUGAGCGAGAUCUUCCCCCUGGAGAUCCGGUCGGCCGCCCAGAGCAUCUCGGUCAACAUGGUCUUCACGUUCAUGGUGGCUCGGGUCUUCCUCAACAUGCUCUGCCAAUUGAAGUUCGGGCUGUUCCUGUUCUUCGCCUUCUUCGUGCUUGCCAUGUCCAUAUUCAACUGCUCCUUGCCCAAGACGAAAGACAUCCCGAUCGAAGAGAUGGGCAUGAUGUGGAAGAAGCACUGGUACUGGUCUAGAUUCGUUAGUGACAAGAAUGUUACUAAAGGAGGGAUCGAGAUGGGUUACGGCAGAUAGAACUCGAAACUUAUUCUGUCGUUUCUAAAGGAGGGAUCGGGAUUGAGAUGAGCAACCAUAGGAGGGAACCCGCAAUAUGUGUGAGUGAAGAAUUUUGCAAGAUAUGGACAAUAUUUUCCUUUGUUUCCAGUUUGUCGUGGCGAAUUAUUUUUCUGUGUUUAAUUCAUCACAACAAAUUAGUGAAGUUGCAAUAGCGAUACGGUUCGUCACUUAACCAAACAAAAUUGAUUUACUAUGAUUGAUGAACAAAUUGCAAUUUUCAAACUUGCAUCUAAUAGUUUUUAUAAGUAUUGAAUGAGCUCAUAUAGUCCUUGAUUUGACCCUAUGUAAGGAGAUCUUGUGCCAUUGCAAACGUUUUCUACAGAUUUCUCACUACUUGUGCUUGUCAUUUGGUACAAAUUCUAUCGAUAAACCGAAUCGAUUUGCUAUUGCACAACUGAAAAAAAAAAAAGGAGGUUUAUGGAGCUAAUCUUCAAAGCUCAUCAGAAUCUAGACACAAGUUUAAAUAGGUCUUCAACUUGUUUUGACACCUUUACUGUUUACAUAGGACGAGUUCAACCGAAGUUGACCUCAUUCGAUGGUAGAGAUUUCACAAAUACCACACGAAUCAAGUUUAUGCCAUAAGUUUUUGGGAAUCAAUAGGGGUCAGGCCAUGCAUGAUUGCAUCACCAUGGAGCCAAAAUACUUUUGCCAGCUUCAAGUUCUUUUAGGAAAUAUACUGGGAUAUCGGCAGAGAAUGCAAUUUAUAUCUUUAUGGCUUCUCAUUUAGCCUCCCGAUGAUCGCAGCAUUCAACCACAUUCAAACUUUCUCGGCUCUUUGCACUCAAGCUAGACUUAGCAAUUCGCCUCAAGCAUUCCUCUUGGUAACUCUUCUUCAGAAUGCUUCGGGCUUGCCUAAUCUUGUUGGAAAUAAGAGUGGAUAUAAUGCAGGUAAUUUGUGGUUUAACUUAGGUUGUGACUGAAAAUGCAAUGAAAUUCGGCUAAGAAUGACUUGCUGCAUUCUCAGAAUAUUCCUUCCGUUGAUGACCUUCAGAGGCAAGUCAGACAAACAGCAAAACAUAGAUCUGAAGGCUGUGUUGAGUUGAAGUAACUUCUAGAAUUCACCGGCAACAUUGCAUUGCUUCGGGUGUCUCUUGAUGAUUUAAGUUGGAAGUCUGUUGCUAGGUCAGUAUCAAGCAAGUCUUUUUUUUUUCAGGAAAAGGUGACCGGCUCCGCACCACCCACGACUAACGAUCCAAGAUUGGUGAGCAUGUUGCCAAAGCCUCAUCAAGAUGUUGGCAACUAGAAAGUCUCUCCAUAUGAGAUAUACCAUAGCUAGGCAAUGCAACAAGAGUUGUUCGGAGAACCAAGCAAUAAAGUCGUUAGUUGGGGCAUUAGUAUGAAUUGUUGUACGUUGGCUAAACCCAUUGGUUGCAGUAACGUGGGCUUCUUGUCGGCAUUAGCGUGAAUUCUUGUCUUUUGUCUGAUGGCUGAGCCCAUUUGCUUGUGAUGAUUUCAUAACCUAUCCAGAAAAGAGGAAAAAAGUACUAGCACAUGAUAUUAUGUUUACCAUUUGAUGGCAUUGGGUCGAAUCGAUCAAGAAUUUUCUCUAUGUUUUUCCUAAACAGAACAUACAGCCUCUCCCUAUAGAUGUUUUUUUUUUUUUUGGUAACUUAAGGAAGUCCGCACGGCCGGCAGCCGGAGGUAAACCACUGGGGGCGACACGUGUUAGCCACUACACACGUGUCACCGGGUAAGUCGCCAAAAGACUCAAAGCUAGCCUUCCUGCAACUUGCGUUGCAAGAGCUUCGAACACUAAACCUCCUUGAUGGAAGUCUAGCGCCUACCUAGCUGAGCCAUCACGGUAGGUGGUCUCCCUGUAGAUGUUUCAUAUUGUUUGCUAUCAAAAAUUUGUUACCUUAACCCUCAAGAUGAGAGUCACUCAUGGCCAUUCUUGUAGAUGUUUCAUAUCGUUUGCUAUAAAAAAUUUGUUACCCUAACCCUCAAGAUGAGAGUCACUCAUGGCCAUUCUACAUAGCAUAUCCCAAGAUGGGGCGUCAAGUCAAGCAAGCAUAACAAAGAAUAUAAUCCAUCCGUCCUUGUUCUUGAAGCUAUCCCUCGCAUCACCGACAAAACUAUCUCGCUAGCUGUAUGGCUGCCCGAGCUGCCAUGUCUAGGUCGUCGGAACACUAUCCUCCUUUAUCGGUGGGAUAGACCAUUGUCGUGUGAUACGAGUUUGAUUAAUGGAAUGAACCAUUGACAUGAAAUACAACGAGUUCAAUUAUUGAAUUGAACUAGUGAUAUUGUUUUGAUAUUAUGGACAAACAGGAAAUUAUGCUAUUGAUAUAGCCAGUUUGAAAUAUUACAUAAUUCAUUUUAUUCUUCCAAUUUGUUAUAUGUUGGAUUGACAUAAAUGAGUCAUGUCAUUGAGUUCUAAAUAUGUAAAGUGGAGGCUCGAUCUGCUUAUAAGAUAUGUACUAUUCACUAAGCUUUGGUUGCUCACUUCUCUUUCCCAAUCUUUUUAGGUUUCUUACUUAGUGGCCAUUAGAGUGAGAGCAUUGGGCUUUUAGAGUUGGAAUGUGGUGGUUCGAGGUUAUGCCUUUCGAGUGUAAGGACGGCUGUGUCAUCUCCAUCCCUUUAGGAUUCGGGGUGUGACCCUAGUAUUGUCACUUUAGGCUCUUAUUUAAAAUAAUAUUCACUUUAGAACCUUAUUUUAGAAACUGAAGGGACUUCAAGCCCUCAUUUAAAAUAGGAUCAACUUCAAGUCCUUAAUUGAGAAGAUAAACGUACUUCAUACCCUUAUUUUAGAAACUUUUAACGAUCUUUUUUUUUCCUCUUUUUUUUUCCCUUCCUUGUUCCUCCUUCCUCUAGCCGGUAGUAGUGAGCACUGGCGAGGCUCAUCCCCACUAGCCACUAUUGUGGGUGAGCCUCACUUAGUGAUGGUGAGGCCCUGUUAGAUUUGGCGAGGCCAUAACUUGCUCAUGGUUGGCGAGGCUUGCUCAUGCUAGAGACUGCAUGAGGUCACACCCUUCAACCCCACGAGCUUUGGUGAGGCACGACCUCAUUAGAUUUGGUGAGGUAAGGCAUCAUUCAUGGCUAGUGAGGCUUGACUCUCACUAGAUUGGCAAGUGCGAGUGUCGCCUAGCCAUUGGCAACCUUGGCCAGAGGUUGCAUAGUGGCAACCGGCUAAAGGAAGGAGGAUGAAGUGAAGAAAAAAAGAAAGAAAAAAAAAGAAAAAAUUAAUAAAAAUAAGAUAAAAACAAAAUAUUAUAUGUUAGCAUCCACUAAACAAUUAGCCAAAAUUAGGUGAAUGGACUAAAUUGACACAAUUGUAAAAAUUUUAGGAUUAAGUUAAUAAAAAAUAAAAAAAGGUUUAUGACUGAAUUGGAAAAAUUACAAUAGGUUUAAAAUUGUUUUUGUAAUUUUUUCUGGAAUUUUCCCAACCUGAGUGGAUAAGCUCUAGGCCUGCAAUUGAAGAGAAAAGCUGCAACGGUGGCCAAUAUUCCUCUGCCCAUUUAAUUUCCAACCUAUUUUCUUUUUCUCCCUUUUUUUCCUUUCUUAUUAUGGAAUAUCAAAUGGCAGGUGAAUUACCAAAAAAGUUCUAAUCGUGUUGAACUUUGUGCUAAUAAUCUACACCUUUCAAUUUGGCCAAUUAAAUCCUAACUCUUUUUUUUACCAAAAAUAUAAAAACCUAACACCUUUAAUGAUUUGCCAAAGUAUGGAUGUUGACCAUCCUACGUGGUAUGACCGAUGCCGACGUGGCUAAUUAUAUAAUUUUUAAAUAAUUUAUCUAAUUUUUUCUACUUCUUUUCCCUUUUUGUGUUAGUCGCCGACCAUCAGGUGGUGAGAGUUGACCUCACUUGGCGAGGUUCGGCCUCAACAAAUUUUGCAAGACUGGUCCAUGCCCAAGAGAGGCCUAAUGAGGGUUGGCUUGGCCAAAUCUGGCGAAGGGGUCCUCAGCGGCUCUCACCCUCCCCCUUACCAGCACUUGCUCUCACCCAUGCCAAGCUCAGAAAGGGAAGGGAACAAAAUGAAAACAAAAAAAAGAAAAAAAAAAGAAAGGAAAAUAAAAUUUUAAAAUAUUAUUGAUAAAUCAUAAAAAAUUAUUCAUGUCAGUGCUAAUCGUGUCACCUAGGAUGUCCAGCGUCCAGCUUCAAUGAUUUAUUACCAAAAUUAGCCGGAUAGACCGCAUUGGCAAAUUAUCUAACGGUUUAAAACUUGGUCAAAUUAAAAUUUUAGUACUAAAUUGAUAAAAGUUCAAUAAAUUUAAGAAUUUAUUGGUAAUAUUCGCUCAGACUGUGCCAUGGACGCAAAGCCAAAGCGUCGCAACUCGCAAGCUUGGGAGAGAGGUAAUUGCUUGGGAUUAUGACUGGGUCAAUGUAAGCUCCUCGGACUAGUUAAAUUCUAGUUGGUUCACGCCAAAACGGGGGGUUCUCGAGAAAUUCCUUAAUUAUUGUCCAACUGGAACAAUUUCCAUUAAAAAUGUCAUCUCAUCCUCAAAUCUUGUUUCCGCAUUCUCUUAUGAGAUAUAUAUAUAUAUAUAUAUAUAUAUAUAUAUUUUCUUUCUCAAUUUUGUUAUUAUUUUGGAUCUUCUCCGGUUCAGAUAAAGUCAUUCACAUAAUUACAUGGCGGAAGAAAUUGUAUAUGUCAAGAAAAUCAGCCUGAAGCAUUUUUCUAUAGUGAAAUUCAUUAGAUAAAUUAAGAUUGGGUUAUUGAUUACUCGUCAUUUUCUUUUAUUUGAAUGAGCUGGUCAAAUUGGAGAUUAAUUAACUUUGUUUUGUGCUUGCUUUUCUUCAUCUUCAUGCAAGGAAUACGAAUUUCAUUUUCCAACAAAAGGAGCAAGGCAAGAAUAAAGAAUAAACAGGAAGAAACCCAAGGAAAUGCAUUUGGAAGUGCAUUGGCUACAAUAAAACUUCUCGGGAUUGUCUAUUUCUAGCAUCAAGAUAAGAAUAAUUCGGGGGAGAGAACCCGGAUUUCAUUUUCCAACAAAAGGAGCAAGGCAAGAAUAAAGAGAGAAAAGGAAGAAACAAAGGAAAAUGCACUCAGAUUGGGUACAGUAAAACUUCUAAAGCUUGUCUAUUUCUGACACCAAGAUAAGAAUAAUGCAGAAGAGAGAAUUAUGUAAAUUUUAUAUAAUACUAUAUUAUCAUGUAGAGUGAGUGGCAUUAUUUAUAAGCAUUAUGAAAUGACUAUAUUAGAUAAUAAUAUUUAAUGAUAUCAAUUAUAAUUAAUCAAAAAUAUGGGAAGAUAUUUUUAUAAUCUGAAAAGAUAUGCAGAAUCGAGAGUUAUGGAAAAUCUCCUAUAUAUAUAACAUCCUCAAAUUCCAAGUGACGCAAAAGCAGUCACUUGUGGAUUGGAGAAAAGAUCUUAAAAAAACACUCGGGUCAAUGAUGCUUGUUGAGGCCGACCAAGCUCGGGCGUCUAGUCCAUCGAGUAAGGCAACAGUUCUCUUUAGGCACAACAACUGGUUUCGGCCUGCCAUGGCCUCGUUAGGAGAGCGGCAUCAGCUCCCGACCAGUUUGUGCACGGGAGGCCUACCCCGUCUUCAGAGCUCCUAAGUGAUAUAAUCCUUCUAUCCUAGAACUCCUAGCACCAACCAUCCUGACGCCACUCCCACGGACCAGUUGUGUUUUACCUUUCUGCCUCAUACUCUUCACCAGAUAACCCCAAGCGCCACUCACAAGUGUCACGAGUACGGGAGGAUUCACGGACCGUGACAUUCUCCCCCAUUCAAUUCGCAACGCCCUCGUUGCGAUCUCUGCUCUGUCGCUUCCUUGCGUAAGUUAACCAUUGAUGUGCCACUUUUGGGAAUUCACAUCGAACGGUCACGCUCGCCCAACAAAACAGGUCUUGUUCCAUUGGUGGCCUCUUUUGAUCUCAGCCGCUCGGCCCUUCAGUCACCUGCGCUUUUUGGCAAGUGUGGCAUUUUUCGCCAACCACAUCUUUUGGCAGCACCCUUUAAGCCUAACCAGCAUCUUGACCCCAGCAGACCAAUGGAGGUUCUUUUCUUGUUGAAAACGUGAUAGUAGACCUCUUCUUCGAAUUCACCGAUCGAUCCAAGAACGUUGUCCCCAUUUAGCAAGGGUUCGGUUCUUCUCUAACUCGCAUUCCGCUCGAUGAGAAGCCGACUUGUCCUAGCACCCAUCCACCAGGACUUAUCUGCUUGACCCGCACUUGAGCAAGGAGUUCGAUUCUCUGACUUGCUCACUCGCUUACUAGAGGGAUUCCUGCUCUGAUACCACUUGUCACGGGCCGAUCGAUUGGGAUCGUGACCGCGUGGCGACUCGGGCACUUUAGGAUCGGAAUGGAUCACCAAAACACCUGAGCCAAGCCUUACACAGUCGAACGCUCACUCGCUCGCCUUACCCAGAUCGUAGAGAGAGAAAGGAUCUAGAGAGAAGAGCUCUGGAAAGAAGACUUGCUUUGUAUUGCGGAAGUAGUUGAUGAUUACAAAUGAAGGAGGACACCCCUUUUAUAGUUGAGGGCCUCGGAUUACAUCCAUUGAUCUAGAAUUAUAUCGGCGGAUGAGAUCGCACCGCCUCAACUACCGACAUAAUGUCAACUACCAUCUACUAACAUAAAUGAAAAGAACAGACUCUCGUAAUAUAACUCAAUGACGGUAUCGCCCGCCCUUGCAAUGUUCGGGGAGAAGGCUCGGUGGGAAUCCGAGCGACAGCAGGAGGACCACGGGCGAGUUGGGGUCAACUCUGGGGAACCUCACGGGUCGUCCAUCUUUAGGCCCGUGACAUUCUCCCCCACUCAUUCGAGCGACGUCCUCGUUGCUCUCAGCUUGGCGGGCAGCCUUGCGGGCUUUGGCACGAUCUCUCUUGUGCUUGUUUCUCUUCGCUCGGACGCUCACUAACGAGGGACCGCAUCCUUCUAUGAUGAAGUCGGACUUGGUGCGCGGCUCGGUCUUUGGCUUGGACGGCGCACGCGGUGCGCACUCAACCUCGGGGAAGAGCGCUUGGAUGGGCAUGUCAUGAGUCGGAGUAGGAUCCAACUCGACCUUCGGUUUUACCUCGGACAGCUUGUUGAUGCGCAUGACGGCCUUCAAGCUCUUGUCAAGGCGUCGGAUCGACGCGAUGGUCUUGGUGUCGACCACCCCUUUGAUCAUGGGGAUCAUCGACAGGCACUUUUGAUCGAGGAUCAUCAUACACUUCGUCCUCAUGUCGAUCAUGGCUCCCACACUCUUGAAGAAUUGCAUGCCAAGUAUGAGAUCAUAAUCGUCAAGAGGGAUUACCUCGAAUCGCCCUUCCAUCCACCAAUCUUGACGUCCACGUCGGGUGUUGCUCCAACGCCAUGGAAGUCGCCCGAAUUGAUGGGCUUGUACGACUUCCCGGAUGGUUCCACGUGAAGUCCCAACACCUUUGCAACCUCGGUCGACAUGAACAUGUUGGAUGCGCCGGUGUUGACCAAAGCGUAAAGCGUUCGGCUGCCCACUUCGACCUCUACAAAGAACAUGUCGAUGUUUGGAGCGAUUCCCUCUUCUUUGGUCGGCGAUCGGGCUUGGACUGAGUUGAUCUUCCUCACAGCUCCAAUCCGGAUCUGCCGCUUGUCUUCUUUGGGCUCCUCCUUCUCUUCCUCAAUGGCAAGGAGGGCGUUGAUUCGACCCUUCUUCGGGCACUUUUGGUCUAGUGCGGACCUUUGCAAAUAAAGCAAGGAGAGGGCGGAGGUUGAUCGAACUUACUCGCGUAGUCGAUCGGUGGUCGACCUCUUUGGAAGAACGGCUUAGAAGUCCCUUCUCCCCAUGUUUUGGCUCGGCCGCCUUGAUCAUGCGCACCUCGGGGAGUGCUUCUCGUGUCGUCUUUGGGUCGAUCUGAUCUCCAAUCUCUUGCUCGGUUGUUCCUCGGCUCAACCUUGGUGAGGUCGACGAGAGACUCGGCCACGCUCAGCGCACGAGCUAGGCUACUCACGUCCCGCCGCUUCAACUCGAGCUGUGCCCAUGGCUUGAGUCCAUCCAUGAACGCUCCGAGAGCCUCCUCUUUGCUCAGGUUGCGAAUCUGGAGUUUGAGUUCCAUGAACUCUUUCACGUAUUCUUGGAUCGCACCUCUUUGCUCGAGGCGAUGGAGCAUGCUUCGAGCUUCUUGUUGAGCGAACUCGGGCAAGAAAUAGUCGUGGAAUUCCCUCAUGAAUUCAUCCCACGUGUUCACGAGAUCAGUGCCGCAUCGAAUCUCAUCGCACCUAUUGCACCACCACAGCAUUGCCGUAUCAGAUAGGAACAAGGAAGCGGUUCGUACCUUGGUCGACUCAUCUCGGAUGUUGACGGCGCCAAAGUAUUGUUCCAUGCUCCAUAUGAAGUUGUCCACCUCUUGGGUGGACCGGUUGCCUUUGAACUCCUUUGGCUUGGGCACCGCUUGAGUAGGCACCGCACCGUUCGUGAUGCUCAGCUUGCAUAGGGCGAGCUCAGUCUUGAGCUCUUGGAUCUCCGCCUUCAUGGCUUUGACCUCGUCCCUACACGGGCUUACCUCCUCGAUUAUUUGGACGCGCUUGUUCAAACCAUCGAUCGAUGCUUCGAGAGCUUCGUCCUUGUCGAACAAUGAAGCCAUGGCUUGGUUGAUGCCGGUCAUGAAGUCUUCACGGAGCGAGCCCUCAACCUCCAUGAUCCGGUCUCGCACAUCGUCAAGACCUUCCAUGAGUUCGAGCACGGCACUCCGGACCUUCCCGAUCUUCUCAUCGAACGUAGCCGCAGCAUCCACCGAGGCAUCUCUCUUCUUUGAUUUGCUGCGCAUGUCCUUGACUAGCACAGCCUCUCCAACUAUAUUCGCAUCUUGGCUUGACAUUCUUUCAAACAGCCGGCGCUCUUCAAUCUCUUGGAAAAGGAUCUCUCUUUAGCUCUGAUACCACUUUGUCACGGGCCGGGAGUUUCCUUGGCCUUGGAAACGACCCGCGAGCGCCUAGCGAGCGGAAUUCGCUAGGCCAGCCCUUUCUUUAGCUGUUCCACGAACGAUACGGUGAAUGAUUCUUCGUGCGAGAUCCUACCACGCCCAGCUUCGCUCGUCUAGUCCAUUGAGUAAGGCAGCAGUUCUCUUUAGGCACAACAACUGGUUUCGGCCUGCCAUGGCCUUGUCAGGAGAGCGGCAUCAGCUCCCGACCAAUUUGUGCACGGGAGGCCUACCCCGUCUUCAGAGCUCCUAAGUGAUAUAAUCCUUCUAUCCUAGAACUCCUAGCACCAACCGUCCUGACGCCACUCCCACGGACCAGUUGUGUUCUACCCUUCUGCCUCAUACUCUUCACCAGAUAACCCCAAGCGCCACUCACAAGUGUCACGAGUACGGGAGGAUUCACGGACUGUGACACUAUGCUAUCAUCUGGUGUCCUAAAGAGAGAACUGGUUGAAUUGUGCAAGCUAAGCAUGGUUGUGGUUCAGGCUAUGCGACUAUAGAAUAGGCUAAAGUGGCUAGUCUCUUUGCAAGAGGCUGACAUGGUUGCGUGGUAUCCUACAAAGAGAAUUGUGUAAUUUAUGUAUAUUAAUAUAUAGUGAUGAAUAGUGUAUGAGCCUAUCUAUGGAGUAUUAGAAAAAUCCUAAACUUAUAGCGUUAGUGCCACUAUAUUCUUAAAUAUUUUAAUUGUGUCAAUUAAGUCAUAAACCUUUUAAUUUAAAGCCAAUUAAUUUUUUUCAGCUAAUUUUAGUAAGAUAUUACUAAUGUGGACUUUGGUUGUACUACGUAACAUGAUUAGCAUUGAUGUUGAAAUUUUUAAUAAUAUUUUUAAAUUUUUUUGAAUUUUUCAAUCAUUUUUUUUCUUUUUUUCUUCCCUCCUCUUUCCUCCGAUGGCCGGUAUGGCCAUGGCUGGCAAGGGUCUGCCUCAUCAGGGCAAGGGCAAACAUUGGCAACGCCACCCUAGCCUAAGCGAGGGUCAAUGAUGCUUGUUGAGGCCGACCAAGCAUGGGCAAGGGUUGGCCUCCCCAAAUUUGGUGAGGUUGUCCUGUAAAAAAAAACAGAGAGAAAAAAAAGAGAUAAAAAUUUAAAAAUUAUUUUAAAAUGUUUACAUCAACACUGGUCGUGUCAUAUGGGAUUGCUGGCAUCCAUAUUAGCAAUAUUCGGUCAAAAUUAGUAGAAAUGACUAACUUGUUGCUUGUUAAAAAAAUUUAGGAACAAAUUGAUACAAUUAAGUGGAUUAUGACAAAAUUGGUACUAUGGAAAAUGUUUAAAACUUUUCUGAGAUUUUUCCCUUCUAUUUAUAGGUUUUAUGAUAUGACUAUAAAAAAUAAUAAAAUAUUAUAUCAAUCAUAAUCAAUCAUGAAAUGCGUAACCAAGAGAUACAUGUAUGAUUCAGAGAGAUAUGGAGAAUUGAGGGACAUAUGCAAAAUUCCCUAGAUGUACAUCCUUGACAAAGAGAACUGACUCGGAACGUUUUUCUAUGCCAUUACCUAACGAAAUUGUAUUGGAUAUGUCUCCUUAUUGGGGUCUGUUCGUUACUCUUGGAGUUUCGAGAAUUCCAAAGAUAAAUAUGCCCAGAAUAACAAAUUUAUAUAUAACCUAAUUUAAUAUAUCCUUCGUUAUUAUAUAACUUAAUUUACAACUUAAGAUAUAUCCAACCAUAAAAAUAAAAAUAAAAAUAAAAAUGUGUUUUAUGAAUUCAACUUACAUUUUGUCAUUACUGUGGCUUAUUGUCCUUGUUCUUCCCUAAUACACUAACUUUUCAAACCAUUCUUAAUAUACAACUAACCCUAGUUAAUUGAUUAUUUGUUUUUAAAAAUUCUAUGAGAAUGGGUUUUCCAAUUGUCGUAGCAAAUAUAAUCUAUUUAGGAGAAAAGGAAGACCAAAAGAGAGCCGCCUGACAAUAGUUCAUAUUUGAUCUCACGAUUGAUGAUGAUCGAUCGAUCAGCAGGUGACGUGUUCAUCGUCGGCCAUCCAACGGCUCAUACAGCCGUCCGCAACUUUGCCUCAUGUGAGACGAGCCCUCUUUCGUUUUCAAUUAUUAAACUCAGAAAUAAACUAGACCAUGUAACAUAUGACCGUCACCAGGACUUGCCGCUCCAGCUUGGUUCCAUGACCUUUUAAAAUCUCUACACGUCCCUCACAUUUUUCACGGUUGCACUACACUUCUCGUAUCCUUCCAAUUCUCUCUCUAGCUAUUGAAAUCCCAGCAAGAGAUUCACGUUGAUUCUACAAUUUAACUCGGCAUGGACAACAAUCGAGGAGGUCGUCAAGCAACCGCUGAGGAACAUGGGAUCAAGCUCAUGAAGCAGGAGUUAGCGUAUGACAUGUCCCAAGAUAUUGUGGCAGCGCUGCAAUGUUUGAAUGAAUCCCCAGGCGGAAGCACAUGUACCAUCUUCAGAACCCCUGAGGCGAUUGGAGGAGGUAUUGCCAAGGCAUGCCGGCCUCGCAUCGUCUCUAUUGGCCCAUACCACCAUGGGGAGCAGCAGUUGCAGAUGCUUCAGAAGCACAAGUGGAGAUACCUCCACACCAUGCUGGACCAAACUCAACACAGUGUCGGCCUCGAGGACCUCAUCAAUACAGUGGCACUGAAAGUGGAAAUGAUCCGGCAGUGCUAUUCGGAGAGCACUGAGUAUUUCAACGGACCUGAUCUUGUGAAAAUGAUGGUUGUUGAUGGAUGCUUCAUCAUUCAGUUUCUCCGUCAAAUCGCAGGGGUCAUGGCAAGAGACAGACGUAUGGAUCCCCCAUUAAAUAAUUCAUACGUGUUGUAUUCUGUUGCACGGGACCUUCUUCAGCUUGAGAACCAGGUCCCAUACUUUGUUCUCGAGGAUUUGUUUGAAACAACGAAUGUUCCAGAAGCAACGUGGUCCUUGGCCAAUCUUGCCUCCUAUUUCUUCAGCUGUUUCGAUUUAGGACCCGGCUAUGUCUUGGAAAGACAGAUCAAUAAAAAAGAAGUGCAUUUACUCGAUUCAUUUCGUCUGAGUUUAAUACCUUAGAGUCAACAAGACAGUCCAGUAGAGAAGAGUUCAUACCGUCCUUUGAUUAGAUCUGCCUCUGAGCUCCGUCGAGUGGGAAUUGGAUUCAAGCAAGGGCAAGCCAGCACCUUCCUGGGGAUCAAAUUUGACAAUGAACGCAGAACCGUCAGAAUUCCACAAACAGAAAUAAAUGAUGAUCUCAAUUGCAUCCUCCCAAAUAUGGUUGCUUUUGAACAGUGUCGUGGCCAAAUGGACGGGCACAUAACCGCCUAUAUAGACUGCUGAUGACGUACAGCUUUUGCGUGACUGUAAAGUCAUAUCGAAUUACGGUAUGAGCAACCAGGAUGUUGCACGCUUCUUCAGUGACGUCUGGAAGGACGCUAUUAUAGACAUCCCUGAUACCUAUCUAGCGUUGCACUUUUCAUUUUUAAAUGAGUCUUUUAAGUAUGAGUGGGCUCAUCUUUGCUGGGCACAACUCCUAAAUGCUUUUCAUGACAACCCAUGGUCAACUCUUUCGGGCUUAGCUGUUGUAGUUACGCUUGUAGGCAUCAUUCAAAUAGUGUAUGCCGUGUUGCAGUACUAUCAUCCCAAGUAGCAGGAAGCAUAUAAAAGCCGCGUCUUCCAAUUUCAUUCCAUAUAUAUAGAGUACGUUUUUAGUGAAUCUUUUGAGUUGUUGAUACUUCCCUUGACCAUAUCAAUCUUGAGUAUGUGGAUUAACAGUUAUCAUGACUAAAGUGGUGAUCACUAAGGGAGAGCACAAGCCGGUGAUCCCAUUUCGCCCGGGAAUCCAGAACUUACUCCACCCUAGGCCUAGCCACUACCGAGUUUCAUGGAACUAAGGACCGAAUCAGCUGGUUAAAUGGUGUUCUAUAACUAAUAAAACCAAAGUUACACGACAAAAAAGUUGUAUUGGUGCAAAACCAUCGUUAUUUUACUAGCCAUGUUAAAUACUUGUGUUACAAAUAAAUGAACCUUUCCACCCAAAAAAGAGCCCAAUGCAUCAUAAAAUGCGUCUCUACCAUUGUCAACCUAUUCUCGAGUUGUCUCUUCCAAAUACCGAAGUUGUCGCCCAGUUCAUUGCAAUGUAGAACCUGUUCCUCUAGCUGACUACCCUUGUGAGAUAAGCUGAAUGCCAAACCAGCCAGCUCAUGAAUCCUACGUGCAAUAUCCCCUUCGCGUCCUGCAUAAAAGACUGUUUGCAUAAGUGACGACAAUUGAUUCCAUGAAUCAGAGAGUACUAGGUAUUGGGAAAGAAAACCAUAAGUUUCGCAUGGUAGCAUGUUAUGCACCUUAGACUGGCGUAAAUCGACGAGCGCCUUGUAACGCCCAACAGAAGCCAUGCUUCCCAAAUGCCUGCACGCGAAUGGGUCUCCUAGAGGUAUGUCUUUUAAGCAAAAUGCCUUCCCUCCAUUUUGCUUCCCUAUCCUACGAAACAGCUCCUCCAAGAAUUUCCCUUUCCUUUCCGCGACCUGUUUCAGAAAUCAGUAUUCAUAUUAUUUCCCAGGAAAGAAACCCUUUAUGCAAUGAGAAAGAGAUACCGAAUGACCAAUUACAGUUUCAAAGGGAAGGAUUCAUGCCACAUCUUGUACAAAGUAGAGCAAGGAGAUGAAGAUUGUCGAUCAAACGAGUGGAGAUCAAACGAAAAGCAACAGCGACAAAUCUUCAAAGGAGUCAGAUUGGUUGACUGGAUCUGAGCUAAAGCACUAGCCUCGUCUCUUCAAGAAAACUCGAUCACAUAUUAUUUGACUAUGAGAUUUAUUUGCUCUUUAUAUGUGUGUGUGCGGCAUCUCUCAAUCUUUGACUUUAAGCUUUUGGGUUGGAUUAGCCAACACACUCUGAUAUGAAAUAGUUGAGAGGACAUAUCAUUUACUUAGAAGAUGGUCAAAUGCUAAAAUGAGAUUAUCACGAAGUUGUUGAUUUAAGCGGCAAAGGAGAGAAAAGAGAUCUUUUCUCCUCACGUUUCACCAGCGGGAUUAGGGAAGUUCAAGUGACUUGACAAAAUCUGAGGGUCCAAUGCUGGCGGACCAGACUAGGAGAGCGUAUGGAACAUCUGUCCCAUCAUUCAGCACGAUUUUCUUCGCAUGAACCUCUUUCACCGGGCCUCUUUUAAGAUGAACUCCUGACUAAGCAUUGCGAGCAUUAGAUCAGCAACACAAUGAACUGCUAGAAAAGAUGACGGUAGCUUGAGAAAGAAAAUCAACUUACCCUUGUUAAGAUCAUUAAUCAUUGAGAAACUGUAAGUGAAAACAAUGAGCAUCUUCUUCUAUUCCUGAAACUUUGAAGGUUGCUCUGUAAGCGCAAUUCAUAUAGUUGUAGAAUUAAAAUACCUGGAUUUUCGGAGAGCAUGAGGUUCAACAAAAGCCUCUGCCUGAUUUCUUGGACAUGAUUCACCUCACGAAGCAAGUAGGCAUGUUCCUUGAUCGAUAAGCAAUGGGAUUUAGCAAAAGAGAAAAUCCUAAGGGAAAAACAUGGUGGAUUUGGAACAACUAGUGUUAUUUGAUAUUUCUUAUAGGUGCAACUUCUGUUCCAUCAUGUUGAAGAAAUGAAAUUCUGUUCCAUCAUGUUGAAGAAAUGAAAUUCUACCUUAUCUCACUAUAUAGUAUGUACCUAAAACACUUCGAUAUUUGUUAGUAUAGUUGAUUUGCCAGGUAACCGCACAUGGGACUUUUAUAGCCGGGGGCCUACAAGGAAAUGCAAAUGCUUAGCCGGGGGCCUUCACGGAAAUGCAAAUGCUUGGACAAUGCACUUCGACGAUUGUUUACGCAGUAUAUCAUAAAUUUUUGAUGUUUGUCAAUUGCUAAUUGAAGAACAUGGAGGAAAAUUCCAGCUGCACAUCCCGAAUAGCCAGAUGUUCGACUUACUUCGUGCUCGUCAGCGUCAAAUUCCAGUGCAGGGAGCCAAAUAGAAGUACGAAUUGGGAGUUUGCCACAAGAGCAGGCUGCAUCCGGCUAAUGGGCUCACCCACUGAACGGAACUCCAAAGUUCGACGGAAGAAGGCGAGUGAAAAUCAUGUGAUUUCAGGGUGAAAUGCACACGAAAUCAUACACAUAAAUAUUAAGCCCCUUCAUAAACCAGCAAGCCGCCCAACAGGAACCAAGAACGACCACCCUUGGCUUUUCUCCGGGCUUAGUCGGUUCAAGACCUGGAUAUCUGACGCUUUCAUAUAAUGGGAAAAUUUCUUCUGAUUUUCCAUAAGCAAAUAAAAGACGAAAAAAGCCCAUAUUUCUUGGAGGAAAGGCGUCAAUUGUAACCGAUGCAUUCAAUCAAAGGCUCGUUCUUUUGUGCAACAACCAAAUUGAUGAUUUCAUCAAUCUCAUUUGACUGCCCUCCUAACAUCCACCGAAUGCAAAUCUCACAUGUGUGAGCAUCAGCAUGGAGUUUUUCUUGGUAUGCCAUGACCAAGAACAAUGAAAAAAGAAUGUCAACAGAGACAAAUGGUUUCCUUUAAACAAUUAAAGCUGUAAAUGUACAUGGCGAAAUUCCUCUUUUCACGAGUCAAUUGUAGAAAUGAAGUUCAUUUCACGUUCUCUGCCAUAGGAUGAACCCCCAGACAAAAGCAGAACAAAAGGCAAGAACAGAGGUCUUUUCACCUGGAAAUUUUAUUAAUUCCUCAAGAUGGAUCACAUCGAUGGUCAUUAGGUAACACUGUUCAAGAGCGCACUAAUAGCGUGAGGAAUAUGUAAUGGACAAACUACAAAGAGGUAAAAUAAACCAGCUGCAGAUCUAACCAGUGAGCUCCGUUAAGAAAAACCAACAAUCAAUUAAAACCGGUGCCUGAACCAUACGAUAAUGACAACCAAUCAAAGAAUAUGAGCAAAACCAUGUUUACAUGGAGACCUACUAGAAAAUGAAGCAAGAAGAAAGGACGUGAAAGCAAGCCUCCAAGAUGAAACGAGACGUUUCAAAGUUGAGAAACAUGUUGGUGUGUUUUUUGCUGCUGUUGGACUCCAAUGCGUCUCCAAAUGUCGUUGAAAGGAGGAGAUGGUCUAUCAACUCGAUCAAAUAAAGGGCAUUUCCAACAAAAGAUCGUUAAUGACUUCUUUAAAUUGGUAAAAAAAAAAGAUGCAGUUAUUUAUAAAAGAGAACAAAAGCUUGGGUGAAGAAGUUAGAAGAAGCCAUUGCAACUUGUUUUGAUAAUAGUUGAGAGAAUGAAAGAGUUCAAAAAAUACCAGCAGGUUGUCAGAAAAUAUCGAGGACUAUACAGGCAUUAAAAUCCGAUAUUUGACCUUCGGACACGUCAGUUUCUUAUAUUUCACAUUUGAGAUGGGUAACUUUAGAAUAUGAAAAGUGGAUAAAGUUUUUCAUGCAUCUAUGGGUAUCUAUAUAAAAGAUUAGAACCUUAAAUCAAGUUUUUAUUUUGUAACUUCUUUUUUUUUAGUCGAACUCCACCUUAUUUUAAAAAUAUAUCUUUUGUACAUGAAAAGUUAUACAGAGUAGAGCUAGGGACAAGUUCAGUAAGAGUGCUAUGACCUCUCUCUCUUUUCCCCGCUUACUUAAAUACCACAUUAGAAUAAAAUCGAUCAUUUAAGUGCAAUUUUCCGCAAAUCUUCCUACAUGGAUUUUUAUUAUUAUUUCCCAUUCCGACGUGGAUUUAUUUUUUAUUUGUGAUUUUUUUUAUUAAUUAUCCACGUUAGCUCCAAUUAUAUCACGUAGGACAACUAACAUCCACAUUAGAUUUUCUGGCAAGACAAAUUACCGAUAGACUAAAGUGAUUGAUUUUUCAAAUUUAAGGCACUCAAAUGAGCAUCAUAUAAAAGUUACGGUACUCCUAAUGUACUUUUCCUAAAAAUGCUUAUACAUGUGUCGUUGAAUGAAUGGUUAUUUAAAUAUUUGAGAAAAUUAUCAAUUAGUCUUAAACAAAUUUUACAAAUAUCAAUUCAGUUUUAACUUUCUAAUUACGUUAUAGUCCUACACAAUUGCGUGAUAUUUAAAUAUAGUAUUUCCUACCAUUUGCCAUCGCAAAUUACGACGUAGAAAUUAAUAAAUUGUCCGCAUUAGCAUGCCACUUAGGACGCCGGCAAUGAUUAGAUGCCACGUCAACAAUUUUCAAUGGCAAUUAGUAGGAAAGACUAGAUUGAAAUAUAACCCAAAAGUUUUGGACUACAUUAACAAAAUUAAAAAGUAUGACUGAUCAAGUGGAGUAAUUAGUUGUUGACAAGGAAAUUAUGACAAUUGUAAUUGCAUUAUGAGACAAUCCAAUCAAACCAUUGGCAAAUGCAUAUUUUUUGUCAAUUCUAAAUGCAAAAUUUCCAAAGAAAGAGAAGAAAAAAUGUAUAUAUAUUCUAAAUCUGGCACCUGCAAGAGAUAGUGUAAUCAAUUUAAGGUAAUAGGGGCAUCAUAAGUGCAAAAUGAAUGGAAAAAGCACGAGCCUUUAUGAGUUUAUUCUUUUCACAUAAUUGCUCAUUUAAAUGUUAAACCUAACCUUUUGAGUUGAUGCGAGUAAAAUAAGGAGAGAAUUGGUGAGUUUCUAGAGUCAAGGGCCGGAUGAUAGUUAAGAAAAAGGAGAGGGAAGGAGGUAAUUUAAAAUAAGGAGAGAAUAUGGUGGGUUUCAGUUUUUUAAAAUUUAAUGUCUUUCCCAAUUAGAUUUUUAUUUAGCAAAAAAAAAAAAUGAAACUUUUCAAACUAUACAAAUAAAAACAUGUAAAAUCAUGUAUUUUCCAUAAUUUUAUUAAACCUAAUCUUUUAAAAGUAUCGAAUUUUGCGUAGAAUGAUACAGUUUUAACAUUACAAGCUCUGUAUGUACGUCAAUUAGAAUAUCUUAAGAAUUCAAUUUCUUUCUCAGAACCCUAUAUGGCAGGUAAAAGAUAUUAUUUUUCUCAUGAAAACCGUAGUAAGGAGGCCAGUUUCCGGGGAGUAAUGUGUAUUCGGAAAGCACCACUACUGGGGAAAAAAUUUAAGGAGUUGUCACCAUCGCUUUGCUCUUUCGCUAACACGUAGUCAUUUCUUUUACAAAACAGACGGCCGUGAAAAUUCAUGGUCGAUCUAUCGCUUGAUGAUGAUUGUCAAUCAGCAUCCGACAGCUCAUGAGCACUCGAUGACUUUACUACAUGUAAGUCAAGCUUCUCCCCUGGCAUUUGUCAUAGGAUACACUGCACUGCUCUUGACAUCCUUUCGAUUCUCCAUCUUUCUUUCUUUUUCCUUUUUUUCGCUAGGAAUUUCGAUUCUCUAUCUAGCUAUCGAAAUUCCAGCAAGAAAUUCACGUAGAUUCUACAAUUUGAAUCGGCAUGGACAAAAACCGAGGAGGUCAUCAAGCAACCACCCAAAAACAUGAGAUCGAGCUCAUGAAGCAUCAGCUAUUGCCUUCCAUGUCACAAGAUAUUGAAGCAGAGCCGAAAUUGUUGACUGAAUCAGCAGACAAAAGCAGAUGUAGCGUCUUCAGAGUGCCCUGGGCACUUUGCUGGAGGAAACGCCGAGGCGUGCCGGCCUUGCAUCGUCUCUAUUGGCCCAUACCACUAUGGAGAAGUGCAGCUGGGAAUGCUUCAGGAACACAAGUGGAGAUACCUCCAAAGCAUGCUGGACCAAACUCAACCGCACGGUGUCGGACUUGAGGACCUCAUCGAUACAUUGGCACCGAAAGUGGAAAUAAUUCGGAAGUGCUACUCGGAAAGCACCGACCGUUUCAGUGGACCUGAUCUUGUGAAAAUGAUGGCUCUUGACGGACGCUUCAUCAUUCAGUUCCUCCAUCAAAUGGCAGGGGUCAUACAGAUUGAUCCCUCAUUGAAAAAUUCAUACGUGUUAGCUUCCGUUAUGCGGGACCUUCUUUGGCUCGAGAACCAGGUCCCGUACCUUGUUCUCGAGGAUUUGUUUGAAACGGCGAAUGUUCCAAAAGGAACCUUGUCCUUGGCCGAUCUUGCCUUCCAUUUCUUCAGCCGCUUUCUGGAAGUAUUUGGCAAUGUAUGGGAAAGGCGGAGCAACCUAAAAGGAGUGCAUUUACUUGAUUCAUUUCGUCUGAGUUUAAUAGCUUGGGAUCAACGAGACAUUUAUCCAUUAAAUAAGAGGUCGUCUCAUCAUCUAAUCAAAUCUGCUUCCGAGCUUUGUCGUGUGGGAAUUGAAUUCAAGUGUUGGGAUUAACGGAUCCCCAAAAAACGGAUUCGACACUAAAUCGAACCCCUAAAACGAAUGCGGAAGACAAGCCCGGGAAAAUCACGUAUCACCGAUCCUAAAGCACACCACGGAUUCAAGCGUACCUUGUUAGCCACAGAUUAAACACCGACACUGACGUGAGGAAGAGAAUUUGGCCCUGUUCGAUCCAAUGACGCCAAAUUGUGGUUGAAGGGAAGAAAAUUGUUGCCGGAGCCUUACUGUUUUCCUUUUUGUGAGAGAGAGAGAGGGGGGGGGGGGGAGGGAGACGUACGUACGUUCUGAUUUCCAAAAGGUGCGUUCUCCCUCUCUCUCAUCCCUUUUAUACGUCCCUCCAUCCACGGGCCCUAUUCUUGUGGGCCGGGCUUUUAGGCCCAACAUGGGCGAACGGGCCUUAAGCCCAUCAUUAAUAAAACCAUCAUCUCCCACUCGCACAUGGUGGGCUGAAUAAGAUUCUCUUUACCUCUCUUCAACAUUCUUACCGGUGAAUAAUCUGUGCGACCAGCAUACUUUGAGAGCUCGUUGCUAUACAUAUGUUAGGAAUAUAUAGCAGCUCAUAAUGGGCGUCACAAUAUGAGUAGAUUUAGUAUGCAAAAGCCUAAAUCAAUCGAUCACAUUUAUAUCUCUCUUGAUCUCUUUCAAACAAUGAUAUAUAUAUUGUAUUCACAAUUAUAAUUAUCCCAAAGACAGUCAUAAUUGGUCGACCAGUGAACACAAAACUUAAAAUGUGAUUCUCCAUAUUCGAUCUUCCUCUUUCCUUCAAACUCUCAAUUUCAGUUUAGCUUGCUUUUCUAGAAAUGUCCAAUUAGAUCGAAUCAACUCAUGACCAUUGGCAACAUCUUAAGAUAUCAAACACUAAAUAGAAACCUUGAGAAUAAGUAAAAGUCAUGAGGGCACUAAAAUUAAGGAACUAUUUUCCUCAAGAGUCUCACACGACAUAAAAGUUGAGAUCAAAACUUUUGCCACUCUUAUUGAUUGUUUCAUGCAUACGUAGUAUGAAAUACAUAUUACGGUAUUAACUGCUUUCCCAUGGAGCGUAUGUCUACACCUUCAAUACCGUACAGAUGAUAGUUCAGACAUAUCAAAUGUCUAACUUGAGUUCACGUAUCUACUCAUUCACAAAAAUUCAUCAGAACUCACAUCUGGCAUCAUAGACAGAUAAAGUAAAAUAUAUGGGUUAUUUUACUUUUGGACAUAGUAAGUAUUAUGUCCUCAUCUUAACACUCAGUUAAGGCGACAUACGUAUUUUAAGCUUGAGCUCUCGAUUAUCACCUAGAAAAUAAGCUUAAAAACAGUAUUAUCUCUAUUUAUCACACAGUAAAUAGAGGUGAUUACCCGUGUGAGUGGGCUAAUCUUUUAUUUGUCCGACAUACUUUCUCAACUUAAAAUAAUGCACUGAGCAUUAAGAUGCAUAAAGAUCAAACAAACAUUCAUAGGCAUUAACAAUGAAAAAACAAAAGUUCAUAAAUGUGAACAACUCAGGAAAAUUACAAUCCAGUACAUCAGACUCUACACAAUCCUAGAGAUUUUACAUGACCACAAAACACAUCUCUAGAUAUUGGUUUUGUCAUAGGAUCUGCUACCAUUCUAUGUGUAGAUAUGUACUGUAAGUUCACAUCCUUUCGUGCAACCAUAUCCUUGACAAAGUUAUACUUGGUAUCUAUAUGUUUGGUCUUGCCAUGAUAUUUUGGAUCUUUGGUGUACGCUAUAACUGCUUGGCUAUCACAGUUAACCAAUAAUGGAUUUGCAGCUUUCUCAAUAACACCUAAAUGAUCCAAAAAUCUCUUAAGCCAAACUCAUUCUUGUACUGCUGCUGAUAAUGUCACGAACUCAACUUCCAUCGUGGAUAAGGCUAUACACGUUUGCUUCUUACUACUCCAUGAUAUGGCGCCAUUGUUCAGUAAGAAAGCAAAUCCUGAGGUAGAUUUUCUUUUAUCUAAAUCUCCUCCCCAACCAGCAUCUGAAUAGCCUUCAAGUCGCAGAUCUUUUCCUUGGUAAUUCAACUUGUAAUCAGCAGUUCCCUUCAGAUACCUCAGUAUUCUCUUAAUGGCUUUCCAAUGUGCUGGACCUGGAUUGGAUUGGUAUCUACUUACCAUUCCAACUGCAAAACAUAUGUCGGGUCUUGUACACAUCAUAACGUACAUCAAGCUCUCAAUAACACUAGUAUAAGGAACAUGUUUCAUUUGUUCCUUCUCUUGUGGAGUCAUUGGACACAGUCUAUGGCUCAAUCCUUCACCUUUUGCAAUGGGAGUGUUUAUGGGUUUACAAUCUUGCAUACGAAAUCGUUCAAGAACCUUGUUUAUAUAUAUUUCUUGCGAAAGAGAUAACGAUCUCUUUGAACGAUCUCUUGAAAUCUUAACUCCAAGAAUGUAUGCAGCCUCGCCCAUAUCUUUCAUCUCAAAGUUGGAAGACAACCAACUCUUGACAGUAUGAACAAACUCCAUAUUACUUCCGGCAAUUAGUAUAUCAUCAACAUAUAAUGAUAUGAUCACAAAUUGAUCCUUGGAUCUUUUGAUAUAUACACAAUGAUCCUCAUCAAUUAUUGUAAAAUCAUAUGCCAUUACGACAUUAUGAAAACGUAUAUACCAUUGUCUCGAUGACUGCUUGAGGCCAUAUAUCGAUAUCAAAAGUCGACAUACCUUUUCUUCUUGACCUUUUACUAUGAAACCAGCAGGUCGUUCUAUAUAUAUUUCUUCAUCUAAUUCUCCAUUGAAGAAAACAGUCUUUACAUCCAUAUGAUGUAAUUCAAGAUCCAUACCAGCCACUAUUGCCAGAAUAAUGCGAAUCGAGGUAAAUCUCACCACAGGAGAAAACGUAUCUUCAUAAUCAAUUCCAUCCUGUUGAUUAUACCCCUUCGCCACAAGGCGAGCCUUAUGCCUUUCUAUCGAGCCAUCAGCCUUUCGCUUUACUUUGAGAACCCACUUAUUCCCAAUUGCUCUGCGUCCUUUUGGAAGAUCAACCAAUUCCCAAACUUUGUUUGAUUUCAUUAACUCCAUUUCCUCUUCCAUUGCAUGAAUCCAUUUUUCCUUACCAGGGCAAUUCAGAACCUCAUCAAUAUUUCUUGGCUCAUUCUCAUCUUGUGGAGCAACCAUAAAAGUUUCCCCUUUAAUGUCAAAAUGUCGACGGGGAAUACUUUGGUGACUUGUUCGCCGUAUGGGAGAUUGUAUACUUUGCACAUCAUUCCCCAUUAUGCUCCCACUUAGAUUAGAUAAUGAUGAUGUCGUCUCAUUAUGUGGUUGUAAUUGAGAAUGAGUUGAAUUCAAUUCAUCACUUCUCAUAUUACUCCCACUUGGAUGAACUCCACUAAUAUCAUUAUCUUGAUCCAAGGUUUCAAAUAAGGAGUGAUCUUCCCUUAUUUCUCCCUUCUUAGGAAAUUCAUCCUCUAAAAAUGUGACAUCCCGUGAUUCAAAUUCAGUUAUACUCUCACUUUCCUGCUCACCUAUGAACACAUACCAUUUCGAGUGUUCCGAGUAUCUUAUGAAAAUACUCUUAUUUCCUUGGGACCCAAUUUCCCAAACUUGUGAGAGGACUCAAGUGUAUAGGCAGCACAAUCCCAUGGCUUAAGAAAACUUAAGUCCGGUUUUUCUACCUGUCCAUAACUCAUAUGGAGUAGAAGUAACUGAUUUGGAAGGCACCCGGUUAAGUAUAUAGGCAGCAGUUAACAACGCAUCACUCCAAAAAGUAAUAGGUAAAUUAGCAUGCGCCAUCAUGGACCUAACCAUUUCCAGUAGGGUUCUGUUUCUUCUCUCCGCAACACCAUUUUGUUGAGGAGUAUACAGAAUAGACAACUGUCUUUCUAUUCCUUUUUCAUCACAUAAUUUUCUGAGCUCAAUAGAUAAAUAUUCUCGACCUCGAUCGGAUCUCAAUGUUUUUAUUUUCUUGUCUAAUUGAUUUUCUACCAGGUUCAUAAACCUUUUGAAACAACUUAUUGCUUCAGAUUUAUGAGAAAUCAAAUAGACAUAUCCGAAUCGAGUAUAAUCAUCUAUAAAAGUGAUGAAAUAAACAGCCCCAUGCCUUCCUCUUACAUUCAUUGGACCAUAGACAUCAGAAUGGAUUAAAUGUAGAGGAAAUUCAACUCUUUUACCUUUUCCAAAUGGUUUCCUUGUCGUUUUCCCUUCUAGGCAAUGCUUACAUUUGGGCAAAUCGACUUUUUCAAUGUUGCCCAACAAGCCAUCUUUGGCUAGUCUAUUCAUACGCUGUUGGCCAAUGUGACCAAGUCUAGCAUGCCACACAUUCACAUAAUUAUCAUAUGUAUUAGGAGACAUGUGAAGGGAAUAACAAACAUUUGCAUUAACAUAAUCAAUAUCUAAUACAAUGAAACCAUCUAGAAAAUAACCGCAACCAUAGUAAUUUGUAUUCAAAAACAAAUCCACACCUCUAUUAUAGAAGUUCAUAUUAAAACCUAAUUUAACCAACACUAAAACAAACACUAAAUUUCGACGAAUCUCCGGAGCAUACAACACAUCAUGUAGGAACAAAGUGCGUCCACCACGCAUAUUCAAUUGGCAUGUGCCAAUUCCUUUCACUUCAGCUCUGGAGUUAUUUCCCACAUAGAUCCACUUAGUUCCAGUUGGUACUCGUCGGAAUUCCACGAAGGAUCCUCUAUCCUUCGUUACAUGGUAUGUCGCUCCUGAAUCCACAGUCCACAAAGGAUUAGACUCAAUUAAGAACACAGAACUCGACACAAAAGCAAAUUUCUGAAAAGUACAAGGGGUGCAUACCUUCUUUGGCUCAUGACAGUCGCGAGUAUAGUGACCCUUCUUGUCACAGUUGUAGCAUUCCACCCUUGCAAGCUUUUUCAUGCGAGGACGCUUUCCUCUUUCAUGUUAGUUAAACUUGGGUUUAUUCCCUGAAGGACCUGCUUCCUUGCCUUUCCCUUUAUCAAGCCAGUUAGGACGUUUGCGCUUGGAGCUUGAAGCUCUAUGUGAGCUAGAACUAGCAUGAUAGAGUUUAGCAUUCGGCUUAGCCGCUAAAAGGCGGUCCUCUUCCAGCUCAAGAUGGCGCAUUGCAUCCUCAAAAGUUUUGAUAUGUUCAUUAUGGGUCAGGUGCACCUUUAUAUGCUCCCAACUCUGAGGCAAGGAACGAAUCACUACUUGCACUUGCUGCUUAUUUGUGAGGACAUGGUCAGCAUCUUUCAGCUCAUUUAUCAUGUUUGACAUAUUUCUAAGAUGUUGCUUCAUGGUCUGACCAUGAGGCUUAUUGUAAAAGUCAAACCUAAUAGUGAGCUGUCUUAGUCUGGUCACCGAAGUAUAACCAAAUCUAGCUGCCAAUGCCUCCCACAUUUCUUUGGCAUUGUCAAAACGGCUAAACUCUCGCAUGAUGUCAUUUUCCAUGCUGCUUAGCAACGUGAUGCAAGCAAGAGAGUUCUUUCUUUUCCAUGCAGCAAAAGCUUCCUUAUCUCUCUUGUGCUGUGCAGUAUUUCCUUCUUCAGGUUCUACCAUGGUCAAGUUAAGAGCUUCAAGUGCUUCUUACUCUUCCAGCACAUAUUGGAUUUUCAUGUGCCAUAUCUCAUAGUUGUCGCCAUUGAGCUUUUCACCUUUAUUCAGCUCGACAACUAUGCUCUUCGUGGCUGAAGCCAUUGAUCUAAACACAUCAAACAUACAUGCACGAAUUAUUAAUGCUUAUCAUUUAUGCAUCACUUUUGCACAGACCCAUCAUAUUAAUGAACAAUUUCAAGUAAGGUUUCAGAUUCAAAAGGUCACUAAGUUUUCAAUCAUCCUCCAAAAAACCUAACUUAAAACUAUCAUUAAUAUAAUUGUCUUAUGCAAAAUAAAUUCUAUGAAGUUACAAAAACUUCUAUAACUACCCACAGCAACUAGCAAUAACAGAAAGCAACAGAUAAUUGACAUCCAAUAAAACAAUAAUGCUUUCAACUAAUACAACCAAGAUAUCGGUUGCUACAUCAACAACAAUCAGAUAGUAAACAUUACAUAAUAUGUCCACAAAGCACACUUAACAACGAUCAGCCAAUACAACUAACACCAAGUCAACACACGAACUGGGAAAGAUCCUCUUUUGUUCAAUUUCUUGAUCUUUUCCCUUGUAAUAAUCUAGUAAUAUUCAUUUACAAAAUCCAUCACAAUUUUCUUAUAAGAAGCAGCUCUGUUGACAUCCCAUAUGCGAUUCAACACUCCUUGCCAUUCAGGUGGAAGGGUGUUCAUUAAAAAUCGCACAAUCUCUGACUGUGGCAUAGGACGGCAAUUCCAUAUGACCUUUUGAAUUUUUUUUUUAUUGACCUCAAGGACAUGAUCAAUUAAGUCACCACUCUCCUGUCGAUGAUCAGUCAGCUCAGCUAUCAACUUAUAAAGCCUUUCCUUUUGUUCAUCGGUAAUUGCGCGAAUAGGUGUGCGCAACCUGAGGGGAGGCAUUUUUCCUGCAACAAAUGCAGAACAAAUAAGGUAUCACAAAUAAUCCACAUAGACUUAAUUGAAAAAGAAACACAUUCUUUUCCUCUUUCUUUUUUUUUUGAGUCAACGGUCGUCGAUCAACGGUCAACAGUCAACGGGUCAACGGACAACGGCCAGAGGUCGUCGGUCGUCGGACCAGUCGGAUUGGGUUGGACGAACCGACCGCACGUGCCGCCUGCGUGCGCGGGCUGACGUCACGCAAACGUCAGCUGGCACGUGCCGCGCAUGUGCCGCGCGCGUGCGCGAGCUGACGUCACGCAGACGCCAGCCGACACGUGCCGCGCACGUGCCAGGCGUCCGUGGGUCGGGUCGCCGGUCAGGUCGCCGGCCGGUGAUCGCCCGGCCAACCGUUGUUGACGCUGACGUCAUCCCAGCGGUUACUGAUCGUUGGGUGACGUCAUGCUGACGUUAGCACGCGUCGGUUCGCCAACCAGCGUGUGCCGGUUCACCGUCGGCGUCACGCACGUGCCGGUUCGCCGAUCGGCGCAUGGUGUCCACGCGCAGCGGCUUCUGGCCGCGCGUGUGGGCGUGUGCGGUGUCGCCCGGCGGCACACGACAUGUUGCCGGACUCGUCUCGACGAGCCCUUUCACCCUAUGCCUUCAGAAAUGGAUUUCGACUUAUAGAAACUCGAAAAAACGGACGGACAGUGCUCGGGUGUCGGGAUUUCUCGCCCCGAUCCGUGUCGGCCGUAUUUCUUUGCGAAAAAUCAAUCAAAAAACAUGAAAGAGGUCGGGAAAACAUUAACUAGGGCUUUGAUACCAAUUUUGGGAUUAACGGAUCCAAAAAAAACCAUAUUCGACACUAAAUUGAACCCCUAAAACGAAUGCAGAAGACAAGCCCGGGAAAAUCACCGAUCCUAAAGCACACCACGGAUUCGAGCGUACCUUGUUAGCCACAGAUUAAACACCGACGCCAAUGUGAGGAAGAAAAUUUGGCCAUGUUCGAUCCGAUGACGCCAAAUCGUGGUUGAAGGGAAGAAAAACGUUGCCGGAGCCUUAAUGUUUUCUUUUUUGUGAGAGAGAGAGAGAGGGGGGGGGGGGGAGGGAGACGUACGUACGUUCUGAUUUCUAAAAGGUGCGUUCUCCCUCUCUCUCAUCCCUUUUAUACGUCCCUCCAUCCACGGACCCUAUUCCUGUGGGCUGGGCUUUUAGACCCAACAUGGGCGGACGGGCCUUAAGCCCAUCAUUAAUAAAACCAUCAUCAAGCAAAGGGAAGCAGCACCCUUCUGGAGAUCGAGUUUGACCGCGAGCGCAGAAUCGUUGGAAUUCCAAAAGUAAUAAUAGAUGAUGAUCUCAAUUGGAUCCUCCCCAACAUGGUUGCUUUUGAACAGUGUCGUGGCCAAGGGGAUGGGCACAUAACUGCCUAUGCCACGUUCAUGGGAUACCGAUACCUCAUUCAUACGGCCAAUGAUGUACAACUUUUACGUGAUAGUAAAGUCAUCUCGAAUCACGGCAUGAGCAACGAGGAUAUAGCACAUUUCUUCAGUGAUGUGUGCAAGGAUGCUACUUUCUAUGUCAAGGGGAGCUAUCUAGAGUCACACUUUGCAAUUUUAAACAAGUCUCUCAAGUAUGAACGGACGUAUCUUUGCUGCGCACAACUCCUAAAUACUUUUUAUGACAACCUAUGGUCGGUUCUCUCAGGCCUAGCUAUUGUAGUAACGCUUGCAGGCAUGAUUCAAAUAGUUUAUGCUUUAUUGCAAUUAUAUCAUCCUUCGUUAGAGGAAGCAUGUAGAAGCUCUUCCAUAUCGAUUUUAUCACGUGUAUUGACUGUUUUGAAUGAAUAUUUCGAGUUAAGAGUACUUUAUUUGUCGCCAAAUCAAUCUUGAAUAAGUGACAGAACAGUUAUCAUCACUAAAGUGAUGGUCACUAGGGGAGUGCACGAACCAGGCCCCCACGUUGACCGCCUCCGGUCAUCAACCACCACCGUCAGCCACCACCUACCGUUGACCAUCAAUCUCCACCUCAAUCAUCAACCGUUUAUUAUUCAUAAAAAUACAGCAUGAUUAAAGCAAGCAGGGACACAAGAAGCAAACUGGUGCAGAUGUAUGCAAUGGUCAAGACUCAGGCCAUGGAUUCAGCAUCAUCACCUCGCCAACAACCACCAUUGAUAACCGUGGGAAUAUAUAACACAAGACAGAGAACAGCGAUUCGGCAGUAUGUUCAGCAAAUGUAAAAUACGCAUGUAAUCAUGUCAAAUGGUUACCGACUCAGAUUGCUCCAGGUGAACAACGCUAACAAGUUUCCAAGUCGAACGACUACAGGGAGUGUAAUAAGCUCGAAUUUGAUGCUAAAUUCAUAGAAAAGUGAUUCCCGCAUGUGCACAAUUAAUGAAAUUAACUCCUACAGAGCUGAUUUGAUCUUAACAGAAAUCAUCCCAUUUCAGUUUUUUUCCUUCAUCAGAAUAGAGCAAGAUCUAGUUGAAGUGUUACCAUAGUAAGGAGAAAUUCUUGAUUGCGAUAACUAAUCAAGCUAGCACAAGGAAGAUCUGGGAAGUGUUGACUGUGAAGAUGAACAACGGCUAUGAAGCUUCAAACACGAAUAACCUGCUUCGAGUCCUCGCGGCCAAGAACAGGGCAAACAGAGCUUCCUGUGGUGGUCGAACUGACAGUGACGAGAAGCGAUCCGAUGAUUGCAACGAUUGGCAACGUAGAGGCAGGAGAGGAUUCAGUGGAAAUCACUGAGAGAAUGACUUCUAGACGCUCAAAAGUUAUUCAAAUCUAUGCAACGAAUGUUCUCUGCUCUAGCUAUAGGUCUCUUUCGGUGUAUCUGGGCUGAAAUCCAAGCAAAGAAAGUGGGCAUUUCGGACUCUCCAACUAAAACUCCUCUUUUUCCAUCAUUUUUUUCAUUCAUUUUUAUUUAAUCAUUUAAUUAAUUCUCUCCUCCUCUUUUUUUUUUCCUCUUUUCUCCCCUUUUAUUGCCCGACAGAAGCCAUGCUUCCCAAAUGUUUGUCUAUGAAUAGGUCUUCGAGAGGCAUGUAUUUCAAGCGAAAUGCUUUCCUUGCAAUUUGCUUCCCUAUCCUACGUGAUGGAUUUAUGAGAUGGGCUUAAGGCCCGUCCGCCCAUGCUGGGCCCAAAAGGCCCGGCCCACGAGAAUAGGGCCCGUGGAAGGGGAAGGUAUAAAAGGGAGGAGAGAGAGAGAGAAGACACUGGUUGGAAAAACAGACGUACAUACGCUUUUCUCCCUUGCGCGUUCUCUCUCUCCAAAAGACAAAAAGAACAGUAAGGCAAACGGCACUGUUUUCCCUUCAAUUGACAUCAUCAGAUCAGAAUUUCUUCCUCUUCUUCAGCAUCGGUGUCUAAUCUAUGGCUAACAAGGUACGCUCGAAUUCGUGGUGUUCUUUACGAUCGGUGAUACGUGUUUUCCCAGGCUUCGUCUUCCGCAUUGAUUUAGGGGUUCGAUUUAGUGUCGAAUCCGGUUUUCGGGGAUCCGUUAUUCCCAACAUUGGUAUCAGACCCCUAGUUCACGUUUUCCCGAUCAAUUUGAUGUUUUUUGAUUGAUUUUUCGCAAAAACAAUUUCGGCCGUACGGAUCGGGGCGAGAAAUCCCGACACCUGAGCGUUGUUCGGCCAUUUUUCUAAGUUUUCGUAAGUCGAAAUCCUUUUCUGAAAACAUGGGUAGAAAGGCGACGUCGAGACGAGUCCGGCGACAUGUCGCACGCCUCCGGGAGACACCGCACGCGCCCACACGCGCGGCCAGAAGCCACUGCGCGUGGGCGCGACGCGCCCGAAGCGCUGGCAAUGGCCAGCGCGUGUGCCACACGCGCCAGUGACGAACCGGCACGUGCGCGCCGGCGACCGGCAAAACGGCACGCACCGGUCGGCGAACCGACGCGUGCUGACGUAACUCGCUGCCGUCAUCGUGACGUCACCCAACGGUCGGUAACCGUCGGGAUGACGUCAGCGCCGACAACGGUUGGCCGACCGACCCGACCCGAUCAGCCUGGCGCAUGCCGCACACGUGUCGGAUGACGUCUGCGUGACGUCAGCACGCUCACGCGCGAGGAACGUGCCGGUUGACGUGGGGUGACGUCAGCCAGCGCACGCGCGCGGCACGUGCGGUCGGUUCGUCUGACCGGCACGGCCGGUCCGACCGGCCCGACCGGUCCACCGACCCGCGCGCCCUUUGACCGUUGACUGACCGUUGACCGUUGACCGACGACCGUUGACUUUGACCGUUGACCAAAAAAAAAAAAAAGGAAUUUGUUUCUUUUUCAUGUAUGCCUAUGUGGUUUAUAUGUAAUCAAUUAUUUAUUCUGCAUUUGUUGCAUGAAUCAUGGAAAAUCAUGUAUUUUCCAUUUUGUUAAUUGUGGAUUAUUAGUGAUCCAUUUAAGUUUUGCAUUCGUUGCAGGAGCUAUGAUGCGUUAUGCACGGAUGCCUGCAAUCCCGAGAAUGAACGAGGGAAAUGCAAGACUUAAAAGGCUGAUGUUAGAUUUAGCUAAAUAUCGGUGGCAUAACGGUGAUUUAGUAACACAUGUGGUCAAGGUCAAUCAGAUGAUACAGGAAAUCAUCUGGAAUGGUUAUCUUAUGCCGGAUUUUGAGAAGGUGCCGGCUUUGAUGAACACUCUUCCACCUGAAUGGCAAGUAGUGUUGGAUCGGCUAUGGGAGGUCAACGUGGUCCCGGGUUAUAGGAGGCUGGUGGAAGCUUUUGUAAGAGAGCACUAUAGGAUUGAGUUGGCCAAAACUUCAACCCUUAGAUUGAGCGCCACAUGGCGUAGAGUAAAUGCGCCUUGGUGGCGACAUGAAUGCUCUCCAAAAGUUUUUCCAUGGUUGGCAAAUGUGCCUUUAGUUUUCUCAGAUUUUUUGACUGAUAGAUUAGAAUGGACAUUCCCUAAUUAUUUCUUAGAUUAAUUAUGAGAUGUUUUAUGGGUGUAAAUAUCUCUUUCCAUGUUGAUAUUUUUCUCUGUAUAUAUUGCUUAGUGUAAUGUAUAGUUGUAUUAGAUGAAAGCAUUGUUAUUCUAUUGGAUGUUAGAUAUUGUUGCUUUAUGUUGUUGCUGGUUGCUGUGGGUAAUUAGCUGUGGGUAGUGUUAGAAGUUUUUUUGCAGCUUCAUAGAAUUGAUUUUGCAUAUGACAAUCAUAUUAAUGAUAGUUUUAAGUUAGGAUUUUUGGAGGAUGAUUGGAAACAUAGUGACAUUUUGAUUCUGAAGCCGUACUUGAAAUUAUUCAUUAAUAUGAUGGGUCUAUGUAAAAGUGGAUGCAUAAAUGAUAGGCAUUAAUUAUUCGUGCAUAUAUGUCUGAUGUGUUCAGAUCGAUGGUUUCAGCAACUAAGAAUGUAAUUGCUGAUAUGAACGGCAGCAAUUGUGAAAUAUUGAAUAUGAAGAUUCAAUAUGUGCUGAAAAAGCAAGAAGCACUAGAAGCUCUUGACCAUGUUAUGGAAGAUCUUAUAAAUGAUGUGCGCCACUUUGAGCUAGCUGAGGACCGACUAACAUCAUUUGAGCAAAAAAUAGAUAUUUGCAAUGCUGGUUUUAGCUUAGAAAGGGCUUUGUGCUCUAAGUGCAAGCGUAUUGAUUCAUUCAAUAUGUGUGAAUGCAAAUGAUCAAGUCCUUAUUGCAAGAAAUCAAGAGUUAACCAACACAAGAGAGGAAAAUGUCCUCAAGUAAAGAAAAUGUCAAGGGUGAGGUGUUACAAUUGUGAUAAGAGAGGUCACUAUGCUCGCAACAGUUGUGAGCCAAAAAAAGAUAAACACUUCUUGCACAUUUGAGAACUUUGCUUAUGUGUUGAGUUCUGUAUUAUUGGCUGAAUCCAAUCCUUUGUAGACUGUAGAUUCAGGAACGACAGACCAUGUAAGGAAGGAUAGAGGAUCCUUCGUGGAAUUCCGACGAAUACCAACUGGAACUAAGUGGAUCUAUGUGGGAAACAACUCCAGAGCUGAAGUUAAAGGGAUUGGCACCUGCCAACUGAACAUGUGUGGUGGACGCACCUUGUUCCUACAUGAUUUUCUAAAUGCUCUAGAGAUUCGUCGAAAUUUAAAUGUCUGUUUUGAUGUUGGUUAAGCUUGGUUUUAGUGUGAACUUCCGUAAUAACGGUGUAGAUUUGUAUUUGAAUACAAACUACUAUGAAUGUGGUCACUUUCUAGAUGGUUUUAUUGUACUGAAUGUUGACUGUGGUGAUGUCAAUAUGUUAUUCCCUUGUUUCACGUCUUUUACUUCAUGUGAUAAUGAUGUGAAUGUGUGGCAUACUAGACUUUGUCAUAUUGUCCAACAACAUAUGAAUAGACUAGCCAAAGAAGGCAUGUUGGGCAAUAUUGAAUAAGUCAAUUUGUCCAUAUGUAAGCAUUGCCUAGAAGGGAAAACGAUAAGGAAACCAUUUGGAAAAGGUAAAAGAGCUGACGUUCCUCUGCAUUAAUCCAUUAUGACAUUUGUGGUUCAAUGACUGUAAGAGGAAGGCAUGGGACUGUUUAAUUUCAUCACUUUUAUAGAUGAUUAUACUCGAAUCGGAUAUGUCUAUUUGAUUUCUCAUAAAUCUGAAGCAUUAUGUUGUUUCAAAAGAUUUAUGAACUUGGUUGAAAAUCAAUUAGACAAUAAAAUAAAAGCAUUAAGAUCCGAUCGAGGUCGAGAAUAUUUAUCUGAUAAGUUCAGAAAAUUAUGUGGUGAAAAGGAAUAGAAAUAUAGUUGUCUAUUCCAUAUACUCUUCAACAAAAUGGUGUUGCAGAGAGAAGAAACAGAACCCUACUGGAAAUGGUUAGGCCCAUGAUGGCGCAUGCUAACUUACAUAUCACUUUUUAGAGUGAUGCGUUGUUAACUGCUGCCUAUAUACUUAACCAGGUGCCUUCCAAAUCAGUUAGUUCCACUCCAUAUGAGUCAUGGACGGGUAGAAAACCGGACUUAAGUUUACUUAAGCCAUGGGGUUAUGCUGUCUAUACUCAUGAGUCCUCUCACAAGUUUGGGAAAUUGAAUCCUAAAGGAAAUAAGAGUAUUUUAAUGAGAUACUCCGAACACUCAAAAGAGUAUGUGUUCGUAGGUGAGCAGGAAAGUGGGAGUAUAACUGAAUAUGAAUCACGGGAUGUCACAUUUUUUGGUGGAUGAAUUUCCUAAGAAGGGCAAAAUAGGGGAAGAUUAGUCCCUAUUUGAAACCUUGGAUCAAGAUAAUGAUAUUAAUGGAGUUCGUCCAAGUGGGAGUAAUAUGAGAAGUGAUGAAUUGAAUUCAACUCAUUUUCAAUUACAACCACAUGAUGAGAUGAUAUCGUCAUUAUCUAAUCCGAGUGGGAGCAUAAUGGGGAAUGAUGUGCUAAGUGUACAAUCUCCCAUAUAGCGAACAAGUCGCCAAAGGAUUCCCCGUCAACGUUUUGACAUUGAAGGGGAAACUUCUAAUGAUUGCUCCACAAAAUGAGGAUGAGCCAAGAAAUAUUAAUGAGGCUCUGAAUUGCCCUAGUAAGAAAAAAUGGAUUUAUGCAAUGAAAGAGGAGAUGGAGUCAAUGAAGUCAAACCAAGUCUGGGAACUGGUUGAUCUUCCAAAAAGGGGACGCAAAGCUAUUGGGAACAAGUGGGUUCUCAAAAUAAAGCAAAAGGCUGAUGGCUCGAUAGAAAGCAUAAGGCUCGCCUUGUGGCGAAGGGGUAUAAUCAAUAGGAAUGAAUUGAUUAUGAAGAUACAUUUUCUCCUGUAGAGGGAUUUACCUCGAUUCGCAUUAUUCUGGCAAUAGUGGCUAGUAUGGAUCUUGAGUUACAUCAAAUGGAUGUAAAGACUGCUUUCCUUAAUGGAGAAUUAGAGGAAUAAAUAAAUAUGGAACAACCUGUUGGUUUCAUAGUGAAAUGCCAAUAAGAAAAGGUAUGUCGACUUUGGGGGUCGAUAUAUGGCCUUAAGCAGUCGUCAAGACAAUGAUAUAUACGUUUUCAUAAUGCUAUAAUGGCAUAUGACUUUACAAUGAUAGAUGAGGAUCAUUAUGUAUAUAUCAAAAGAUCCAAGGAUCAAUUCGUGAUCAUAUCAUUAUAUGUUGAUGAUAUACUAAUUGCCGGAAGCAAUAUGGAGCUAGUCAAUACUGUCAAAAGUUGGUUGUCUUCCAAAUUUUGAAUUGAAUGAUAUGGGAUUGUAAACCCAUUGACACUCCUAUUGCAAAAGGUGAAGGAUUGAGCCAUAGACUGUGUCCAAGGACUCCACAAGAAAAGGAACAAACGAAACAUGUUCCUUAUGCUAGUGCUGUUGGGAGCUUGAUGUACGCUAUGAUGUGUACAAGACCUGACAUAUGUUAUGCAGUUGGAAUGGUGAGUAGAUACCAAUCCAAUCCAGGUCAAGCACGUUGGAAAGCCGUUAAAUGAAUACUAAGGUAUCUAAAGGGGACUGCUGAUUAUACGUUGAGUUAUAAUGGAAAUGAUCUGCAACUCAAAGGCUAUUCUGAUGCUGAUUGGAGAGGAGAUUUAAAUGAAAGAAAAUCUACCUCUGGUUUUGUUUUCUUACCGAAUGAUGGCACCAUAUGUUGGAGCAGUAAGAAACAAAAGUGUAUAGCCUUGUCCACGAUGGAAACUGAGUUUGUGGCAUUAUCAGCAGCAAUAAAAGAAUGUGUUUGGCUUAAGAGAUUAUUGGAUCAUUUAGGUGUUAUUUGAAGUGCAGCAGAUUUGUUAUUCGUUAACUGUGAUAGCCAAGCAGCGAAAGCGUACACCAAAGAUCCAAAAUAUCAUGGCAAGACCAAACAUAUAGAUACCAAGUAUACUUUCGUCAAGGAUAUGAUUGCACGAAAAGAUGUGAACUUAGAGUACAUACUACGCAUAGAAUGGUAGCAGAUCCUAUGACAAAGCCAAUACCUAGAGAUGUGUUUUUGUGGCCAUAUGAAAUCUCUAGGACUGCGUAUAGGCUAAUGUACUGAAUAUUGUAAUUUUCCCUAAAUGUUCACAUAUGAUGAAUUUGUGUUUUUUCAUCAUUAAUGCCUAUGAAUUUUUGUUUGAUCUUUAUGCAUCUUAAUGCUCAGUGCAUUACUUUAAGUUGAGAAAGUAUGUCGGACAGAUAAAAGAUUAGCCCACUCACACGGGUAAUCGCCUCUAUUUACUGUGUGAUAAAUAGAGAUGAGACUGUUUUUAAGCUUAUUAUCUAUGUGAUAAUCGAGAGCUCAAGCUUAAAAUACGUAUGUCGCCUUAACUAAGUGUUAAGAUGAGGACAUAAUACUAACUAUGUCCGAAAGUAAAAUAACCCACAUAUUUUACUUUAUCUGUCUAUGAUGCCAGAUGUGAGUUCUGAUGAAUUUUAUGAUUGAGUAGAUAAGUGAACUCAAGUUAGACAUUGGGUAUGUCUGAACUAUCAUUUGUACGGUAUUGAAAGGGAUAGACAUACGCUCCAUGGGAAAGGAGUUAAUACCGUAAUACGUGUUUCAUACUACGUAUGCAUGAGACGACCAAUAAGAGAGGCAAGAGUUUGAUCUCAACUUUUAUGUCGUGUGAGGCUCUUGAGGAAAAGAGUUCCUCAAUUUUUAGUCCCCUCAUGACUCUUACUUAUCAUCAAGAUUUCUAUUUAGUGUUUGCUAUCUUAGGAUGUUGCCAAUGGUCAUGUGUUGAUUCGAUUUAAUAGGGCAUUUCUAGAUAAGCAAGCUGAACUGAAAUUGAGAGUUUGAAGGAAAGAGGAAGAUCGAAUUUGGAGAAUCACAUUGUAGUUUUUGUAUUCACCGGUUAACCAAUUAUGACUGUCUUUGUGAUAAUCAUAAUUGUGAAUACAAUAUAUAUAUAUAUAUAUAUAUAUAUAUAUCAUUGUUUAAAAGAGAUCAAGAGAGAUAUAAAUGUGAUCGAUCGAUCUAGGGAACUGCAUACUAAAUCUACUCAGGAUGUGAUGCCCAUUAUGAGCUGCUAUAUAUUCCUAACAGAUGUAUAGCAACGAGCUCUCAAAGUAUGCUGGUCGCAUGGAUUAUUCACCGGUAUGAAUGUUGAAGAGAGGAAAAGAGGAUUAUGUUCGGCCCAUCAUGUUAAGUGAGAGUCUAUGAUGGAUUUUUUUCUGAUGGGGCUGAGUAGGGCCUGUCCGCCCAUGUUGGUUUUGGACCACCAUGUGCGAGUGGGAGAUGAUGGAUUUAUGAGAUGGGCUUAAGGCCCGUCCGCCCAUGCUGGGCCCAAAAGGCCCGGCCCACGGGAAUAGGGCCCGUGGAAGGGGAAGGUAUAAAAGGGAGGAGAGAGAGAGAGAGAGAAGACACUGGUUGGAAAAACAGACGUACGUACGCUUUUCUCCCGUGCGCGUUCUCUCUCUCCAAAAGACAAAAAGAACAGUAAGGCAAACAGCACUGUUUUCCCUUCAAUUGACAUCAUCAUAUUAGAAUUUCUUCCUCUUCUUCAGCAUCGGUGUCUAAUCUGUAGCUAACAAGGUACGCUCGAAUCCGUGGUGUGCUUUACGAUCGGUGAUACGUGUUUUCCCGGGCUUCGUCUUCCGCAUUGAUUUAGGGGUUCGAUUUAGUGUCGAAUCCGGUUUUCGGGGAUCUGUUAUUCCCAACACUACAAAAUAGCUCUGCUGAGAAUUUCUGUUGCCUUUCCGCGAUCUGUUUCCGAAAUUCGUAUUUAAAUUAUAUCCUAGGAAAGAAGAAAAGUGAGCCUUUAAGCGAUUAGAAAAAGGGACAUUGAAUGACAACUUCCAAUUUCUUUUUUUCUUCUUUUUUUCGGUCAACGGAAGUUUUAUUGAGUCAAAAGGUUCUCAAACAUGGAGGCUCACACCAGGAGUGUUAAGACAAAGUCCCAUAAUGGCCGGGGGAUGUGCUACCCAAUUAGGAAGGAAAAUGUUAAGUACAAAGUAGUACAAAUUUACCUCAAAGUGGUACAUUUGUGACAAACGAAGCGUAAAAUCCCAUAUUGGUAUACUAGUCAACUGUCACAUAUUAUUUAACUUAAUAAUUUGAUAGUAAAAUUUAACGAAAACUAACGGGUAAAUUUACUAUAAGUGUACCAGUUUGAAAUAAAGUUGUCAAAAGUAUAUCAGUUUUGGGUUUUAGUGGUCAAAAAAAUAGUUUUGGGUAAAUUUGUUACAGGUGUACCAAUUUAGAGUUUUUCAAGGUAUUAACCCAUUUUCAAUUAAGAAUCUCAGACAUAAAUUAUACUUUUAUGUCACAUGUGACAUGUGAUAUGUGAUAGUUUUUCGAUAAGUGAUUUCAAAUUUCAAAGUCGAUUUAGAAUUUUUCCUAAAAUUUAAAACUUAUCUAUCAAAAUCCGGUACUGUGAUGUAAAAAGAAAAGAGGACUUGUAGAGAAGGACUUGUAAAAGUCUUAUUAUAAUAUUAAUUAGUGUGUUCUAUGUGAUGUAUGUCCCAGUCUUCCAGCUGAUGUUUGUCCCGAGAGUUGUUUAUUCACAUUUCCGCAUGUGCAUGAUAACAAGAUAAAAAGAAUUGAGACAGUGAUGAGCCUGGGACGUCGCGAAAAUAACUCUUGUCGCUCGCGACCCUAGAGAUGGAGUCGGGGUCAUGACAAGAUAGUAAGUCUUUUCUCUUCAUUAUUAUCUCUCAUUGAAUUCUAACAUAUGAAAUUAUUUGCAGAUGAGAUGUCAACAUGCAUAGAGUUUGUUCAACCAGAAGAAAUAUUACAUUUAGGCACUUACGUGAGAAGAAAAAUGUCUAGAUUCAGUCGACUAGAUUUAACAGUAAACGUUUGUUUCCAAGAUCAAGCAAGUCUAAGUCGAUAGUACAUAAUACAUCAUAAUGGCGCUCAUUUUCAUGAGCGCCAUCAUAAUGGAGGAUUGGACUGCUUAAAACGGCAGAAAAAUGGGGUUAAAAAAAAAAGAAAAAAGAAAUGGAGUGCUCAAAACAGCACGACUUGCUAGAUAUGAAUCCCACUGAAGAUAUCACGGAGGAGAUUAUGGUGGGGAGAAUGACAUGGUGUGAGUUGAUUGAGGCAAUCUGAUAAAUUCUAGUACAGCACCGGUUAUCCAAUAUGGUGGUAGUGGAUGAUGUACAGGAAGCACUCGUGCUCUCCACGGCUGUCCCUAAAGUUUCGCAUGUUCGGACAAGAACGGUUUUUUAGUUGUAUAUCCGCAGAGUAUGGAACCAAAUUUUCCACCUUACAAUUAACGUAGACUUUUUGCAUGCCUUAUGCAGUACAGCUAUCACAAGCAAGACUCUAUAUAUAUUCAUGUCCAGCGCAGGUAUCUUAUCAUCCACUUCUUAGUAUUACACUGAGAAACACACCUCAAAGAUGGGGCCCACGAGAAGAAAAAGAAAAAGAAAAAGAAAAAGAAAAAGAAAAAGAAGGUCAUCGUGAGAUAAAGGCCAGAAAGGGAGAAAGAGCACUUCGCCCAAUGAAUAGAGAGGAGGAGGAGCAGAAGAAGGGGCAAGAGGAGGAAGAGGAGCAGAAGAAGAAAGGAGGAGGGACUCCAAAUCCUCGCCUUAGACGCCUCGUAAAGCCAAAUUUACUUUAAUUCGCAAUGUUUGGGUAAGUGCUUGCGCCCUUCACUCUCCCAAUCAAAAAAGUUUUCGGAAUUAAGGGUUAAAUUCGAGAUUAAUCAAAACUUAAACUACAAAGUCUAAUUUUGAAGUUGUUAAGCUAAGAAAUUGUGGGUUUUGCUAGUUUAAAGUGUUAUAGAGUUGUAGGACUUUACAGAACUCGAUUUGAGCUUACAGUUUUUCCAAAACAAAUUUUUGAAUUUGUACAUGUGUGAUGGACAAUAGCAACCAACAGUUUUUUGUUGGUUUUUGCUCGAUUUUGGGUCAGCCAAGUUAUGGGUUUUCUAGUAUUUUGAAAGAUAUUUCUUUUAACUAUAACUUCACGUGAAAUAAAGUCUGGUGAAAAAAGUCAUGGUGCGAUCAAGUUCAACUCUCAAACUUCGCGUUGCAAACGACUUUAAAUAAUGGCUUUGGAAGAGCGAUUUAUGAGUGCGUUUGAGUAGUUUUGUCAACGUUUAAGCUUAGUUUGAUUGAGUUAUAGUUAAAGUAGUAUUUUACUUGAUUUUAACAUCAUUUUUUGUUUAUUUGAUAAGAUUGCGAGUUCAACGGUUUGAAUAAUCUUUUUUGUUUAAUUAUAGGCAUUUCCAAGUGAGUGGUAUCAUCUCUUUUAUAUAUAUACUAUGAGUUAAGAAAUCACACCAUUGUUGCAUAAAAACCUAGAUCGAGCAUCUACUCCUUGGUUAUUUACGAAAAUUUUUUAAACGUGUUAUACUAAAUAUUGUGGAGACAUGUAUGUAUGCAUGUAUGUAUGUGUUGCUUUACGAACUAGUUUAUGAAAGGAUUUCUAAAAGAUAUUAUAAAUGUUUUGAGAAAGGUACUUUCAGAGGAUGAGAUGAGUUUGCAAAAGUAUUAUUUAUUUUAGGUUGUAAAAUGUUUAGUAGUUUAUGAGAUUGAUUCUUGAUUGAAAUUUUGCUAUGGGAAGAUAAUUGCUUGAUGUUCAAUAUGACUGUGCAUCCAAUUAGGGGUUUUUUGGUAUGCAUACCAGUUUAUGAUAUCUUUUUGAACAAAGCCAUUACCUUAUAAAAAGUGGAGAUCUUGCCAAUAAGGAAAUCUUGGUCACUUUAUUACCAGACGUUAUGUCGUAACCACAGUAAUAUAUUAAACAAUAGAUGGUUGAUGGAUAGACCAUAGAUAUAUAAUUUGAGAUUGAUCAAUGAAAUGGAUCAUAGAAGUGAUUUUUUUUUAUAUAAAAAUUGAUUCAUGGUCUAGACCAUUGAUGUUUGAAUUGUGAUUGUGAUUAAAUGAGUAUUUUUUAUUUGUUUAAAGCUUUGUUGAAAUAAGACAACUCUUAUUUGAUUUGAAAUAUUAUAUAUGAGAUUGAAGUAUGAGUUUCUAGUUUUGCUUUGUAUAUAUAUAUAUAGUGAUUGUUCGAUCUGCUUAGAAUAUAUGCUACUCACUAGCUUUUAGUUGUCAUCCCUUCCUUUCAAAUCUUUUCAGGUUCCCAAGUUAGCAGCUAUUGAUAGUAAGAUAGUGCUAUUGAUCAAGACUUUUGGGAGUUGGAUUUUGGGUAUGGUUUAAGGCUGUGUCCUUCAGUAGGAAAGAUGGCCAUGACAUUCUCCUAUUCUUGUAGGAUUUUGAGGUGUGACAGCAUGUCCCUCACAUUUUUCAUGGAUACACUACAGUUCUAAUAUCCUCUCCAUUCUCUAUCUAGAUAUUGAAAUUCCAGCAAGAAUUCACGUUGAUUUUACAAUUUAACUUGCCCAUGGCCAACGAUGGAGGAGGUCAUCAAGUAGCCACCCAACGUGAGAUCGAGCUCAUGAGGCAGCAGUUAUUACCUUCCAUGUCAAAAGAUAUUGAGGCAGUAUUGAAAUUGUUGAAUGAAUCAGCAGGUGAAGAUAGUCGUAGCAUCUUCAGAGUCCCUCAAGCACUCGCCGGAGGAAUUGCCGAGGCGUCCCUGCCUCGCAUCGUCUCUAUUGGCCCGUACCACCAUGGAGAAUCGCUGCAAAUGUUUCAGGUGGACAAGUGGAGAUACCUCCACACUAUGCUGGAAAGAACUCAACCGCACGGUAUCCACCUCGAAAACCUCAUUGAUGUCGUGGCACCGAAAGAGAAAAUUAUCCGGCAGUGCUACUCGGAGAGCAUCGAGAAUUUCAAUGGACCUGAUCUUGUGAAAAUGAUGGUUCUCGAUGGAUGCUUCAUCAUUGAAUUCCUCCGUCAAAUUGCAGGAUAUGUACCGCCCGACAGAAUCCUAUUAAUCAAUUCCAAUUCAUUCGUGUUACUUUCUCUUGGACGAAAUCUUCUACGACUUGAGAACCAAAUCCCGUACUUUGUUCUUGAGGAUUUGUUUGAAAUGACGAGUGUUUCAGGAAGAACCUCGUCUUUGGACAAUCUUGCCUUUCGUUUCUUCAGCUGCUUCCUAGAAGGACCUGCUAUUGUCGGGGAAAGACCAAAAGGAGUGCAUUUACUCGAUUUAUUUCGUUUGAGUUUAAUACCCACAAAUCAACAAGAUAAUCCAGUAGACGAGAGUUCAUCUUAUCAUAUGAUCAAAUCUGCUUCCGAGUUCUGUCGAUUGGGAAUUGGAUUCAAGCGAAGUGAAGCCAGCACCUUUCUGGAGAUCAUAUUUGACAGUAGACGCAGAACCAUUGGAAUUCCAAAAAUAAAAAUAGAUCAUGAUCUCAAUUGCAUCCUUCCCAAUAUGGUUGCUUAUGAAAACUCUUACAGCUUCAUCAUUGAGUUCAUCCGUCAAAUUUCACGACCCGAACAGUUCGACGAUAUCCUAUCAAACAAUUCAUACAUGUACAUUUCUGUUGUGCAGGACCUUUCACGGCUUGAGAACCAGGUCCCUUACUUUGUUCUUGAGGAUUUGUUUGAAACAACGAAUGUUUCAAAAGAAAAGACCAGCUUGACCAUUCUUGCCGUCUCCUUCUUCGACGGCAUCAUGGAAAGAUCUGACCGUUUCUCGGAAAGAGAUAGAAAUUUUAAAGUAGUGCAUUUACUUGAUUUACUUCGCUGAGCUUAAUUACUGGGGGUCAGCAAAUCAUCGGUCCAGAAGGGAGGCGCUCGUCCUAUGAAUUGAUCGGUUCUGCUUCCGAGCUCAAUCAAGCUGGAAUUGCAUUCGCGCGGAGAGAAGCCAGCACCUUUCUCGAGAUUAAAGUUGACUCCAAAACGGGAAUCAUGCAAAUUCCAAAACUAAGAAUCGAUGACACUCUCCAAUGUAUCCUCCACAAUAUGGUUGCUUUUGAACGGUGUUUUGUCUAUUGCGACAAGCACUUGACUCCCUAUGCCAUAUUCAUGGGAUCACUCAUUGACACAGCUAACGAUGCACAACUUUCGUGUGACCAUGGCAUCAUGUGGAAUGACGGCGUGAGCAAGAAGGGUAUUGCAAGCUUCUUCCGUGAUGUUAGCAAAGACGCUGUUUGGGACGUCUCAAAGAGCUAUCUAGAGUCGGAGAUUGCAAGAGUCAACAGCUAUGUUAGGCAUCAACAGAUUCGUGUUUUCUUCACACAACUGAUAUAUACUCCCUGUCGCUACACAUGGUCGACUAUAGCUGCUGUGCUGAUGCUUACAGGUGCGAUUCAAACAGUUUACACUGUGUUGCAGUAUUACCAUCCUAGGUAGCACUAAGCGUCCAGAAGCUCCAUCUUUCGUAUUAAUUCCAUUACACGUGUUAACUCUGUUUUCAGUGAAUCUUUUGUGUUGUUGAUACUUUCUUUGUGGCCAGAAUAAUUUUGUAUAAGCAAAUGAACAAUUUUCAUUACUAAAAGUGGUGAUCACUAGGAGAGAGCAUGGACGGACAAUCUGCGUCUGCCCGGAAUCUGGAGCUUACCUAGCCCUAGGCCUAGCUACUAGCUAGUUCCAUGGAAUUGAGGAUUGGUGAGGACUGGAUCGCCCAGUUCAAAACCGUGCAAUUUUUUUUUUCUAGAAUUUUUCAGUUUAUGAAGUUAAAUUGACUAAAAAGAGUUCUACAACUAAUAAAACUGAAGUUACACAACAAUGCGAAAAAAGUGAAGGUGGUGAAAAACCAUCGUUAUUUUAUUAGCAUGCUAAUACUUGUGUGACAAAUACUUGAACCUUUCCACCCAGAAAGAGCGCAAGGCAUCAAAAAAUUGCGAAAAUUUUAAGACUAGUGCGAAGCGGCUAAUGUAUGUAUCUCUAUUUUUGUCAAACUAUUCUCAAGUGUCUCUUCUUAUUUUCUUUUUUUGUCAAACGAGUUGUCUCUUCCAAAUAUCGAAGUCGUCGCCCAGGUCACUGUCACUGCGACAUAAAACCCGUUCCUCCAGUUGACUACUCUUGUGAGAUAAGUCGAAUGCCAAAUUAGCCAACUCGUGAAGCCUACGUGCGAUAUUCCUUUCGCAUUCUGCAUAAGUGACAACUAUUAAUUCAGCAAAUUAUAAAGCAUGCGUGCAUCAAAAUCUGGCUAUUAGGAAAGAAAGCCAUUAAUAUGACAUGGUAGCACGUUAUGUACCUUAUACUAACGUAAAUUGAUGAGCACUUUAUAACUCAAAUGGGUCUCCUAGAGGUAUAUCUUUCGACAAAAUACUUUCCCUCCAUUUUGCUUCCCUAUCCUAGGAAAGAUCUCCGUGAAGAAUUUCUUUUCCCUUUUUGCGACCUGUUACAGAAAUUCGCAUUCAUAGUAUUUCCUAGGAGAGAAGAAAACUUAGCCCUUAUACAACGAGAGAAAGAGAAAGUGAAUGGCCACUGUGAAUGUUACUAUUUCCCAUAUGUUAGCUUUAUCGAAGGGCAAGGGAGUAAGAGGCAACAACUUAUCAUCAUUUCUUUAGCAUUUCUUCCCAUAAGAAAUCGAAAAAAUGUAGACGCUCUUCUUUCUUUUUCUUUUUUUCUUUUUUCAAAUGGAAAAUGGUCAAUUUAUCAAUUGCAAUUCAAACAUGUGUAUGAAGUGUGUGUGUGUCUGGGCACUCGUCGAUGUAUCUAUGUACGUAUAUUAAUCAACGAGAGGAUGCGGCUAUAUAUUAAACCAAUGUGGGCAAGCUCUAAGCGGGAAGAUUAGUGUAAAAAAGAAAGUUUUAAACAUAUUACAUUUGUACAAAAUUAAUCUUAAACCUUUUAAUUUGGCUAAUUUAAUCCUAAACUUUUUGACAAUUUAUCACUGUAGUCCAUCCGGCCAAAUUUGAUCAGAAAUUAAUAGUAUGGAUGCCAACCAUCUAUGUGGCACAAUUGAUACUCAUAUGAAAUUUUUUAGUUUUUCAAAAAAAUCUGAAAUUUUGUCUUUUUUUUUUCCUUUUGUUUUUUUUUUUGGUUAAAGGCUGGUAGGAGGUCGUCCCCAGUCACCGCCUCUUUCAUUAAUAUAAUAUUUUUAUGACUUUUUUGAUAAUCUUUUUGGCUUUAAGGCUACAACCGAAGAGAAAGGCUACUAAAAGUGGUUUUUUCAUUGUAAACAAACGCAUUUACCAUACGAAUACGAUGGAGAAAGGCCAUCACUAAUCCCCCUCCAACUUUACGAUGCCCAACAUUCCUACAAAAGUUUUACAUCGUGUCUCAUUUGCAAUAUAAGUUCAUUGCAAAAUGAAUAGAAAAUUCAAACAUUUUACAAAUUAGAAGCGAUAUCAAUAUAUUAUCAUGAUAUACCAAAAAUAUUCUUCAAACUGUCGUAGUCCUAAAAUAGUACGAUGAAUAAUUACAACUAAAUAUUUAGAAAUUUCUGUAUUUAACAAAAGCUGGUUUUUAAAGAGGGCCACUCUUCCAAAAUGUUUUAGGAUACAAAAUGUCUUAAUACAUAUAGGCAGCACUAAAACGUUUUCAACAAUCUAGAAGAGCGAAUGAAGGCAAGUCGACUCAAUUUGCAUAAGAAAUAAGAUCUCUUUUUUUUUUCCUUUCCUUACAUUGCUUGAAAAAGUCAUUCAUUGCGAAGGUGCAAGUGCAAUUUAAUAUGUACUUUCACUUCAAAGUAAAUGACACAAAUAUAAAUUUCCAUCACCUUAAAUUACAGAAGAGUGUCCUCAUCAUGUUCGAGUUUUAGAAGUUUAUUUUUGGAGCCAAUUUGUACAUCCAUUAAGUAGUUAGAUCCUAUUUUUUCGAGUAUGCAUGCAAAUGUAAAAAUAUUAUUGAAACCACUUAAAGAUACGUAAUUACUUUAUGUCCACAUUUUAAUUGAAAUUUCGAUUUUUCUCUUUCUUUUUGUACUGAAUUAUUGACUUUUUUUUUUUUUUUGGUCGAAACUGAAUUAUUGACUUCACCAACUUACAUUUUGUCUUUUGUGUGGCUACUUGUCCCCGCCCAACAUGCACUUCCUUAAAAAGGUCUUUAUCUAGGCAACUUCUUAUAAGACCGAGCUCAGUAUCACUUAUUUUAUGAAAUUUCGAUCUUUUUAUCUUUCUUUCUGUCCUAAAUCAUGGACUUCACCUGCUUACAUUUUUUCCUUUGUGGGGUCUUCUGGUCCUCGAUCUGAUCGCAGUUCCUUAAAAAUUGUGCACCUCCGCACCUCCGGAAGCUUUGGGAUGCAACUCUGCAAGUGCAAUGCAUAACUCUUUCAUCACUCCUUUUUUUCACCGUCCAGCUGGCGCACUUGUACAGAUCCUUUUUGCUCGAUGGGCAUUCAAGAAUUCGAAGGAAAUGAAGAUUUGACAUCACCAAAACGAUGCAUUAUAUAUAUAUAUAUAUAUAUAUAUAUAUAUAUAUAUAUAUAUAUAUAUUCGUAUUAAUGUCGUAUUAAUAUUCUCAUUUUCACAUGUCCCUUACAAUGAUUUAAGUAUAAAAUUAACUGCUUCACGCACUAACCUACGUACAUUUGGCCUUUCGCGUGUCUUCUUCUCCUCGAUAUGGUCGUCGUUUCUAACGUACAAACAUUUCCAACCGGUCUUGAUAUAAAACUAGCACUAGUCAUUUUUUAUCCAACAGCCGGCGAUGAUCGUCAUUCAACAGUAGUCAGCAGGCAGUCAUUGUCAGCUACCCGACGACUUUGCCGCUUGCAAGAGCAGCCCUCUUUCAUUUUCAAUGACAGAAAUAAACUAUACUUUGUUACAUGUGACCUUUCCCAGUACUUACCGCUAUAGCUUGUUCCAAGACCUUUUUAUAAAUCUCUACUUGCCCCUCACGUUUUUCCUAGAUACCCUACACUUUUGAUAGCUUUCAAUUUUCACUCUAGCUAUUGAAAUUCCAACAAGAAAUUCACAUAGAUUUUACAAUUUAACUCAGCAUUGACAACACUCAAGGAGGUCACCAACUUAUAUACAUGUAGCAAUAAAAAAUUACAAAACCAACUUAUAUAUAUGCGUCAAAAUAUUCAUUUGUCUUACUUUUCAUUUUCCUACAUUACCCUUGAAUCAAAAUUGAAACUGCCCGUCUAGUCACUAUUCUAUCCCUCAUACAUUACCCAUUACGCAUACACUGCUUCUUAAAAAAAAAAAAAAAAAUGGCUUAUCACGAACACGACGUGUGUAGUGCGUGGCCCCAAUAUUAGUAUACGAGAAAAAAAAACAUAGAGUGGGGAGGUAGGCUUUAUUUUCAAUUGAGGUUUGUGAUAGAUGAAGUCCAUUUAAUUGGUCUAUCACUCUAGUUCCACAGUCGAUGCAACUGAUGCUCAAGCUUUAUGAGGAAAAAAUGCCAACAUAACAUUAAAGUACACCUAUCACGUUAAGAAACUAAUAGCUACGAAUGUUAGCAUUUCCCCAUAUGCCAGUUUUAUCGGAGAGCAAGGGAGUCGGAGGCAACAACUUAUCAUUAUUCUUUUAGCAUUUUUUUCCCAAAAGAAAUGAAAAAGUGUAGAUGCUCUUUACUUGUAGCUUUUUAUGGAAAAUAGUAAAUUUAUCAAUUGCACUUCAAAAAAGUGUAUCUACGUGUGGGUGCUCGUGUCUAUUCAGUUUACAUCAUAUAUUAUUUUUUUUCUUAACUAUAUUGCUCGAAUAAUUCAUUAAUUCCUAAAAAUGUUAGUGCAAUUUAAUAUUUAGUUUCACUUGAAAGUAAAGUGUGCAAAAUUCAAAAUCGCAUCACCUUAGAUAUGGAAGAGUUUUCUCGUGAUGUUCAAAUCUUAUAAGUUCAUUUAGAGCCAAUCCAUAGUAGUAGGAAUGCAUACAUCAAUUAAUUAGUCUAAGUUUAUUUUGUCUAGAAUGUGUGUAUGUGUAUAUAUAAAUACGUAAAAGUGGGUAGAUUCAUAAUGAUUUUUGCCUUUUUUUUUUUCUGUACUAAAUCAUUGACUUCAACUACUUACAUUUUGUCUUUUGUGUGCCUUCUUCGCCUCGCGCCGACUGUAGUUCCUAAAAAAAAUGUUUGGUUGCUUUGGCACCUCCCUAAAUAAAUGGGCUGUGAAGAGAUUGACCUUCAUAUUCAUUCAUAUUUAUGAAAUUUUGAUUUUUUUUUUUUUUUUGUCUUUCUUCUUGAACUACUUGCAUUAUGUCUUUCGUGUGGCUUCUUGUCCUCGCCUAAAUUUCUCAAGCCAAUCAUUUUAAAUUUCUAUGAGCAUGUGUUUUUCAAUUGUCAUCAUAAUAGCAAUGAAGGAGAAAAUAGUAAUUUUUUAUUUAUUUUCUAGAUAACAAGAAGUCUAAAAUUCAUGAAAAAUCAUAAAAGGAAAAUAAUUAUGUCAAAGGAGAUAGCAAAAGAGAAAUGAAGGUUGAUCUUGUCGGUCUAGUAAAGAUAUGAAUAGCCUUACUCAUAUAUGGGAUAGGAAAACCCUGUCCAAUCCUAGUCAUUGGCCACCUGAUAUAUUGAUUUGUAAUUAUUUUCGUAAGAUUUAUAUAUACUCCCUAAGCAUAAACAAAAGAAUUGCUUACUGUGAUUUAUAUUUUAAAUUUUUUGGGUAAUUUAAGUUAUAAAUUCACCUUUUAGUCUUCCUACCGUGAAAAUGGCUAGUCAAAAUCCAUCAAUGCAAAUUGCUUCGUUCGUGCCCACGCGUUUUUGGAUAUUCCCCCCGAGACGCAACCCCCACCCACUCCACGGAGGCGCCCCAACGAGCGAGGACUUGCCUGCAUGUAAGUCAAGUCCUCUUUUCCGACCCCAAAAUAAAAAUUAAAAAAAAAAAGUCCUCUUUUGAAGAGGGAGAAGGAAGAGAAAAAUAACAGAGAGAAAGAGAGAGAGGGAAGUGGGACCAAGGGCAGGCCGGCCCAUUCAACGGACGAAACGUGGCUCUCUAGGACCUAGUUCUACUCCCUGUCAUCUCCCUCGUCCUUGUCUCUGUCCGCUGCUACACUUGCUCUUCCUUCUCUCUCCUCUGCUCCACUGAGACCAUCCCCGCACUGGCCGCUCCAGGUUGUUCCAUGCCCUCUUUAAAUAUCUACAUGUCCCUCACAUUUUUCACGGUUACACUACACUUCUCGUAUCCUUUCAAAUCUCUCUCUAGCUAUUGAAAUCCCAGCAAGAAAUUCACGUUGAUUCUACAAUUUAACUCGGCAUGGACAACAAUGGAGGAGUUGGUCAAGGAACCGCUGAGGAACAUGGGAUCGAGCUCAUGAGGCGGGAUUCAUUGGCUUCGAUGUCAGAAUAUAUGGAGGUAGCGCCGAAAUGGAAUAAUGAAUCAGCAGACGAAAGCAGAUGUAGCAUCUUCAGAGUUCCUCUGGCACUUGCCGGAGGAAAUGCCCAGGCGUCUCGGCCUCGCAUCGUCUCUAUUGGCCCAUACCACCAUGGGGAACCCCCGUUGCAGAUGCUUCAGGAGCACAAGCGGACAUACCUCCAGACCAUGCUGGACCAAACUCAACCGCACGGUGUCGGCUUCGAGGACCUCAUCAAUAAAGUGGCAUCGAAAGUGGAAAUAAUCCGGCAAUGCUAUUCGGAGAUCACCAAGUGUUUCAGCGGACCUGAUCUUGUGAAAAUGAUGGUUGUUGAUGGAUGCUUCAUCAUUCAGUUCCUCCGUCAAAUCGCAGGGGUCAUACGGAUGGAUCCCCCAUUAAAUAAUUCAUACGUGUUAAAUUCUGUUGCACGGGACCUUCUUCGGCUUGAGAACCAGGUCCCAUACUUUGUUCUCGAGGAUUUGUUUGAAACAACGAAUGUUCCAAAAGGAACGCGGUCCUUGGCCAAUCUUGCCUUCAAAUUCUUCAUCUCUUUCGAUGCAGGACCCGGCUUUGUCUUGGAAAGACAGAUCAAUAUAAAAGGAGUGCAUUUACUCGAUUCCUUUCGUCUGAGUUUAAUAGCUCAGGGUCAACAAGACAAUCCAGUAGAGAAGAGUUCAUACUGUCGUUUGAUUAGAUCUGCCUCAGAGCUCCGUCGAGUGGGAAUUGGAUUCAAGCAGGGGCAAGCCAGCAGCUUCCUGGGGAUCAAAUUUGACAGUGAACGCAGAACCGUCAGAAUUCCACAAAUAGCAAUAGAUGAUGAUCUCAAUUGCAUCCUCCCCAAUAUGGUUGCUUUUGAACAGUGCCGUGGCCAAAAGGACGGGCACAUAACCGCCUAUGCAGUAUUCAUGGGAUGCCUCAUUCACACUGCUGAUGACGUACAGCGUUUGCGUGACCGUAAAGUCAUAUCAAAUCACGGUAUGAGCAACCAGGAUGUUGCACACUUCUUCGGUGACAUAUGCAAGGACGCUACUAUAGACAUCCUCAAGACCUAUCUAGCGUCGCACUUUUCAUUUUUAAAUGAGUCUUUUAAGUAUGAGCAGGCUCAUCUUUGCUGGGCACAACUCCUAAAUGCUUUUCAUGACAACCCAUGGUCAGCUCUUUCGGGCUUAGCUGUUAUAGUGACGCUUGUAGGCAUCAUUCAAACAAUGUAUACUGUGUUGCAGUACUAUCAUCCCAAGUAGCAGGAAGCAUAUAAAAGUUGCCUCUUCCAAUUUCAUUCCAUAUAUAUAGAGUAUGUUUUUAGUGAAUCUUUUGAGUUGUUGAUACUUUCCUUGACCAGAUCAAUCUUGAGUAUGUGGAUUAACAGUUAUCAUGACUAAAGUGGUGAUCAUUAAGGGAGAGCACAAACUGGUGAUCCCAUUCCGCUUGGGAAUCCAGAACUUACUCCACUCUAGGCCUAGCCAUUACCGAAUUCCAUGGAACUAAGGACCGGAUCAGCCGGUUAAAUGGUGUUCUACAACUAAUAAAACCAAAGUUACACGACAAAAAAGGCAUAUUGGUGCAAAACCAUCGUUAUUGUACUAGCCAUGCUAAAUACUUGUGUUACAAAUAAAUGAACCUUUCCACCCAAAAAAGAGCCCAAUGCAUCAUAAAAUGCGUCUCUACCAUUGUCAACCUAUUCUCGAGUUGUCUCUUCCAAAUACCAAAGUCAUCACCUAGUUCACUGCAACGUAGAACUUGUUCCUCCAGUUGACUACCCUUGUGAGAUAAGCUGAAUGCCAAACCAGCCAGCUCACGAAUCCUGCGUGCGAUAUCCCCUUCGCGUCCUGCAUAAAAGAAUGUUUGCAUAAGUGACAUCAAUUGAUUCCAUGAAUCGGAGAGUACUAGGUAUUGGGAAAGAAAGCCAUAAGUUUCGCACGGUAGCACGUUAUGCACCUUCGACUGGCGUAAAUCGAUGAGCGCCUUGUAACGCCCAACAUAAGCCAUGCUUCCCAAAUGCUUGUACACAAAUGGGUCUCCUAGAGGUAUGUCUUUUAAGCAAAAUGCCUUCCCUCCAUUUUGCUUCCCUAUCCUAUGAAACAGCUCCUCCAAGAAUUUCCCUUCCCUUUCCGCGAACUGUUUCAGAAAUCAGAAUUCAUAUUAUUUCCGAGGAAAUAAACCCUUUAUGCAAUAAGAAAGAGAUAGCGAAUGACCAAUUCCAGUUUCAAAGGGAAGGAUUCAUGCCACAUCUUGUGCAAAGUAGAGCAAGGAGAUGAAGAUUGUCGAUCAAACGAGUGGAGAUCAAACCAAAAACAACAGCGAAAAAUCUUCAAAGGAGUCAGAUUGGUUGACUGGAUCUGAGCUAAAGCACCAGCCUCGUCUCUUCAAGAAAACUCGAUCACAUAUUAUUUCACUAUGAGAUUUAUUUGCUCUUUAUAUAUAUAUAUGGCAUCUCUCAAUCUUUGACUUUAAGGUUUUGGGUUGGAUUAGCCAACGCACUCUGAUAUGAAAUAGUUGAGAGGACAUAUCGUCCACUUAGAAGAUGGUCAAAUGCUAAAAUGAGAUUAUCACGAAGUUGUUGAUUUAAGCGACAAAGGAGAGAAAAGAGAUCUUUUCUCCUGCGUUUCACCAGCGGAAUUAGGGAAGUUCAAGUGACUUGACAAAAUCUGAGGGUCCAAUGCCGGCGGACCAGACUAGGAGAGCAUAUGGAACAUCUGUCCCAUCAUUCAGCACGAUUUUCUUCGCAUGAACCUCUUUCACCGGGCCUCUUUUAAGAUGAACUCCUGACUAGCAUUGCGAGCAUUAGAUCAGCAACACAAUGAACUGCUAGAAAAGAUGACGGUAGCUUGAGAAAGAAAAUCAACUUACCCUUGUUAAGAUCUUUAGUCAUUGAGAAACUGUAAGUGAAAACAAUGAGCAUCUUCUUCUAUUCCUGAAACUUUGAAGGUUGCUCUGUAAGCGCAAUUCAUAUAGUUGUAGAAUUAAAAUACCUGGAUUUUCGGAGAGCAUGAGGUUCAACAAAAGCCUCUUCCUGAUUUCUUGGACAUGAUUCACCUCACGUAGCAAGUAGGCAUGUUCCUUGAUCGAUAAGGGAUGGGAUUUAGCAAAAGAGAAAACCCUAAGGGAAAAACAUAGUGGAUUUGGAACAACUAGUGUUAUUUGAUAUUUCUUAUAGGUGCGACUUCUGUUCCAUCAUGCUGAAGAAAUGAAAUUCUACCUUAUCUCACUGUAUAGUAUGUACCUAAAACACUUCUCAACAUGUCUAACACUGGGGACAAUGCAUGUUGAUAUUUGUUAGAAUAAUUGAUUUGCCAGGUAACCGCACAUGGGACUUUUAUAGCCGGGGGCCUUCACGGAAAUGCAAAUGCUUGGACAAUGCACGUCGACAAUUGUUUACGCAGUAUAUCAUAAAUUUCUGAUUUUUUUUUUUUUUUUUGGUAAAAAUAAAUUUCUGAUGUUUGUCAAUUGCUAAUUGAAGAACAUGGAGGAAAAUUCCAGCUGCACACCGCGAAUAGCCAGAUGUUCAACUUACUUCGUGCUCGUCAGCGUCAAAUUCCAGUGCAGGAAGCCAAAUAGAAGUACGAAUUGGGGGUUUGCCACAAGAGCAGGCUGCAUCCGGCUAACGGGCUCAGCCACUGAACGGAACUCCAAAGUUCGACGGAAGAAGGCGAGUGAAAACCAUGUGAUUUCAGGGUGAAAUGCACACGACAUCAUGCACAUUCAUAUUAAGCCGCUUCAUAAACCAGCAAGCCGCCCAACAGGUACCAAGAACGACCACCCUCGGCUUUUCUCCGGGCUUAGUCGGUUCAAGACCUGGAUAUCUGAUGCUCUCAUAUAAUGAGAAAAUUUCUUCUGAUUUUCCAUAAACAAAUAAAAGACGAAAAAAGCUCAUAUUUCUUGGAGGAAAGGGGUCGAUUUUAACAGUCUCAUUUAAUCAAAGGCUCAUUCUUUUGUGCAACAACCAAAUUGAUGAUUUCAUCAAUCUCAUUUGACUGCCCUCCUAACAUCCACCAAAUGCAAAUCUCACUAGUGUGAGCAUAAGCAUGGAGUUUUUCUUGGUAUGCCAUGACCAAGAACAAUGAAAAAAGAAUGUCAACCGAGACAAAUGGUUUCCUUUAAACAAUUAAAGCUGUAAAUGUACAUGGCGAAAUUCCUCUUUUCACGAGUCAAUUGUAGAAAUGAAGUUCAUUUCACGUUCUCUGUCAUUGAAUGAACCCCCAGACAAAAGCAGAACAAAAGGCAAGAACAGAGAUUUUUUCACUUGAAAAUUUUAUUAAUCCCUCAAGAUGGAUCACAUCAUGUUGGACGCAAAUUGCGCAACCCCAAGAUCUCCAUAACCAGAACAAGAACGUAAUUGAGUAGAAAGAUUAACGCACCUGUUUUGGGAUCCAUCGAACAUAAAGCGGAAGCAGGAAAAAGGAUUACCCACAUAUAUCAAGGGGAUCCACGCAUCAAAUCCUUCUCCUCUAUUGCCCUCCGUAUCACUGGCUCAAUGAGGCGGCCCCCCUCACGUGCAACGUUAGGUAAACGCCCCUUAGGUGAGGAUACAUGUGAGAAUUAGAGUUAGAGGAGAGACUUGAGCACUAUUUAUAGAGUUUCCAGCCAGUCCCUCUCAUUACGGGUCAGGCUCAACUCGGCCCACACUAGCCAACCCAUAUUAGACUAAUUAAGAAACAUUCUAUCUCACCUUAGACCAACCCUGUUUUAUGGUAGCCGUAAAAACAGUAAAUUACAAUAUCAAUUAAUUUAGUCCACAUUAGGAAAAACUCUUACAUUCUCCCACUUGGACUAUAUUAAUUGAAAUCGUACUGUAUGUGCGCUCAUUUGGUUCAGAGAUAAUUCUUAAUAGUCAAUCCUAUCCCAUAAAGUCUUAAACACCGAAUCAUGGCAGUAACUGCAUGUAUACACACAGAGCCUUCCAUGGUCACGAAUGUUCUCAACUUUAUUGAUAUGGAUUCAAUAUGGUAGUGUGGCAAAUGGAUAACAUCUCUCAUAGAGAGAUCCCAUUUGUCAGUCAUCAUUCUCUUAACUUUAGGCGUCACAAAAACGUGUGCCACUAGAGAAUGCUUUAUGGUUCCAAUGAACCCACAUAUGUCUUGUCCUUAUGGUUAACCUUUAUUUAUGUAUCACAAGACAUAUGCACAAGGCUAAUAACCGGAUGCUCAGAUGCCCCUAGCCUUCACUCAAGGUUUAUACAAUCCCUUGAGACUUUAUCAAUAUGUAUUCAACAUAAUAAUAAUACAUUCAAAAAUAUUUUAUUGAAUGCAAAAGUUGAUACAUAUCAAACCGUUACAAAAUGUAACGAAUACAGAUGAAACCCUUAUCAGAGUAAAGCCAAAAUAGCUUCCACUAAAUAACAGCAUCUCAUGAUGCUCCUAGGCCCAUGCUAACAAUAUGUCAUUCAAAUACACACGAGCGUAGGCCUUCAGUUAGUGGAUCUGCAAUCACAUCAUCUGUGAAAUAUAUACUAUAUUAAAACCUCACAUUUCUGUACUGUUUGCUUUUGGUAAAAAAUUUUGACCACCAUAUAUUUAGAUCCCUUGAGACCUCUGUAGUAAAUAAAUAAUACUACAAAUUUGUUAUCUCAAUACAACCGUAUGGAUCUAUACAUAAAGUUAAAACGAUCAACUCCUUUAAUGAGGUUUUGGAGCUUAAAAGCCCAAGUAACAGCCUAAAAGAAUGUUACUAACACUGCUUACAUAGUAGAAGAUGACAUAUAAUUUUAUUUAUUGCACUUACUGCUAACAUAAAUAUGUAUUAUGUUAUUGAUUGCAUGUCAUCAGAAUAGCCAGCAAAGUUUACAUUUAAAUACCCUACUAACUGCAAGAAUUGAACAUGUCUAUAAAUUAGCAUAUAAUCUCUUGUUUUCUUUAAGUACCUUUAAAAUCUUCUUGGCAACAACCUAGUGAUCACGUCAUGGAUUUGACUGAUAUCUUCCUAGAAGUCCCGUCACAAAGACGAUAUUUAGUCUAGUGCAAAUUUGAGUAUAUAUUAUACUUUUAAGUGCACUGACACAAGGUACACCAUUUAAUUAGAUUUUCUCAAUAUCUAAAUAAGGACAAUGUGAUAGAUUUAGUCCAUCACCCUUAACAACAGGAGUAAUUCCUGGCUUGCAAUGAUGUAUAUUGAAUAUUUCCAAUAUACAAUCAGCAAAUGUCCUCAGAGAAAAUCUAAUAUAAUAUGGCAAAAACAAUCCUUACAGACCUCAGUACAAAGGAUAUAAGAUGUCUCAAGGUCACAACUUGUAAGCAAAACACCAUGUCCAUAAAGUAUGAGAAAAAAUAAAUUUCCUCCCACUGACCUUGCAGUAUAUUGAAUUACUUUGUUCCCAAUUGAACAAAAUAACAACACUAUGAAACUUUAAGAAUAUUGUCUGGAAACUUGCUUAAGACCAUGAAUUAGAACUUUUCAGUCUACAUACAAGUUUACUUGAAUCUGCUGCAAAAUCAUCUAGUUGCACUAUAUAGAUUUUGAAUCUGUUUAAUGUAACUCCAAAUAAAAAAGAGUUAUUAAUGGCACGUUCACUCUGAAAGAAUAUUUAAAGAAAUAAUUAUUUCUUCACUAUAAACUAUCCACCCCUCUUUUAGAGUGAAAACUUUAGUUAUCAAUUUGGCUUUAAAUUCCACAAUCUUUCUUUGAAAUUCUUGUAAUUUUGAAUGCCAAUUUGCAACUAAUGAACUUGUAAUCUUUAGACAAGUCAGUAAGUUUCCAAACAUGUUUCAUAUAUUGUAUAUCGCAUUUUAUGGCAUCUAAUCACAUACUUAAUUGAGAAUAAGAAACGACAUUUAUAAAUAUGUCAUUACAUCAACCAUAUAGUGGAUAUUGUAAUCAUGCUCUCACAAAUAGACUAUAUAGUCUGAUGGUAUAACUGAUCAUAUUUCCUUAACAAAUCUCCUUAAUAAAGUUGCAACCACUUCAUUCUGCACUUGAGAGGUUUAAGAAAUUUCAUUAUAAACUAUAUCAAGAAUAGUACCUUAAACCUCAACAAGUUUAGUCUAUGGUUACAGGAGAUUCCAUAAUUAUCUGUAUAGGUAAAGACAAAAACAUAGUAACCUCCAUCAUACUAUUAUCUUUAAUAAUCUGAGAGCAGUUAUCCUCUAUAAUUACAUCAAUAUUUAGAAACUUUAGAAUAUGUGAUUCUAUAAUUCUUGUACCUUCUUUAGGGUCAUAAAAUCAAUACCCUUGAUUUCAUAAUAUCAGCCCACAAAAAACCAGAUAAAUAGUCUUACUAAUCAUACUCAUCACCAUGUUCAAUAUGGUGCAUUUAUGCCUUUCGCCCAAAUCUUUUUGUCAGAAUUUUCAGGUAUAGUAAUUAAAUUACCACCCCAGAAUCUAUCAAGUAUUUGACAAAUGACCCUUUAAGCUAUUACGCAUUGUCAUACUUGCCAAAAUACUCAUUGCCAUUGUUAAACCUGACAACAUUUUUAAUCAUAUACGAGAUGUAUAUGUCAUUAGGAUUUAAACACAAUUUUUGCAGAUGUGUCCUAAUUUCAAUAUCAGACAAGACAUAAUUUCAAGCAACUAAGGCUUCCUUCAUCUUAUAGCAGUGCAGUCUGCAGGCAAACCUCUUUUCAAGUGUUCUAGAAUGGAAUGCUUCAUGGACAAUAAGCAAAUUCAAUUGCUCUUUUCUCAAGCAACAAAUCAUAUGUCCACAACUUAAAAUUUGAAGCAGUAAAAAAACCUCAAUGAUGACGGAAUUACCAUUUACAGAAAAGGUGACUGAAAAACAAGCAGUAUAUAAUUAGCAUCAUGUGAGCAUUGUAUAACUUGACGUACAAGUAUACAUCUAGAGAGUUACAUGCAAAAUCACAUAAUCACAUUUGGACAGAAUACAUGACAUGCAAUUGUACACUCCCCACAUGAUAAGGGUUAUGAGAAUAUGUUCCAAUUCUUUGUAAAUUCAUCACAUUUGGGCAUAUGAAUCACUAGAAUCAGUCACUCCUCCACCACACUAUCAUGUAUCCCUCCAUGAACUAAUACACAAUCACCUCCUUUGGGAGUAUGAUUACGCAUUAGACCAGGAGACAUCCCAAUUAUCAUACGAGACCGAAAUUUCUCAAACUCAAUCAAGCGUGCCACUUUGGCGGUCACUACUCAAUUGAAUCAUUGAAAUUCUCUCAUACCAGGGAUAUAAACUUUACUCCUCACAUACACCAUAUACAUGUGAUUUUAACUUUAGUGAUAGGGGCAGCAUAUCACCAAAAUCACAUAUUAUGCUAAUUACAUUGCUUUAUUCAUUAAUAAAAAUUAAUCAUACAUAUAUAUAUAUAUAGCGAACCUGUUUUGACAGAUUCUAAUGAGAUCAUUGAUUACAGUAACACAAGAAACUUCUCAUAACAGGGAAUAAAACAUCUCUUAUGCACCCUGAUUACAUAUUACCAGAACAACAUAAAAAGAAUGCUGAUCUAAAAUAUCUUUCACAAAUUAACAUCAAUAGUAAUACAGGAUACACCAAAUCAACAAGCACUAUUGUUCAUGAGUUUCAUACGACAAAACAUGACUCCAAGGCCAACAUAUGAUUUAUUAGCCAAUUUUAAGCAACAAAUUAUCAUUGUAAUCAACCAGUGACCUAUUAAUUGAGUCAAACCAGAGAACUAAAUAUCUAAAAUUUAACAAUAGAUAUUAUUGCUCUGCAUAAAUGUUGUCAUACUCCUUAACCAUAAAAAAUAUUCAACUUGAUAGACAUUAACAAGUGACCAGAUACUGACCAAAAAAAAAAAAAAACAAGUGACCAGAUGAGUUCAUGUACAAUAUGCAAUAACUUAAUUGACAUGCAUUACCCACAUUCAGUAGAUGUGUUAAUCAGUACAUCAGCUUGGUCACGAGUCCUUAAGUCUUCUAUCAUCCAAAGAUUACUAGUGUGUAAAGGAGUAUACUUGAGUAACAAAAGUUUCAUAAUCUUUAUUGUUUCUCAUUAUCUUAAGAUAUAUUCAAUUACUAUCUCAUAAUGAUUGAAUCUCAUUAAGCCAGCUACAGUUCACAAUAAAAUUUGAUUUUUAUUGAUGAAUCACACCUUUAUAAUGAUUAUGUGAUAAUAUACCUAUAACCCAACACUUAUAUUUCCAAAAUCACAGAAAAUAUAAGAAAAAUACGCAAAAAUACACGUAUUUAGGGUUCCGUAUAUAUUUUCACAUCAAUAAAAUUAUCAAACAUAUAAAAUAAAUAUACCACGAGAUAGGAAAUCACCGUACGAGUCCAACGCCGCCAGACACGCGCCGAACGGAGCCUCCACGCGCCUGCACGCGCCGCCUGAGUGAGCAGUGCGUGGAGCACACGCGCGGCGCGUGUUCGACGCGCAGGAGGCGCGUGGGGGAGUGUGCGACCUUCUCCGGCGAUGCGCCGCCCAUGGUUUUCUUCGUCUCGUCGAGCCCAGUCCGAAUAUAUAAUUUAAUUUAAUUUUUAUUGAAUGAAAAGUCUCGAAAAUCGCAAAUUAGGGCAAGAUUCGCACUAAUUAGGGCUAAUUCGUACAAAUUAGGGCAAAAUCAAUUGCGUUCAAAUUCUAAGGUUAUGGAGGCUCUGAUACCACAUGUUGGACGCAAAUUGCGCAAUCCCAAGAUCUCCAUAACCAAAACAAGAACGUAAUUGAGUAGAAAGAUUAACGCACCUGUUUUGGGAUCCAUCGAACAUAAAGCGGAAGCAGGAAAAAGGAUUACCCACAUAUAUCAAGGGGAUCCACGCAUCAAGUCCUUCUCCUCUAUUGCCCUCCGUAUCACUGGCUCAAUGAGGCGGCCCCCCUCACGUGCAGCGUUAGGUAAACGCCCCUUAGGUGAGGAUACAUGUGAGAAUUAGAGUUAGAGGAGAGACUUGAGCACUAUUUAUAGAGUUUCCAGCCAGUCCCUCUCAUUACGGGUUAGGCUCAACUCGGCUUACACUAGCCAACCCAUAUUAGACUAAUUAAGAAACCUUCUAUCUCACCUUAGACCAACCCUGUCUUACGGUAGCCGUAAAAACAGUAAAUUACAAUAUCAAUUAAUUUAGUCCACAUUAGGAAAAACUCUUACACAUCAAUGGUCAUUAGGUAACACUGUUCAAGAGCGCACUAAUUGCGUGAGGAAUAUGUAAUGGACAAACUACAAAGAGGUAAAAUAAACCAACUGCAGAUCUAACCAGUGAGCUCUGUUAAGAAAAACCAACAAUCAAUUAAAACCGGUGCCUAAACCAUACGAUAACGGCAACCAAUCAAAGAAUAAGAGCAAGAACAUGUUUACAUGGAGACCUACUAGAAAAUGGAGCAAGAAGAAAGGACGUGAAAGCAAGCCUACAGGAUGAAACGAAGCGUUUCAACGUUGAGAAACGUGUUGGUGUGUUUUUUGCUGCUGUUGGACUCCAAUGCGUCUCCAAAUGUCGUUGAAAGGAGGAGAUGGUCUAUCAACUCGAUCAAAUAAAGGGCAUUUCCAACAAAAGAUCGUUAAUGACUUCUUUAAAUUGGUAAAAAAAAAAACAGUUAUUUAUAAAAGAGAACAAAAGCUUGGGUGAAGAUGUUAGAAGAAGCCAUUGCAACUUGUUUGAUAAUAACUGAGAGAAUGAAAGAGUUAAAAAAUGCCAGCAGGUUGUGAGAAAAUAUCGAGGACUAUACAGGUAUUGAAGUCCGAUAUUUGACCUCUGGACACGUCAGUUUCAUAUAUUUCACAUUUGAGAUGCGUAACUUUAGAACAUGAAAAGUGGAUAAAGUUAUUCAUGCAUCUAUGGGUAUCUAUAUAACAUAUUAGAACCUUAAAUCAACUUUUUAUUUGUAACUUCUUCUGUUUUUAGUCGAAAGUCGAACUCCACCUUAUUUUAAAAAUAUCUUUCUUGUACAUGAAAAGUUACACAUAGUAGAACUAGGGACAAGUUCAGUAAGAGUGCUAUAACCCCUCUCUCUCUCUCUCUCUCUCUCUCUCUCUCUCUCUCUCUCCUGCUUACUUAAGUACCACAUUAGAAUAAAAUCAACCAUUUUUCCGCAAAUCUUCCUACCUGGAUUUUUUUAUUAAUUUCCCAUUCCGAUGUGGAUUUAUUUUUUAUUUUUGAAUUUUUUAUUAAUUAUCCUCAUCAACUCCAGAGAUAUCACGUAGGACAACUAAUGUCCACAUUAGAUUUUCUAGCAAGACAAAUCACUGAUAACACUAAAGUGAUCGAUUUUUCAAAUUUAAGGCACUCAAAUGAGCAUUGUAUAAAAGUUACGGUACUCCUAAUGUACUUUUCCUAAAAAUGCUUAUACAUGUGUCGUUGAAUGAAUGAUUAUUUAAAUAUUUAAGAAAAUUAUCAAUUAGUCUUAAACAAAUUUUACAAAUAUCAAUUCAGUUUUAACUUUCUAAUUAUGUUAUAGUCCUACACAAUUGCGUGAUAUUUAAAUAUAGCAUAUCUUGCCAUUUGCCAUCGCAAAUUACGACGUGGAAAUUAAUAAAUUGUCCACAUUAGCAUGCCACUUAGGACGCCGGCAAUGACUAGAUGCCACAUUAGCGAUUUUCAAUGGCAAUUAGCAGGAAAGACUACAUUCAAAUAUAACCCAAAAGUUUUGGACUACAUUAACAAAAUUAAAAAGUAUGGCUGAUCAAGUGGAAUAAUUAGUUGUUGACAAAUAAAUUAUGAAAAUUGUAAUUGCAUUAUGAGACAAUCCAAUCAGAACAUUGCCAAAUGCAUAUUUUUGUCAAUUCUAAAUGCAGAAUUUCCAAAGAAAGAUAAAAAAAAAAGGUAAAAAAAAAAUAAUUCUAAAUUUGGCACCUACAAGAGAUAGUAUGAUCAAUUUAAGAUAAUAGGGCAUCAGAAGUGCAAAAAUGAAUGGAAAAAGCACGAGCCUUUAUGAGUUUAUUCUUUUCACAUAAUUGCUCAUUUAAAUGUUAAACCUAACCUUUGAGUUGAUGCGAGUAAAAUAAGGAGAGAAUAUGGUGGGUUUCUAGAGUCAAGGGCCAGAUGAUAGUUAAGAAAAGGGAGAGGGAAGGAGGUAAUUUAAAAGAAGGAGAGAAUAUGGUGGGUUUCAGUUUUUUAAAAUGUAAUGUCUUUCCCAAUUAGAUUUUUAUUUAGCAAAAAAAAAAAAAAAAACUUUUCAAACUAUACAAAUAAAAACAUGUAAAAGCUUGUAUUUUUCGUAAUUUUAUAAAACCUAAUCUUUUAAAAGUAACGAAUUUUGCGUAGAAUAAUACAGUUUUAACUUUACAAGCUCUGUAUGUACGUCAAUUAGAAUAUCUUAAGAAUUCAAUUUCUUUCUCAGAACCCUAUAUGGCAGGUAAAAGAUAUUAUUUUUCUCAUGAAAACCGUAGUAAGGAGGCCAGUUUCCGGGGAGUAAUGUGUAUUCGGAAAGCACCACUACUGGGGAAAAAAUUUAAGGGGUUGUCACCAUCGCUUUGCUCUUUCGCUAACACGUAGUCAUUUCUUUUACAAAAAAGACGGCCGUGAAAAUUCAUGGUCGAUCUAUCGCUUGAUGAUGAUUGUCAAUCAGCAUCCGACAGCUCAUGAGCACUCGAUGACUUUACUACAUGUAAGUCAAGCUUCUCCCCUGGCAUUUGUCAUAGGAUACACUGCACUGCUCUUGACAUCCUUUCGAUUCUCCAUCUUUCUCUCUUUUUCCUUUUUUUCGCUAGGAAUUUCGAUUCUCUAUCUAGCUAUCGAAAUUCCAGCAAGAAAUUCACGUAGAUUCUACAAUUUGAAUCGGCAUGGACAAAAACCGAGGAGGUCAUCAAGCAACCACCCAAAAACAUGACAUCGAGCUCAUGAAGCAGCAGCUAUUGCCUUCCAUGUCACAAGAUAUUGAGACAGUGCCGAAAUUGUUGACUGAAUCAGCAGGCAAAAGCAGAUGUAGCGUCUUCAGAGUGCGCCGGGCACUUGCUGGAGGAAACACCGAGGCGUGCCGGCCUCGCAUCGUCUCUAUUGGCCCAUACCACCAUGGCGAAGCGCAGCUGGGAAUGCUUCAGGAACACAAGUGGAGAAACCUCCAAAGCAUGCUGGACCAAACUCAACCGCACGGUGUCGGACUUGAGGACCUCAUCGAUACAUUGGCGCCGAAAGUGGAAAUGAUUCAGAAGUGCUACUCGGAAAGCACCGACCGUUUCAGUGGACCUGAUCUUGUGAAAAUGAUGGUUCUUGACGGAUGCUUCAUCAUUCAGUUCCUCCGUCAAAUGGCAGGGGUCAUACAGAGUGAUCCCUCAAUAAAAAAUUCAUACGUGUUAGCUUCCGUUAUGCGGGACCUUCUUCGGCUUGGGAACCAGGUCCCGUACUUUGUUCUCGAGGAUUUGUUUGAAACGGCGAAUGUUCCAAAAGGAACCUUGUCCUUGGCUGAUCUUGCCUUCCAUUUCUUCAGCUGCUUUCCGGAAGUAUUUGGCAAUGUAUGGGAAAGACGGAGCAAUCUAAAAAAGGAGUGCAUUUACUUGAUUCAUUUCGUCUGAGUUUAAUACCAUGGGAUCAACGAGACAUUUAUCCAGUAAAUAAGAGGUCGUCUCAUCAUCUGAUCAAAUCUGCUUUCGAGAUCCGUCGUGUGGGAAUUGGAUUCAAGCAGAGGGAAGCCAGCACCUUUCUGGAGAUCAAGUUUGACUGCGAGCGCAGAAUCAUUGGAAUCCCAAAAGUAACAAUAGAUAUUGAUGUCAAUUGGAUCCUCCCCAACAUGGUUGUUUUUGAACAGUGUCGUGGCCAAGGGGAUGGGCACAUAACUGCCUAUGCCGCGUUCAUGGGUACCGAUACCUCAUUCAUACAGCUAAUGAUGUACAACUUUUACGUGAUCGUAAAGUCAUCUCGAAUCACGGCAUGAGCAACGAGGAUGUUGCACAUUUCUUCAGUGACGUGUGCAAGGAUGCUACUUUCUAUGUCAAGGGAAGCUAUCUAGAGUCGCACUUCGCAAUUUUAAACGAGUGUCUCAAGUAUGAACGGACGUAUCUUUGCUGCGCACAACUCCUAAAUGCUUUUUAUGACAACCCAUGGUAAGUUCUUUCGGCCUAGCUAUUGUAGCAACACUUGCAGGCAUGAUUCAAAUAGUCUAUGCUUUAUUGCAAUUAUAUCAUCCCUCGUAAGAGAAAGCAUGUAGAAGCUCUGUCUUCCAUAUCAAUUUCAUCACGCGUAUUGACUCUGUUUUGAAUGAAUAUUUCGAGUUAUUGGUACUUUCUUUGUGGCCAAAUCAAUCUUGAAUAAGUGACAGAACAGUUAUCAUCACUAAAGUGAUGGUCACUAGGGGAGUGCAUGAACCAGGCCCCCAUAUUGACCGCCUCCGGUCAUCAACCACCACCGUCAGCCACCGCCUAACAGGACCGUCAACCAUCAAUCUCCACCUCAAUCAUCAACCGUUUAUUAUUCAUAAAUAUACAGCAUGAUUAAAGCAAGCAGGGGCACAAGAAGCAAACUGGUGCAGAUGUAUGUAAUGGUCAAGACUCAGGCCAUGGAUUCAGCAUCAUCACCUCGCCCACAACCACCAUUGAUAACCGUGGGAAUAUAUAACACAAGACAGAGAACAGCGAUUCAGCAGUAUGUCCAGCAAAUGUAAAAUACGCAUGUAAUCAUGUCAAAUGGUUACCGACUCAGAUUGCUCCAGGUGAACAAUGCUAACAAGUUUCCAAGUCGAACGAUUACAGGGAGUGUAAUAAGCUCGAAUUUGAUGCUAAAUUCAUAGAAAAGUGAUUCCCGCGUGUGCGCAAUCAAUGAAAUCACCUCCUACAGAGCUGAUUUGAUCGUAACAGAAAUCAUGCCAUUUCGGUUUCUUUCCUUCAUCAGAACAAAGCAAGAUCCAGUUGAAGUGUUACCACAGUAAGGAGAAAUUCUUGAUUGCGAUAACUAAUCAAGCUAGCACAAGGAAGAUCUGGGAAGCGUUGACUGUGAAGAUGAACAACGGCUAUGAAGCUUCAAACACAAAUAACCUGCUUCGAGUCCUCGCGGCCAAGAACAGGGCAAACAGAGCUUCCCGUGGCGGUCGAACCGACAGUGACGAGAAGCGAUCCGACGAUGGCAACGAUUGGCAACGCAGAGGCAGGAGAGGAUUCAGUGGAAAUCACUGAGAGAAUGACUCCUAGACGCUCAAAAGUUUCUCAAAUCUAUGCAACGAAUGCUCUCUGCUCUAGCUAUAGGUCUCUUUCGGUUCAUCUGGGCUGAAAUCCAAGCAAAGAAAGAAGGCAUUUCGGACUCUCCAACUAAAACUCCUCUUUUUUCAUCAUUUUUUAUUCAUCUCAUUUUUUUUCACUCAUUUUUAUUUAAUCAUUUAAUUAAUUCUCUCCUCCUCUUUUCUUUUUUUUUUUCCCUCUUUUCUCGCCUUUUAUUGCCCGACAGAAGCCAUGCUUCCCAAAUGUUUGUCUAUGAAUAGGUCUCCAAGAGGCAUUUAUUUUGAGCGAAAUGCUUUCCCUGCAAUUUGCUUCCCUAUCCUACGAAACAGCUCUGCUGAGAAUUUCUCUUGCCUUUCCGCGAUCUGUUUCCGAAAUUCGCAUUUAAAUUAUAUCCUAGGAAAGAAGAAAACUGAGCCUUUAUGCGAUUAGAAAAAGAGACAUUGAAUGACAACUUCCAAUUUUUUUUUAUUUUUUUUUUAUUUUUUUCGGUCAAAGGAAGUUUUAUUGAGUCAAAAGGUUCUCAAACAUGGAGGCUCACACCAGGAGUGUUAAAGACAAAGUCCCAUAAUGGCUGGGGGAUGUGCUACCCAAUUAGGAAGGAAGAUGUUAAGUACAAAGUAGUACAAAUUUAUCCAAACUAGUAUACUUGUGACAAACGGAACGUAAAAUCCUACAUUGGUAUACUAGUCAACUGUCACGUGUUAUUCAACUUAAUAAUUUAACAGUAAAAUUUAAUGAAAACUAACGGUAAAUUUGCUACAAGUGUACCGGUUUGAAAUAAAUUUGUCAAAAGUAUAUCAGUUUUGGGUUUUAAUAGUCAAAAAAAUAGUUUUGGGUAAAUUUGUUACAGGUGUACAAGUUUGGAGUUUUUCAGGGUAUUAACCCAUUUUCAAUUAAGAAUCUCAGAAAUAAAUUAUACUUUCACGUCACAUGUGACAGUUUUUCGAUAAGUGAUUUCAAAUUUCAAAGUCAAUUUAGAUUUUUUGCUAAAAUUUAAAACUUAUCUAUCAAAAUCUUUGUACUGUGAUGUAAAAAGAAAAGAUGACCUGUAGAUAAAGGAUUUGUAAAAGUCUUAUUAUAAUAUUAAUUAGUGUAUUCUAUGUGAUGUAUGUCCAGUCUUCCAGCUGCUAUUUGUCCCGGGAGUUGUUCAUUCACAUUUUCGCAUGUGCAUGAUAACAAGAUAAAAAGAAUCGAGACGGUGACGGUGACGAGCCUGGGACAUCGCGAAAAUAACUCUUAUCGCUCGCGACCCUAGAGAUGGAGUCAGGGUUGUGACAAGAUAGUAAUAGUAUUUUCUCUUCAUCAUUAUCUCUUGUUGAAUUCUAACAUAUGAAAUUAUUUGCAGAUGAGAUGUCUACAUGCAUAGAGUUUGUUCGACCGGAAGAAAUGUUACAUUUAGGCACUUAGGUGAGAAGAAAAAUGUCUAGAUUCAGUCGACUAGAAUUACCAGUAAACAUUUGUUUCCAAGAUCAAGCAAGUCUAAGUCGAUAGUACGUAAUACAUCAUAAUGGCGCUCAUUUUCAUGACUUUUGCAAAAGGAGAAAUGGAGGAUUGGACUGCUUAAAACGGCAGAAAAAUGGGGUUAAAAAAGAAAAGAAAAAAGAAAUGGAGUGCUCAAAACAGCACGACAUGCUAGAUAUGAAUCCCACUGAAGAUAUCACGGAGGAGAUUAUGGGGGGAGAAUGACAUGUGUGAGUUGAUUGAGGCAAUCUGAUAAAUUCUAGUACAGCACCGGUUAUCCAAUGUGGUGGUGGUGGAUGAUGUACAGGAAGCACUCGUGCUCUCCACGGCUGUCCCUAAAGUUUCGCAUGUUCGGACAAGAACGGUUUUUUAGUUGUAUAUCCGCAGAGUAUGGAACCAAAAUUUCCACCUUACAAUUAACGUAGACUUUUUGCAUGCCUUAUGCAGUACGGCUAUCACAAGCAAGACUCUAUAAAUAUUCAUGUCCAGCGCAGGUAUCUUAUCAUCCACUUCUUAGUAUUACACUGAGAAACACACCUCAAAGGAUGGGGCCCACGAGAAGAAAAAGAAAAAGAAAAAGAAGGUCAUCGUGAGAUAAAGGCCAGAAAGGGAGAAAGAGCACUUCGCCCAAUGAAUAGAGAGGAGGAGGAGCAGAAGAAGGGGCAAGAGGAGGAAGAGGAGCAGAAGAAGAAAGGAGGAGGAGCGACUCCAAAUCCUCGCCUUAGACGCCUCGCCAAGCCAAAUUUACUUUAAUUCGCAAUGUUUGGGUAAGUGCUUGCGCCCUUCAUUCUCCCAAUCAAAAAAGUUUUCGGAAUUAAGAGUUAAAUUCGGGAUUAAUCAAAACUUAAACUACAAAGUCUAAUUUUGAAGUUGUUAAGCUAAGAAAUUGUGGGUUUUGCUAGUUUAAAGUGUUAUAGAGUUGUAGGACUUUACGGAACUCGAUUUGAGCUUACAAUUUUUCCAAAACAAAUUUUUGAAUUUGUACACGCGUGAUGGCCAAUAGCAACCAACAGUUUUUUGUUGGUUUUUGCUCGAUUUUGGGUCAGUCAAGUUAUGGGUUUUCUAGUAUUUCGAAAGAUAUUUCUUUUAACUAUAACUUCACGUGAAAUAAAGUCUGGUGAAAAAAGUCAUGGUGCGAUCAAGUUCAACUCUCAAACUUUGCAUUGCAAACGACUUUAAAUAAUGGCUUUGGAAGAGCGAUUUACGAGUGCAUUUGAGUAGUUUUGUUAACGUUUAAGCUUAGUUUGAUUGAGUUAUAGUUAAAGUAGUGUUUUACUUGAUUUUAACAUCAUUUUUUGUUUAUUUGAUAAGAUUGCGAGUUCAACGGUUUGAAUAAUCUUUUUUGUUUAAUCAUAGGCAUUUCCAAGUGAGUGGUAACAUCUCUUUUUUGAGUUUGUAAAUUCAUAUUUUGAAAGUAAUAUAAAUUAUAUAUAUAUAUAUAUAUACUAUGAGUUAAGAAAUCACACCAUUGUUGCAUAAAAACCAAGAUCGAGCAUCUACUCCUUGGUUAUUUACGAAUAUUUUAGAAAACGUGUUAUACUAAAUAUUGUGGAGACAUGUAUGUACGCAUGUAUGUAUGUAUGUAUUGCUUUGCGAACUAGUUUAUGAAAGGAUUUCAGUGGAUGAGAUGAGUUUGCAAAAGUAUUAUUUAUUUUAGGUUGUAAAAUGUAUUGUGGUUUAUGAGAUUGAUUCUUGAUUGAAAUUUUGCUAUUGGAAGAUAAUUGCUUGAUGUUCAAUAUGACAGUGCAUCCAGUUAGGGGUUUUUGGGUAUGCAUACCAGUUUAUGAUAUCUUUUUGAACCAAGCCAUUACCUUAUAAAAAGUGGAGAUCUUGCCAAUGAGGAAAUCUUGGUCACUUUAUUACCAGACGUUAUGUCGUAACCACAGUAAUAUAUUAAACAAUAGAUGGUUGAUGGAUAGACCAUAGAUAUAUGAUUUGAGAUUGAUCAAUGAAAUGGAUCAUAGAAGUGAUUUUUUUUUAAUAUAAAAAUUGAUUAAUGUUCUGGACCAUUGAUGUUUGAAUUUUGAUUGUGAUUAAAUAAGUAUUUUUGAUUUGUUUAAAGCUUUGUUGUAAUAAGACAACUCUUAUUUGAAUUGAAAUAUUAUAUAUGAGAUUGAAGUAUGAGUUUCUAGUUUUGCUUUGUAUAAAUAUAUGUAUAUAUUGUUCGAUCUGCUUAGAUUAUAUGCUACUCACUAGCUUUUAGUUGUCAUCCCUCCCUUUCAAAUCUUUUCAGGUUCCCAAGUUAGCAGCUAUCGAUAGUAAAAUAGUGCUAUUGAUCAAGACUUUUGGGAGUUGGAUUUUGGGUAUGGUUUAAGGCUGUGUCCUUCAAUAGGAAAGAUGGCCAUGACAUUCUCCUAUUCUUGUAGGAUUUUGAGGUGUGACAGCAUGUCCCUCACAUUUUUCAUGGAUACACUACAAUUCUGAUAUCCUCUCCAUUCUCUAUCUAGAUAUUGAAAUUCCAGCAAGAAUUCACGUUGAUUUUACAAUUUAACUUGCCCAUGGCCAACGAUGGAGGAGGUCAUCAAGUAGCCACCCAACGUGAGAUCGAGCUCAUGAGGCAGCAGUUAUUACCUUCCAUGUCAAAAGAUAUUGAGGCAGUAUUGAAAUUGUUGAAUGAAUCAGCAGGUGAAAGUAGUUGUAGCAUCUUCAGAGUCCCUCAGGCACUCGUCGGAGGAAUUGCCGAGGCAUGCCUGCCUCGCAUCGUCUCUAUUGGCCCGUACCACCAUGGAGAAUCGCUGCAAAUGUUUCAGGUGCACAAGUGGAGAUACCUCCACACUAUGCUGGAAAGAACUCAACCGCACGGUAUCCGCCUCGAAAACCUCAUUGAUGUCGUGGCACCGAAAGAGAAAAUUAUCCGCCAGUGCUACUCGGAGAGCAUUGAGAAUUUCAAUGGACCUGAUCUUGUGAAAAUGAUGGUUCUCGAUGGAUGCUUCAUCAUUGAAUUCCUCCGUCAAAUUGCAGGAUAUGUACCGCCCGACAGAAUCCUAUUAAUCAAUUCCAAUUCAUUCGUGUUACUUUCUCUUGGACGGGACCUUUUACGACUUGAGAACCAGAUCCCGUACUUUGUUCUCGAGGAUUUGUUUGAAAUGACGAAUGUUUCAGGAAGAACCUCGUCUUUGGACAAUCUUGCCUUUCGUUUCUUUAGCUGCUUCCUAGAAGGACCUGCUAUUGUCAGGGAAAGACCAAAAGGAGUGCAUCUACUCGAUUUAUUUCGUCUGAGUUUAAUACCCACAGAUCAACAAGAUAAUGCAGUAGACGAGAGUUCAUCUUAUCAAAUGAUCAAAUCUGCUUCCGAGUUCCGUCGAUUGGGAAUCGGAUUCAAGCGAAGUGAAGCCAGCACCUUUCUGGAGAUCAUAUUUGACAGUAGACACAGAACCAUUGGAAUUCCAAAAAUAAAAAUAGAUCAUGAUCUCAAUUGCAUCCUCCCCAAUAUGGUUGCUUUUGAACAGUGUCGUGGCCAAGUGGACGGGCACAUAACUGCCUAUGCCAUGUUCAUGGGAUGCCUCAUUCACACGGCCAAUGAUGUACAACUUUUACGCAACCAUAAAGUCAUCUCGAAUCACGGCAUGAGCAAUGAGGAUGUUGCACGCUUCUUCGGUGACCUCUGCAAGGAUGUUUAUUUCGAUGUUAAGGGGAGUUAUCUAGCGUCGCAUUUUGCAAUUUUAAAUGAGUAUCUUAAGUAUGAACGGGCUUAUUUUUGCUGUGCACAGCUCCUAAAUGCUUUUCAUGACAACCCAUGGUCAGCUCUUUCAGGUCUAGCUGUUGUAGUGACACUUGUAGGCCUGAUUCAAACAGUGUACACUGUGCUGCAGUACUAUCACCCAAAUUAGCAGCAAGCAUCUAGAAACUGCAUCUCCAUAUUGAUUUCAUAACAUGUAUUGACUAUGUUUUCAGUGAAUAUUUUGAGUUGAAGUGAUGAAUAGUUAUCAUCAAUGAAGUGAUGGUGACUAUUGAUGAUAACUAGGGGAGAACACGAAGUGGUAAUCCCCUUCCACCUGUGAAUCCAAAACUUACUCCGCCCUAGGCCUAGCCACUUCCAAGUUCCAUAGAACUGAGGGCUAGAUUGGCCAGUUCAAUGGCGUUCUACAACUGAUAAAACUAAAGUUACAUGACCAAAAAAAAAAAAAGAAAAAAGAAAAGAAGAAGAAGGUAAAGUAGUUCAAACCAUCCUUAUUUUGGUAGCCAAGCCUAACAUCUCCCGCCUAUGAAUCUAGAACUUACUCCACCCUAGGCCUAGCCACUACCAAGUUCCAUAGAAUUGAGGAUGGGUCGGCCAAUCAAAUGGCGUUCUACAACUGACAAAACCAAAGUUACACAACAACGUAAACUUGUGCAAAACCACCUUUAUUUUGCUAGCCAUGCUUAACACUUUCGUGAAAAAUAAAUGAACCUUUCCACCCAAAAGAGCACAGUGUAUCCUAGAAGUGAGAAACUUUCAAGACAAGUGUGAAGCAGCUAAGAUAUGUAUCUCUGCCAUCUUCAACCUAUUCUCGAGUUGUCUCUUCCAAAUACCAGAGUUAUUGUCCAGUUCACCGUGCCGUAGAACCUGUUCCUCCAACUGACUACCCUCAUAGGAUAAGCCGAAUGCCAAACCAGCCAACUCACAAAUAUUGGGUGUGAUAUCCCCUUCAUGUCCUACCUUAAAAAAUGAUGUUUGCAUAAGGGACGACUAUCAAUUCUGUGAAUCAUGGAAGAACGGGCAUCUCAAAAUCUAGGUACUAGGAAAGAAAGCCGUUAGUAUGUCAUGGUAGCAUAUUAUGUACCCUAGACCGGCGUAAAUUGAUGAGCGCCUUGUAACGCUCUACAGAAGCCAUGCUUCCCAAAUGUCUGUACGCAAAUGGGUCUCCUAGAGGUAUGUCUUUCGAGCAAAAUGCUUUCCCUCCAUUUUGCUUCCCUAUCCUACGAAACAGCUCCUUUAAGAAUUUCUUCCCUUUUGGUGGCCUGUUUUAGAAAUCAGCAUUCAUAUUAUUUCUAAGGAAAGAAGAAAACUGAUCCUUUUAUGCAAUGAGAAAGCGAUAGUGAAUGCCCACUUCCAAGUUCAAAUGGAAGAAUUCAUGCCACAUCUUGUACAAAGUAGAACAAGGAGAUAAAAUUAAAGACUAUAGAUCAAACGAAAAGCCAUGAUGAGACCUCUUCAAAGGAAUUAGAUAGCGUGAGUGAACCUAAGCUAAAGCAGGAAGCACUAGCCUCCCUGUCUGUUCAAGAAAACCCGUACAAUCCCCUAGCACAAACACAUCUUCCACUGAAGGUACCAUCAACCAUUCGUCAACCCCAAUCCUGAAAUGGUUGAGAGGACAAAUCAUUUGAUUGGAAGGUGGUGGAAUGCUAAAAUAAGAUUGUCACAGAGUUCUCAUCAUGAAAUUGCUAUUGCAGAUUUAGAUGACAAAGGAGAGAAGAAAUCUUAUUCCCUCACCUCAUGCUGAGGGAUUCGAGAAGAUAAAGUGACUUGAUAAAUUCUGAGGGUCCAACACCGGUGGACUUGACUAUGAGGCCGUAUGGAACAUCUGUACCAUCAUUUAGUACAAUUUUCUUCGCAUGCACUUCUUUCACCAUGCCACUUUUAAGAUGAAUACCAGACUAGCAAUUGAAAGCAUUAAAUCAGCACCAAAAUGACCUGUUGGAAAAGAUGACGUUAACUUGAGAAAGAAAAUCAGCUUACCCUUGUUAGAUGAUUCAUCACAUACUAUCGUAAGCCAACAUUGAAAAACGACAGAAUUUCGUUUGCCUAUUAAAGGGUGUACUUGUCAAAUAGUGUCGUUUACAUUUUUCCAAAUAGAUGCGAGCAUCUUUAUGCAAGUGUAUAUGAGUACCUCAAUAAGGGUGACUUGGAUGUAAUCCUUCACAUGAGGAAAAUGUUCAUGGACGUCUUUCAUGAUAAAAUCGCUUAAUUCACCGCUGAACUCCACCCCAGUUGGUCCACCACCAAUAACAACACAGUGUAAAAGGCCUUUCUUCUUUUGAUAUAUGCCUAUAAGAUACAGAGAAGGAAUCGCUCGCCCAUUGUCCAUGAAGCCAUAAAAUCUUGCUGAUCAGUAAUCAUUGAGAAACAGUGAGCAUCUUCUUCUAUUCCCGAAACUUUGGAAUGUUACUCUGUAAGUGCAAUUCAUAAGGUAGGAGAAUUGAAGUACCUAGAUUUAAGAGAGCAUGAAGUUCAACAAAAGCUUCUUCAUGAUUUCUCGGGCAAGAUUCACCUCACGAAGGAAGUAGGCGUGUUCCUUAACGCCCUUUAUACCAAAAGUCAAGGGCUUGGCUUCGGCUAUGAUGACUAGCUUGUUGUAUGCGACUUUAAACCGCUAAGGCUUUUCGGGCAGUCCAUCGUCGCCAAUCGUUUCACAGUACACGAUAGGGAAUGAGAUUUGGCCAAAGAGAAAACUAGAGAGGAAAAACAUAAUGCACUAACAAGUUACUUGACAUUUCUUACUAGAUAUCGUCGGUUCCAUCAUGCUGAAGAAAUGAAAUUUGCCUUAUCUUACGACGUAGUGUGAGCAUAAAAUAAUUGGGAAAAGUACCAAUGCAAUCCUAAACUUAUUGCAUUAGUACCAAUUAAGUUCUAAAUCUUUUAAUUGGACUAAUCUAGUCUUAACCUUUUCAUAUUAAUACAAAUUCAAUCAAUCCGGUCAAUUUUAACUAAAAGUUGCUAAUGUAGACACCGGUGGUCAUGUCAAUGCUAACGUAAACAUUUUUAAUAAUUAUUUUGAAUUUUUUCUUUGGUAUAUUUCCCUUCUCCUUUUGUUGAUGAGGGCCAGCCUUGUCCCUGACCAUGGCUUGUGCUGGGAACCAAAAGAAAGAAGGGAAAGAAAAAGAAAGAAAAAAUAUUAAAAAAUUAAAAUGUCAACAUUAGCGCCGACCAUGCCAUAAGGAUCACCAACGUCUACAUCAAGAAGUUUUGAUCAAAAUUGGCCAGAUUGACUGAAUUUGUAUCAAUUUGAAAAUGUUAAAGAUUAAAUUGGUCUAAUUGCAAGGUUUAUGACUACAUUAACAAAUCAUUAAAAUGUUUAGGAUUAAAUUGGCAUAAUUGAAAUGCUUAUGGCUAAAUUGGCAAGUUGUAAAAAUGUUUAAGACUAAAUCAAUACAAUUAAAAUAUUUAGAAUUGAAUUAACAAUCAUACCGUAUUUUUAGGUCUUUUUGGAUAAUUCUCCCCCAAUUUGGUAGCAUGAACUCAUCAAACAUAUUGCUUAACAACUUGUUAACAUUUGAUAAAAAAAAAACGAGAUUUUUUUUCUUUUACAUGUGAAAAGAUGGCUUUUAGAAAAGAUCAGGCAAAAACCGACCUAUAUAUAGGGCAAUAAUUGCUCAAAUCCCCAUUAAUUGGCGCUUCAGGUAAUAACUCUCAAACUCUGAAAAGUUCUAGAUCUCGUCCCUGAAUUUCAACAACGAUGCUCAAUCGCCUCUAAAACUUGAAAUGUUAUAGAUUAACAAUUGAACUUCUUACUCUUGGUGCAGCCGCUUGUUUAUCCAUUUACGUAGUCGUUAGGUGUUACUAAAAUAUGGACUAAUUAUUCUUCUUGACGAAAAUAGCCUAUGCUAAAUGGUUAAUGAAGUUUUUUUUUGGUCGAAAAUAGUAAUUUCAUUACUAACCUGCUAAAGGGGCAUCAUUAGUUGGCAAGUCUAAACAUAAAAUUAAACAUAGAGAACGAGGAGGAUUUGCAAUCCAAUUACUAGGAAGUGAGUUGGUCCGAUGGGCUUUGGCAACCCAAUCCACAGCCUUGUUAGUAUCUCGUGGUUCAUAGAUGAUUGACACUCCACUAACUUGAGCCAAAAUUUCUCUGCAAUCUGCGACUAUGGGCUGGGUCGGCCAAGGUGGAUCCUCUAGGCCUGAUAGGCUAUUUAUGAGUGAUAGGUUAUUAGAUGAAAUGAGCACUUGCAGAUCAGUUUCUUUUAGCUUGAAGUCUUCUCCUGUUCGUGCAAGUUUUCUGUUAUGUACCUAGAAUGCGGCUUCUCUCAAAGCUAGGGCUUCGGCGACCCACACAGACAGAGCAAAAAUGGACCUCACGAAGCCAUGAAAGAGGAUGUCGGCUUCGUUUCUGCAUACGCCAGCAACCAAUCUAGCCUUAGACGAUUCGCACCAGGAGCAAUCGACAUUUAUUUUCAUCUCAUUUGCUGCAAGUGGGUUCCAUUUCAGCGCUGAUCGUGGAGCUUCUGGUGAUUUUCUUCAGCCUUUCUUCCUUCGCAAGUUCCAUUUCUUGAAGAGUGCAGUUGUGAUGCUCGUUUCUUCUUGAGCUACGAUUGGAUCGGGCCUUCGCCCUUCAAUUUUGGAUCCGCUCGUGAGGUGAGAUUUUCAAAGACCCACUUAUCUAUGCGGGUAAUUCUUUAUGGAGAUGUAUCGGCACGAAGAUUAAGGCCUGACCAUAUAUUUUUUGUCCAAUCACAGAGAAUGAAGAGGUGCUCUACUGAUUCCGGGGCUUGUCCACAUAUUUGACAGGUGGGAUUGGGUAGCAUUUUCUUUUUAUACAAGUUUUCCUUCAUGGGGAGUGUAUUGCUGCAAAUAUUGCAUAGUAAGAAGUGAAUUUUGGGAAAUGUCUUAAUCUUCCAGAUUUCAUUCCAUAGCGACUUAGGAGUUUAGUAAGAUGGAUACGGGAUAUUUGUAGAGGGGAUUUCAGCCUUGUUAUGUAGUCUGUUGUAGCCGCUUUUCACAGUAUAGGAGCCCGAUCUGUUUGUUGUCCACACUAGCUUAUUUGGAUGUGACUUUAAGCCGAUGGGAAUGGCUAAAAUCUCUUUAGCUACAUCUUCCUUGAACAAGUUGUUCACUCGUUGAGUAUUCCAUUCAUGUAACUCAUGAUCAAUUAAAUCAACCACCAUCCUUAGUUCAUCCCGAUUUGCAGGGCCGAAAAGCUUUCCUGGCGGUAGCCAAGUGUCUUGUCGAAUUCUUAUUUUCUAUCCAUCCCUCGCUACCCACCUAGAAUCAUGUUCAAUCAUUUCUCUCCCCAUCAUUAGGCUUUGCCACCCCCCACAAAAGGCCGAAAGCCUUUGUUUGCUGACCAGAAAUCGCCUCUAGGAAAAUAAAUGCUUUUCAAAACUUUACACCAUAGUGCAUCCGGUGUUUAGAUAAAUCUCCAAGCUUGCUUCCCCAGCAUUGCUUUAUUAAAAUCCAGUAAAUUUUUAAAAUUGAGGCCACCACAAUCUUUCCUAUUUUUCAGAUCUUCCCACUUUUUCCGGUGUAUACCUCUUCUAGCUACAUUAUGUUUCCACCAAAAGGAGGCUACUCACUGCUCAAUGGUACGGCAAAUGGAUAUUGGGAUUUUGAAAAUAGACAUAGCAUAUUGAGGUAAGGCUUGAAUAACUAUCUUGAUGAGAACUUCCUUUCCCGCCUUUAAAAUCAACCUCUCUUUCCAUCCUUCAAGUUUCCGUUCAACUUUAGCAAGGAUCCACGCAAACAUUUCCUUUUUGGUUUGACCACAGUCGGAUAGAAUUCCUAGGUAUUUACUUGUUUUAUCUAUGACUGGAACUCUCAAUUCAGCAGCAAGAUUCUGUUUUAGGCUCUGUGGGCAAUCUCUCCCAGUGAAAAGCCCUAACUUAUUGAGAUUUAUAGCUUGUCCCGACACAUAGUAGUACUGGUUCAGCACAUUAGCCACAUUUUAAGCUUCUCUUAUUGUUCCAUUUAAAAAAAAAAUUGGCAUCAUCAGCAAAGAGAAGGUAUGAGAGAGUUGGGCAAGUGGAAUUUAGGCAGAUGCCCUUAAUACUUCCAUCUGUUACUGCUUUUCCCAUAAGGGUAGAUAGGACGUUAGCCAUGAUAAUGAAUAGAUAAUGGGAGAGAGGAUCACCUUGUCAGAUUCCUCGGGUUAGCUUAAAGACAGCUGAGGGUUCUCCAUUAACUAGGAUGCUAAAAGACACUGAUGAAAUGCAAUGCUUAAUCCACAUAACCCAUUUCUCAUUAAACCCUUAUCUCAGUAUAUAAUCACAUAAAAAAUCCCAUUCGACCCUAUCAUAAGCCUUCUUCAUAUCUAGUUUUAGAAUAGCCUGAUAAUGACGCCUUCUCCUCUCACCCUAAGUUGAUGAAUCACCUCUUGGACUAUGAAAAUGUUGUCUUGAAUCUGAUGAUCUCUUAAAAAAAAACACUUUGCUCCAUAGAAAUAAAUUUUGGAAGUCAUGGUUUUAGUCUAUUAGCCAUUACCUUCACUAUGAUCUUAUAAUUAAAGUUGCACAGGCUGAUAGGCCUAAAUUGGGUGAUAUCUUCUGGAUUUGUUACUUUAGGAAUGAGAGUAAUAUGCGUUUUAUUAAGCUCUGGAUCAAAAGUACCUUGGCGAAAGAAGGAUUGAACCAUGGUGAAAAAUGUCUUCAGGUAUAAUAGGCCAAUGACUUUGAUAAAAAAAAAAAAAAAAACUCCAUUUAGCCCAUCUGGACCUGGUGCUUUUGUAGCCCCUAACUGAAAAACAACUUCUAAAACCUCCUCUCUUGUGACUGGUUUGACCAGGUCAGCAUUUAUCUCCUCAUUCACCACCCCUGGACAUUGGUCUAAUACUGGUGAAUAAUUCCUUUCUCCCACCGAACUAAAUAAGGAUUGAUAGAAGCUGUAGAUACGUUGUUUAAGGGUUGAGGAAUCCUUGCACCACGUCUAGUCAUCGAGCCUUAGCAUGGAAAUUUUGUUGCAUUGUCUCCUUUGAAUUGUUGUAGCAUGAAAGAACUUUGUGUUUUGAUCUCCCUAUUUUAACCAUUGAAUUCUGGACCUCAUACACCAGUACAUAUCUUCUUGUCACCAUAACUCUUCCAUUUUCCUUACAAUAUUGCUGACUUCCUCUCUAUUUUGCUCCCCAUCAGUUCUGUUAGUCAAUUCUUGGAGCUUAUAUUUGAGUGGAGUGAGCUGUUUUUGAGCAUUUUUAAAAUUCCUCUUGCUCCAUUUACUUAAUUCAUCAGCUACCCGCCUUGUUUUACCUGCUAAAGUAAAUUUAUUUGUUCUAUUUUCAUUCCAAGCUUUCUUGACCACCUCCUCACACUCUAGAUGUUCUAGCCAAUAUGUCUCUCAAAUCUGGAAAGUUUAUUUCUUCUCAACUCUGUUGGAUUUAAAGAUAACAUAAUUGGGCUAUGGUCGGACCCUAUUGUCAGAAAAGCAAAAGCCUCCGCAUUUGAAUAAAGGACUCUCCACUCCAUAUUGCAAAUCGCUCUAUCCAAUCUCUUCUUUACUAAUGGAUUGCACAUUCACAAUCUUGGAAUCAAUUGCCUUGAACGCAUUGUUAUGUGCUAAAAGAGUCUAUGAUUGCCAAUUUAGGACGACUUUAGCAACAUGAGUCCUUUUUUGUUUUCCAUGUUCAUCCACAUCAGUGGGGGCAAGUAUCUUAGGAGCAUGCCGAAAUCUGCCUUGUGAAUCAAUAAAUUCCUCUAGAGCAGGGAACGAAAGUUUAGAACUUUCUCAAACAAUAGGGGGAAAGUAUGUCUCAUGAAAUAUGGCAAUGGAAGAACUUGGUGGUGUUUCUACUGGAGCCUCAAGUGAGUAAGAAUGUUUUUUCACCCAUUUUACAAUUGGCUUAUAGAAUGGGGAAAGAGUUGGUUUUUUUCUGGGGAGGAGAUGGAAGAGGUGAUGAUGGUGGAGUUGGUGGUACGGAGGGUGGAGCAGUGAACUCUGGUGGUGGUGUUGGUGCAUAAGAAAUCAUAAACUGAAAUUUAUCACACUCACCAAGAGUAUCAACGGAGCGAUCUCCGUUCAAGUACCCUUGGUAGAUAGUAUCCUUUGGCUUCUUGUGCUUCCGUCUAGGUUUUGCAAAUGGGUCUACCUCAUUGAGAGAAUUUGUGCAAUAGGAACAUUGACACAAAUGAUCCCAAAAUCAGUGACCAUAUUGGUCUUUGUAGUAAUGGACAAGAUAUCCAUCACUUUUGAAGUAUUAAACAAGCUUUUUUGGAUCUGGCUUAGAAAUUGACUCAGGAACACAUGGUUCAAUCAUAAAGAGGGUCUGAAAGAUAUAAUGACUAUCUUCCUUUUUCUUGACAAAUUUGAUGGAAAUAGUGCCAUCUUUUUUUCUAACAAAUUUGGAGUCUGAAGACUGGAAAGGCUUGUUGUUCUAAUGCAACUUUUCCGAGUUGGUAAUCCAUGUCUCCGGGACGAGCUUGGCCAACUUUUCCUUAGAGACCUGUCUAGGAACAUGAAUACAUGAUGCUUGAUCAUUUUGCAUGGAAAUGAAUAAAGCAUUUUCAUUUCCAUUGUGGAAAUUCAAAUCAAGAGCAUGAUUCUGCACUCGAUAAACCAUAUGGUAGUGCAGUGUUGCUGCUAUAGAGUUAGCAGUUUGAGGAGCUCCAAUGAGCUGAACUUAAACUUUUAGAAAUGAAAGUAGCUGAAGGUCUGAAAGAGCUAUAUUGAAGUUUGCAUAUAAGGUUACGAAGACUAUUCUAGCAUUCAAAAUGGUUUGGACAAUACCAAUGCAAGCAUGCUGGUACUCUAGGAACCUGGUUUAGGCAGAGGUCCUUGAAGUAAAGUAAGUGUUUUGUGAAAACGCUCCAUGGCUUUCUAAACUUCUCUUUUUCUCCAGCCUAGUAGGAUCCUCUGAGAAAUGCAGCUCGGAUAGUUAGAAACAUUACCAUCCUGCUCUUCUGAGUAUUUCUAGGCUCCGAACUAAAUGUGGGAGUGAUUUUUUGCUAAAAGGCUAUCCCUGAAGGGCUUGAACGGGAGUUGUUCGCCCACUAUAGGAAGGCAUACCUACAAGAAACUGACUUCGUCCUCCUUGGUUCUAAGUCUAGGCCCAUUCAUGGUAUCAGUUUGGGGUUUUAGUGGUCAAGAAAAUAGGUUUGGGUUCUAAGACAAAUUUACCAAAAACUAUUUUUUUGACCACUAAAAUCCCAAACCGAUAUAUCUUUAACAAAUUUACACCAAACUGGUACACUUGUGACAAACGGAGUGUAAAAUCCCACAUUGGUAUACCAGUCAACGGUCAUGAGUUAUUUAACUUAAUAAUUUGAUAGUAAAAUUUAAUGAAAACUAACAGGGGUAAAUUUGUUACAAGUGUACUAGUUUUUGGUAAAUUUAUCAAAAAUAUACCAGUAUGGAGUUUUAGUGGUAAAAAAAUAGUUUUGGAUAAAUUUGUCACAGCCGUACUAGUUUGGGGUUUUUCAGGUUAUUAACCCAUUUUCAAUUAAGAAUGUCAGAAAUAAAUUAUACGUUCACGUCACAUGUGACAUGUGACAGUUUUUCGAUAAGUGAUUUCAAAUUUCAAAGUCGAUUUAGAUUUUCAUUUAAAACUUAUCUAUUAAAAUCUUGUACUGUGAUAUAAAAAGAAAAGACAACUUGUAGAGAAAGGACUUGUAAAAGUCUUAUUAUAAUAUUAAUUAGUGUGUUCUGUGUGAUGUAUUUCCCAGUCUUUCAACUGUUGUUUGUCCCGAGAGUUGCUUAUUCAUAUUUCCGCCAUGUGCAUGAUAACAAGAUAAAAAGAAUCGGGACGGCAACGAGCCUAGGACAUUGCGAAAAUAACUCUUGUCGCUCGCGACCCUAGAGAUGUAGUCGGGGUCGUGACAAGAUAGUAAUAGUCUUUUCUCUUCAUCAUUAUCUCUCAUUGAAUUCUAACAUAUGAAAUUAUUUGCAUAUGAGAUGUCUACAUGCAUAGAGUUUGUUCGACCGGAAGAAAUGUUACAUUUAGGCACUUAGUUGAGAAGAAAAAUGUCUAGAUUCAGUCGACUAGAAUUAACAGUAAACAUUUUCUUUCCAAGAUGAAGCAAGUCUAAGUAGAUAGUACAUAAUACAUCAAAUAUGGCGCUCAUUUUCAUGACUUUCGCAAAAUGAGAAAUGGAGGAUUGGACUGCUUAAAACGGCAGAAAAAAGGGGUUAAAAAAGAAAAGAAAAAAGAAAUGAAGUGCUCAAAACAGCACGACUUGCUAGAUAUGAAUCCCACCGAAGAUAUCACGGAGGAGAUUAUGGGGGGGGGGGGGGGGGGGNNNNNNNNNNNNNNNNNNNNNNNNNNNNNNNNNNNNNNNNNNNNNNNNNNNNNNNNNNNNNNNNNNNNNNNNNNNNNNNNNNNNNNNNNNNNNNNNNNNNUAGUUGGACAGGUUCUAUAAUGCGACAGAAAGGUCGAAGGCAUCGGGGAAAAAAUAGAAAUCAGACGCGUCUCAACAAAAGACAUGUCUGUGACCCAAAAACAAAACAAAACAAAACAAAACAUAUGUCGACAUGUCAAUUCCCAAGGUGGUCACAAUAAUCGACAUGUGACAUUUUCCAGACUUUUGCAAAAGGAGAAAUGGAGGAUUGGAGUGCUUAAAACGGCAUAAAAAUGGGGUUAAAAAAGAAAAGAAUAAAGAAAUGGAGUGCUCAAAACAGCACGACUUGCUAGAUAUGAAUCCCACUGAAGAUAUCACGGAGGAGAUUAUGGGGGGAGAAUGACACGGUGUGAGUUGAUUGAGGCAAUCUGAUAAAUUCUAGUACAGCACCGGUUAUCCAAUGUGGUGGUGGUGGAUGAUGUACAGGAAGCACCCGUGCUCUCCACGGUUGUCCCUACAGUUUCGCAUGUUCGGACAAGAACGGUUUUUUAGUUGUAUCUCCGCUGAGUAUGGUACCAAAUUUUCCACCUUACAAUUAACGUAGACUUUUUGCAUGCCUUAUGCAGUACGGCUAUCACAAGCAAGAGUCUAUAUAUAUUCAUGUCCAGCGCAGGUAUCUUAUCAUCCACUUCUUAGUAUUACACUGAGAAACACUUACACUUACAACUGUGCAAUGGCAUUUUCUCUCAAGAGUGAAUUCAUCGUUGCCCUUGCUCUAAUUCUUAACGCUUGGGCAUGGCAUGCCACUUCAGUCCGCACAUUGCAUGAAUCCAACAUUGCCGAGCAGCACGAGCAAUGGAUGGCCAAAUAUGGUCGGACAUACAAGGACCAAGGGGAGAAGGAGAAACGCCGGGCGAUUUUCAAGAAACACUUGCAGUUCAUUGAGGAUUUCAAUGCAUCCGGGAAUCGGACUUUCAAGUUAGGCAUCAAUCAAUUCUCGGAUUUGACUGAUGACGAAUUCAUUCAGAGCCACACGGGAUACUUGGCGUCCAAGCAAGUGAAGUCCCGCAGAAAUGCGUCAUUGAGCCAACAAUAUCCGAGUGGGGAUGUUCCUGAGAGCAUCGAUUGGGUGGAGAAAGGCGCCGCAAAUCCAAUCAAGGACCAAGGCCAAUGUGGUAAGAAUCUAAACGUCCUGUAUGCAUCCAAUUGUGAUAUCAAGUUUGACCUCUACUUAGAAAUAAGUUUUGGAGCCUAGCUUUGUCGAGAAUUUAGAUACCAACGGUAACAAAAUGUGAAAAAUACUUUGUACUUACCAUGUCGACAAAUUUUAUGAAUUUAGGAUCCUGUUGGGCAUUCUCAGCAGUCGCAGCAGUAGAAGGAAUCACGCAGAUCAAAAGCGGUAAACUGCCGGUACUGUCCGAGCAACAACUAAUCGAUUGCGAUACCAAAAACAAUGGCUGCGAGGGCGGUCUUCCUGAUGAUGCUUUCCAGUACAUCAUCCAAAACCAAGGAAUCACUUCUGAGGAUACAUACACGUACCAAGAGAGGGACGGGACUUGUGACUCAACGAAAGAGGCCCAACAGGUGGCGCAGAUCACGGAUUUUGCAGACGUGCAGCCUGGUGAGGAC
rnacentral:lncRNA from 1 species